rnacentral:lncRNA from 1 species
UGGAUGUCAUACCGCCACUCCAUAUUCUUGAAAGUCCGUAGUGUUUGUCUCAACUCUGUCUGGGGCCAAUGUAAGUCCAAUUUGCGCAAGCUCUUUAUGCACCACAGCUCUUCUGGAAGCUUUCUCAAGUAAGCACAUGGGUUGACAAUUAAGCUUUCAAGUUUCGGCAUUGCUCCAGCCCCCAUCGUCCACUCAUCUAGCCAAUACAUUGAUUUCAGGUGCAAAACCUUAAGUUCGGGAAAGCUACUCAAGCCAACACAAGCAAGCUUUCUUCCUAAAUACGAGUUCUGCUUCAGUUUCAGCACUCGAAGGCGUGGAAGAUUUUCCAGAAUUGGCAUGGGAUCCUCCAUUAGCUCAGUAUUUGAUAAGCUCAGUUGGAUCAGACUUGGGGGAAAUUGGUAUUCAGACUGGACCAUCCGUGAGGGCUUGCUCUCAUUCACCAGCUUCAAGCAUUCAAGUUUGUGGAGUUCGCAAAGGCUUUUGGAAACCCCAGAUUGAUAGUAACUCAAAUCUCCAGAUAUCCGAAGAGUCUGAACACUUGGUAGUCUGCCCAAUAUAUCAGGAGUACAACUACUAGGGUUUAAAGCUGAUAUGAAAAUGAGUUUUUUCAGAGAGCUAGAAUAAUUUUUUGGAGGUGCGGGCAGAGUGAUAGAACCAAAGUUUAGAUGCAUGAGUUUUUGCAUCAUCCAAAUAUCCUCUGGUGACUGAUCUAUGUAGCUAGAUGGCAUUUCUAGUGUUUCAAGGUUUAAAAGGGUGCAUAGCAGUGAAGGAAGGCAUUUGAGCGAAGGGAUAUUCAAUUUCAAAUACUUCAAAAGAUAUAAAUUUUCUAAUGCGGGUGGAUAUUGGUCCAGGACUGCAGAACCCAUGUUCAAUACCCGAAGGUAUUUGAACCUUUUAAAAAAAUUCUCGCAAUCUUUCGGAUUAAGAUGAUUGCUUUCUGAACUGUGAUUCAGAAAUGAUUGGAGAUACAUGUCAGACUGUUGUAAAAAAAAGAACUCAAGCAGAUCUUCCAAAAUGAAGCACCGUUUAGCAUUUUCAAUUGAUUCCCCUAUCCAUGCAGGCAUUCGGACAAAUCUCGUCUUCUCUGCCACCAAACCCAAUGAAGUAAAUACAAAACUUGGAACAUAACACGCUUUAAUUGUGCCUCCGGCUCUUCUCGUACUCACUUUAAUGAAGCCGCGAUGGAUUAGUUCUUUCAAGUAAUGUUCGGCAGUUUCUUCACCGUUGUAUGGUAUGAAACCUUCAGCUACCCACAACUGAUAUAAUUGCCUCGUGGAUAUCUCGAUGCCUGGAGGGAAGACACACAAAUAGAUGCAGCAGACUUUCAAGUGAAAAGGUAACUCCAUCACAGAGAAAAUUUGUCUCCAUACUGUCGGAAUCGCUUCGCUUUGAAGAUAAUUUUCUAAUGGCAUACUUCCAUAGUGUAGGAUGAAAAAUUGCCAGGCCUCAUGCUUUAGUCUGAUCAAUGGUCCUCCAACGAGCACUGAACCAUGCCGAAUCUUCUCUCCAUUUUCCAUUUCCAACGACUCAAGGAGGUCUGGAUCAGCGGCCAAUAUUAAUACUCUGCUUCCAUUCUCAUUAUCAGGGAGAACUUCUUCGAGAUCAUCCCAUAUCUCACGGUCAUUGAAGACGUCAUCAAGCACAAUAAAGUACUUCUUGUUUGUUAGGUAAUCUCGAAGAAUAGAUUUCUUCAAUUGAUAAUCUUCACCGAUAAUUACACUAACCCGAGCUGGAGGCAUCACAGACUUGAUUAUGCCAUCCAAUAUCUUGCCAAAAUCAUAACGUAGAGAAACCCUGACCCAAGCAUGACAGUCAAAAUAGAACUUGACAUGAUUACUGUUAUAAGUAUGUGCAGCAAAAGCAGUCUUAUCGAAGCCACUGCUGUCGAGAAUUGCAACCACUGAAAGCCCAGAUGGUCCCUCAAUCAAUAGAUCAAAAAACUUCUCUCUGCCCCUUUCAAAUUCACUGAUAUCGAGCCGAGGUUGUCCCUCACUCAAUAGGCGAAUGAUUUCGUUACGUUUUUCACUGAUAUCAAAACCAUUGUCGCCGGGUGGAAGUUGUUGCGUCCGAUUUCUAAUAUCAAUGAUUUCACUGAUAUCAAAACCAUUAGUGCUGCUUUCACUUUCGUUUUCACUGUUUUGCUGCUGCAUAAUGUUGAUGAAGAAUGUGUCAAUGGCUUCCUCAGAUUCAUGGACAAAGUGAUUGAUGUCCUUAAGAAUUUCCAGAAUGUCUGAUCUUUUAACGUCUUCUUCAUCACUUUCUUCUAAGUCCAACAGUUGCAAUAAAGGCAAAGACAUAUUGGAUUCAGCGAAUUCUUGUCUGAAUAGUUGAGACAAAAUCCGAGCCAUGUCAGCUUCAUAGUUUCCCGACAGAGUAGUAGUAAUAAUUUCAGACUCCGUAAGAAGGUUUUGAAAAAGCGGGGCUAAAUUUGUUGAAUCAGUCAACGUUAACGUGCCUUCUUCACCUGCUAACACCCUUUUCAACCUCUCACAAAAUAGUCGGAGGUGGACGUCCAGCAUAUCUCCUUCUCUCUGUAGCACCCAGAGGUAUUGUUUUUUGCUCCAAGAAAUAUUAAAAGGAUUGGUUCUAUCUCAAAGUGGUUACUGGUGUAAAAUUAAACGCCAUGGGAGAAUUUGAAGGGAAGAUGCCAAGGAACUGGCGAUGUGGCUAAAUUACACAAAUACGGCAUUAUUGCUCAUUUUUAACUCAAAAAAUUGAUACCAAGACGCUUGCCUUUUGAAAAGAAGAGGUAUCCAACCUUUAUCUUAUUUAAUUACUACCAUGACAUGAUUGAUGGUGCUUAAAUCAAUUGUUUCUUUAUUAAUUUAAAGAAUUUUUCAUUAAAAAAAUUAUUUUAAUAUCAAAUACCCUUCAAUGGCAUAACUGCCGCAGGCCCAGAAACAGGAUUAAUUAAAAUUUUUUGAAUUUUUGGGCAAGGAAAGAUUUGAAAUUCUAGUUAUGCAACCCAAGAGGGAGUGAAUUAGAAUUCUAUAAAUUAUUUAAUUUAUAAAGAAAACCUUAAUGCAAAUAUAAACCAAAUUCAAAGCAAUAACAAAUAAGGUGAUCACAAUAUAAAAAGAUAAGGGAAGAGAGAUUCAAACACAUAGAUUUUUACUUGGUUCGGCCAACCUCGCCUACGUCCGCGCCUCCAAGCUUUCCGAGCUUAAAGAUUCCACUAAGCAAGCCUCCAAGGCUUCAAAUGCUUACACUUGACUUCCAAGGUGUCAAUAACCUUUACAACAAGAGAUUAUCCCAAUCUCUUUAACCCAAGUGUAUCCCAACACUUACAAUCACUCAAAACAAAAGAUUACAAAUUUGUUUUGACUCUCACAAUAUUUAAGAUUACACAAUGAUGCCCAAUAUGUCAAUAGAUGAAGCAAGAAUGUGUUCAAAGCUCUAUGAAGAUUGUAUUCUCGAGUAUAAGCUCAAUAGUCGUGUUGUGAUCAAUCUUGUUUGAAUUUGAAUGAGCUUAUUUAUAUUUGGAGCUGAAAAACUAGCCAUUACAAACUGUCGGCCCGAAAACGGUUCGCUGUUAACCAUUAACGGUUAACCGUUUAGGCUGGUCAAAAGUUACCGUUGGGCCAAAUUUCAAAUAAACGGUUUGCCGUUUAGGAUUACCCCUUCGCCGUUAAAUUCUAGAGACCUGCAAGAUGAAUAUCAGUUAUCCGUUUACAUUAAACGGUUAAAGAUUUGCAUGAAGUGACUUCUCUGGAUAUUAUCGGUUAACCGUUUGUAAUAAAUGGUUCGCCGUAUGUUUCCAGUAACCUGCAAAACAAUUUAGCCUUAUCCGAUUUUGUUAAACGGUGCCAGAAGAGUACAACCUUCAAUUCUGGAUUUUAUCGGUUAACCGUUUAAAUAAACGGUUCACCGUUAAAUUCCAGUAGCCUUCCCAGCUUUUUGUGUUUUCCAUUUUUCUUAAUCGGUUAGAGCUUAGGCAAUAUGUUGCUCUCUGGUUUUAAUCGGUUAACCGUUUGAAAGAAAACGAUUCACCGUUUAUUUCCAGAAUCACAUUUUAAACCAGAUUUUGCAGAAAGUCAUUUUCUAAUUUGAAAGUCCAUCUUUUAUGAAUAUGAUUGGAAUGAUUAUAAGGCUUUCAUUUAUUAAGGAAUAGCUCCAACAUUUUAAUCAAAAACCAUUUAAAGUUUGUUAUCAUCAAAAUCAAUAUUAUUAACAUAUUCAUGUUAACAAUAGUAGUAUUAAACAUCAGAAAGCUAAGGUUGUUCUGUUAAUGAAUUGAUAUUGACAUAAUUUUAUUUUGGUUUCCGGGGAAAAAAAAACAUUUGUUGACAAGCAAGAAAAUAUUUUUAAAUUUUACAAUUUAUUAUACAUAUUUUAUCAUAUUACAAUAAUUUUAAUAAUAAAUAGAAACAUAAUAUUACAAUAAAUAAGUUAAAGUUUAAAUUAUUUUAAAUAUUAUAAAAAAUAAUUUUAAUAUUAUUAAUAGGAAGACAUUUUGUUAAUUUUAAAACCUUUUUAACCCAAAGGUUUAUUUAAAAGCUUUAUAAUAAACAUAAAUAUAAGAUUAAAAUAAAUAUCAUAAUUUGAAAUUUUUAGUAUUAUUUUAAAUAUUAAAAAUACUUUAAUAUUAUUAGCCUACUACAUUGAUUUUAUUAUUUAUAUUAUAUUCAUAUUGAUUAAAACUUUUUAAAGUCAAUUUUUUAGUCAGUAUAUUCAAGAGGUAUCAUAGUUAAAGAAAAGAUUUUGGUGUUAUUUUUUGAAAAUUUUAAGGUUUAAAUGAUAAUUUUUUAAAAUUUUAAGGAUGUAGGUAUUAUUUUUCCGACAAUUUAUUUUAUUUUUGAGGAAUUCGAUGAGAAAUAUCAUGAGAGAAGGUUAAUUUUACAUUCUUUACCUUUAUGAAAAAAGUGGAAACCAAGAAGUAUUCAAUUUUGUAUUUUUUGUUUGUAAUUCAAAAAAUGCAUCCACCAAACAAUCUUAUCUUGAUUUUUUCACUUUAUUCAUUUUCGAUCCUUUAAUCCAUCUAGUAUCUGCAGCCCCCGCCAUUUUUACAAAUCUCCAUCCGACAUCUACCCUAUCAAACAAAGUUGAUGGAAAUUGAACAAUUGCUUUUUGAAGUGGACCCAAUAAGUGGACAUUUUAUUAAUAUUAAACAAAGUUGACGGAAAUUGAACAAUUGCUUUCUAUGAGCCACUUAUUUUUAACAUUAGCGAUCUUAUCUGGACUACUCCAAUUAUUGAUGUAACUCCAAUGGUUGCAUCAACAGUUGAAUGUAAGAUAGUGUUAGCUCUUCUUUGAGAAUAUAGAGUGAUCUUUCUUUGUUUCUCUGUUGCGACGUGCUACUAUAAAUUUCUUUACCUUGCAGUUUAUAUAGUCUUGCUGUUAAUGAAUUCGCGGAGGCAUUAUUGAUCCAAUCUCAGUGAAGUAAUUGUGGGUGGAAAAUGAAUAAAGGGUAAGAGAACGUAGCUCAAGUGCUGAAUUGGCUAUUAAAGAAGAGUGUCACUUGAUCACAAUCACAUUGAUGCACAACUCACUCGAGGCAAAUUUCAUCUAUAUAUGUACUGCAAAUUCAGCCAAACCAUACAUGCAGGAACAAAACUAAAAUGUAGUUCUAAUCAAAACUGUAAUUAAAGCUACAAAAGGCUUGCUCAAUCCAAAAACUUAAAAGGAAGAUUUUACUCAAGUUUGUCCCCAAAAGACAGCUGAAUUGAAAAAUAUUGACUAUUGAAUCAAUGCUCAAUUACAUUUGAAAUGGAAAGCUUGGCUGCAGUUACGAUGUUUUUCCCUCUGAUUUUCUUCCAAAACAAAUUCAUUUGUAAACAAUAACGGAAGUAGCAAUAAUUUAUUCAUCAAAGAAAAUAUCCAAGUUUUCAACUAACAAAUCCUUUUGUCUAAACUAAAAAAACUUAUAUUUUUAAAAUCUAUCUACAAAAUGUUGGAAAUAAAGAGUGAUCUAUCAACUCGGUAAAUAAACUCAUACAUAAUGUUUACAAUAAUGAUAAAUUACAUAAUAAUUAUUAUAAAGAAUCAUAAAUUAGAAAAAUAUUUUAAGAUCAAAUUGCCUUCAAUGCUGAAUUACAUUUGAAAUGGAAAGCAUGGCUGCAGUUACGAUGUUUCCCCCUCUGAUUUCCUCCAAAACAAAUUCAGUUGUAAACAAUAACGGAAAUAACAAUAAUUUAUUCAUUACUCAAAUUUUUUCAACUAACAAAUCCUCUUGUCUAAACUAAAAAAACUCAUAUCUCUAAAAUCUAUCUGCAAAAUGUUGGAAAUGAGGGGUGAUCUGUCAAUUCGGUAAAUAAACUCGUGCAUAAUGUUAACAAUAAUGAUAAAUUACAUAAUAAUUAUUAUAUAGAAUCAUAAAUAAGAAAUAUUAAUCAUUUCACAAUCUAUUACGUAAGUAAGAUAAAUUUCAUAAUAAGUUAAGUUAUAAUGUAAUAAAUAUUUUCAAUAUGCUAAGAUAGGAUUGGUCCUAUCUCAAAGUAGUUAGUGGUGUAAAACUGAUGGUUGUCGAAGCCAGCAAAAAUAAAUACCUACUCUAAAUAAAUUGUGUAUAGUGAUUGAGCAGGGUCGUGUCCACAGAGAUCGGUAAUUAUUUAAAUCAUUUUAAAAUGUAAAAUGCAAAAUGGGGGAAUUGUUGACAAUAAUAAAAAUCAAAUUAAAAUAACAAGAAUGUAAAUUAAAAUUGUAAUUCAAAUUGGGGAAAAAGUAGUAUUAGACUUCAGAAAGCUAAGGUUGUUAUGUUAAAGAAUUCAUAUUGACAUAAUUUUAUUUUGGCUUUCGGGGAAAAAAAUAUUUGUUGACAAGCAAGAAAAUAUUUUUGUAUUUUACAAUUUAUUAUACAUAUUUGAUCAUAUUAAAGUAAUUUUAAUAAUAAAUAGACACAUAAUAUUACAAUAAAUAAAGUAAAGUUUAAAUUAUUUUGAAUAUUAUAAAAAAUAAUUUUACAUUUGAAAUGGAAAGAGUGGUUUUAAACACCAGAAAGCAAAGAUUAUUCUGUUAGACAAUUGUUAUUGACAUAAAAAAUAAUUUGGUUUUCAAGGAAAAAAAACAUAUUUGUUGACAAGCAUGAAAUUUUUUUUUUGUAUUUUACAAUCUGUUAUUACAUAUUUUAUCAUAUUAAAGUAAUUUUAAUAAUAAAUGUAUAUGUAUCUAGAUUGUAACUAUAUUUUAAAAAAUAUAAUUUUUUUAAUUAUUGCACAGAAAAUGUAGAAAAAUGUCUAUGAAAUAAUAUUAUUAGGACUAAGAAAAAAUAUUAUUUUAGAUAAGUUAUAUAUUUAUUAUUGAAUGAAUAAUUUAUUAAUUUAUUGAUAAAUAAAUAUUUAUUAAUUUAAAGAGAGAUUUUUUUUGGUUUUAGUAAUAGUUUGUUUGUUACAUGUACACACUUAUAAAGAAACACAAAAAGUGCUUGCUCAAGUCAAUAGUAUUUGCUUUAAUCGCUACUGUUCAUAAUAAUGUAGCUAAGUUAGGAAAUUUGUAAUUAUACUAUGGUUCUGUUUUGUAACGCCCAAAUUUCUAUUAUUUUAUUUUAUUUUUAAUGGAAUUUAUAAAUGGCGUUACUGCCCUUAUAAAAAGGGUUAUUCAUGGGAUAAUUUUUAGGAAAUGGUUAUUUUUCCAAAUUCAAUAGGGUUUCUUAAGACUCCCUAUAAAUUAAUAUUUUUUUUCCCUUCGAUACUCGAAGUCCACGACGAUUCUUCUUCUUCUCUGCUGCUCAUUAUGCUCCUACCCAAACCCUAGGAUUCAAACUUUUGCUUAGGAGAGAAUCAAAGCGAUUGGUGUUGGAGGUGAUUGAGGCUCUUAGAGGCUUAGAGGUCUGUUAAUUCAAAUUCUUUUGUCGAGAUAAGUAAUUUCAUUCCUAAUAUACUGGAUAUGUAUAAGUAUUUUGAUGUUAUUAUAAGAGUUUUUAUACUUCUUAGAAGAUUAAUAGAUUUUCAUACCAAAAUCAGUUUAUGAAAAUGUUUUCAAAUCUGAAUUCUUUUGAUAAAAUAUUUUAUAAAUGCGUUUUAAUAUGUAAAUUAUUUUAUGACAUGACUGCCUUUUAUAAUUUUGUCUAUGAAAUAUUUUUGCAAGCCUAAAUUGUUGCUAUAGACUUUCAUGAAUCUAAUACGAAUGUUUUGUGCCUAUGUAUGAUUUUAAUUAUUUAUGACUGUACGGGGGCCACCUCUUGAGACUAUAUGGGGGCCACCUCUUGAGGGCCAAAGCGCCGCAAAGUGCCACAUAUAGUGCAAAGUGCCACGUAUAAGUCAUUAUGUUUUGGCUCAUUGUCCGUAGUUAUUCUGAUUCUAAUUCUGAUUGUAUUAUACGAUAUAUUUGUUCUGGACUAGUACUAGGUUUAUGUUCUAAGUGUGCACACGAUAUUCUGAUUCUGUUUCUGGUCAGGUCACCGAGACUAUAGGUGAUACUAUGUGACAUGAGCUAACUAUCUGCUUUCUGUAUACACUUUAUACGAUUUGCUUUCAUAAUUGAUUAUUCUUUUGAUACUCUGAAUUACCAUGAAUUUAUGUUAUAUAAUUGAAAUAUGUUGUUUUAUGAAGUUUAUGAGUUAUAAUAUAUGUUUUUGAAUAAAAGAAGGCUUGCAAUAUUUUUGAUAUCGAUAGGCCUAGUGUAUUAGGAAUGAUUUUACCUACCGAGUUGACAGCCCACCCCUCGUUAUUACUUUUUGCAGAUUAAGUUCCUUUUAAGAGGUAUGCGUAGCUUUGGAGUUAGAGAUUUCGUUUCCGUUUGCUAUUUGAAUAAGAAGAGGAAUAGACUCAUGUUUCUUUUUAGUUUAUUUCUGUUAUGAACUUGUAAUUUGGAGUUUGAGACUUUUGUUAUUGUUAUGUUUUGGAAGAGAUUAUUUAGUGUUAGACGUAUUAAUUUGUGGAUUUAUUUGAAUAAGAAUUUGAGGUAUUUGAGUUUGGAAUUUAUAAGUAAGGAUUACGAUUUGUAAGUAACCUCCUUCUUCAUGUGCUCCGCACGUGUUAGAUUUGGGGUGUCAUAUGUUUCGUAUAACUUUUGAAGUAGAGCUUAUUUAAAUAGAGUAUUCGUCAAUAAAGCUUCUAUAAAUAAAGAUUUUACUAAAAAAAAUUUAGUUGUUUGGUUGUCAAUGUCCAAAUUGACGAACUUUUGUUCCUUUGCUAACAUGUAUUUGUUUUAUUUAAUAAUAGAAGUUUGGUUUACAAUUACACCACCUUCAAAUCAGCUGAGCAUUUUUGCAACCGGUCACAUUAUACAUUAUACUAAUAGCAUCGGCAAGAGUUUUCGAUUGUUGCAACUUGCAAUGGACGCGAUGGGAGAAAAUGAGAAUCUUGUUUAAUUGCAAUAUUGACAAACCUAAUCCUUUCGUAGGGAGUAAUUUAAUAAUCGCUUGUUAUAAUUGAAUAUGUAUAAAGAAAGGAAAAUUCUAUUCAUAGAUUUCGACUUAUUUUUUGUUUAAAGUAAUUAAUCAUUCAACCAUCUUCAUUUGCCUCUGGCCAAUGCCCUUGUAGAUUAGUUGAACCGUUAAUUACUUAAUUCAGAUAAUUACAGUGUCCUUUUCGCUAAUUAAUUAUGAUUAUAUACGCUUUCAUAUAGCAAGUGGCUUUGUAGAUCUAAACCAAGUUGCUAUUUCAAAACGUUAAUUAAGUGAUUCUCCUCAUUGUCAUCAGCGUUAUACGCUCUAGGAAAAUAGCUCAAUUGUUUCCCUGCAUUGAUUUUCAUUGGUACGUGAUUUCUUAUGAAAUUCUUUUGAGCUUUCCUUAUUAAAAAUGCUUGAGCUUUUAUCACCCAAUACGGAUAUCAAUUAACUUGUGAACGAUUUUGUAAUGAAACUAGGAGUUAAAUAAGAUUUUUACAUGAUGAAUUUUUAUUUUUUUAAUUUUUUGAUGUAGUCAAUUUGCUAAUUUUAUGUAUUUCAUAUUCAACGGAAUUUGGGCACGGAAAGUUUGGAUUCUAAUAUUUAUAUGUUUAGCUUUAAUCAGUUUGACUUUCGUAAUCUUUUUCCCCUCAUCAUUAAGGGAUUCAGAAUUAGAGAAACGUUAGGAAGAGGAAGAAAAUAAUUUCGGAAAUAAGUAAGAGGGAAAAAAUUAUCAAAUUAGGAAUGAUUUUUUGUAGAGUAUGUUGCGUUUACUAAAAUGAAAUCGAAAUGAGCUGGAAUCAGAAUGGAUAAAAAUGCGAAUGUGCUGGAAUAAGAAUAAGUAAUGAGAAUCAGAAUAAGUUGUUUACUUGAACUGUAAGAAUCGAAAUCGAAAUGAGCUGGAUUGCAAUUACUUUGUCCUACAAUUAGAAUCAAAAUGAGUUAGAUUGUAACAAAUUACUAAAAGGUACUUAAUGAAUUAUUGUCAUAAUUAUUAUUUUAUAUUUUAAUUAUAGUGAUUAUUUAUUCUAAAUUAUUAUUAUUAAUUAUUUUCAAUAAUAUAUUAAUAUGUUAAUUAAUUUUAAAAAUUAUUAAUUAAUUUAUUAUAAUAAUAUACUAAUUAAUUAUAAUAAUUAUAUUAAUAAUUAUUAUAAAAAUAUAUUAAUUAUUAAUAAUGAAAUUACUUAUUUAAUUAUAAUAAUAUAUUAAUUAUUGUGAUUAUUUAUUCAAAAAUUAUAAUUAUUAAUAAUUAUUGUUAAUAAUGUAUCAAUAUAUUUUAUAUUAUGAAAUUGUGAUGUAUUGUAGACAAAUAAGGGAAUUUGGUACAAUAAAUUCUUAAUAUCUUAGUACAAAGUAUGGUACAAUGAUAUUUUAACUUAUUGUAGACAGAUUAAAUUUCGACACACUUAAUCCAUAAUAAAAUUAGUGGAAAAUAAUGAUAAUUUAUACAAUUAAUCUUUUGAGCAAUAAAAAAAUAAAAGAAAAAGAAGUUACUAAAUUAUGUUUACUGUUAAGAGUGAAUCCACAAUCCUAAAUAAUUUAUUUCCAUCGUUUCACUUAAAUUAAAUAGUGUGAAUUUAAAUUCUAAUUUUUUGAUAAAUUAAAAAGAAAUAAAAAAUUAAAAUUUUUCUCUAUGGAUCGACCUCGGAUUGAUCAAUUUAUUUCAUAACAACACACUUUUAUACUUGAGAGUUAUAAAUAACUUUGAAGUUGUGUUAAGUUUUUGACGCUCUUACGGGGGAAAAAUAUUUAUUUUAUUUUAUGUAUGGGUCAAACUUGAAAGUAUAUUUUAAGAUAGCUGCUAAUAUGCUCUAUUAGACAAUGAUAACGUAGUUGUUUGUGGUGUUCAUAAUGAGUUUAAUUAUGAUUCAACAAUUUAAAAUAUGAAAACAUAUGGAAGAUGGCCGUAAUUAAAUUGAUUGCAUGAAAAUAUUUCAAUGAAAUUUUAAAAAUUUGGUACUUAUUAUCUUAUCAAAAGUUUUUUAAAUUAUAUUACUACUUCAACUUAACUCCUCCUGGAUUGAUUGUAUUGAAUUUCCAGCACCGCCAUUGCUUCUACUUGAAAGCCAUUUAAGUUUGUGUAAGCUACCUAUAGUUUGAAUAACAAUUUACUCAUGAAUUGCUGUUCAUGAUAACAAUUUGAUUGAAAGUGCGGCUGCACUAAUUGUUCUCGUACGACCCCAGAAUGCUGUUAAAUCAGUUGUAUUGGAAAUUAAUCAACUGGUUACAACUCUACACCCCAUCAAUAUUUAAGCAGUCCACAGAACAUUAAUUGUGUUUUGAAAUUUUAAUGAGUCUCACGUGUUUUUCACGUGAUAUGCAGUAAAAACAAAAUUAAAAAAAUGAAAACAUUCAGCCCCAAAGCCAAAAUCCCCAACUCCUUCCAAAUUGGUUCCGCAGCCCCCAAAUCCCUUAAACCCAAAGCACUCUAAAACGACUCUCCUCAGCCAAAAAGAAAAAGGUCACCUCACCUCUCCUCUUCUUCUUCCAUGGCGAUCAACGGCGGCACAAGCACGGGCUGAUCUCCUUCGUCAGUAACGAUCAACGGCGGUACAAGCAUGGACAGAUCUUUUUUUUGGCAAUGAUGAACAGCGGCACAAGCAGAGUCGUCCUCAGGUACGGAUUUGAUGUUGGUUGUGUUGUCAAGUAGCGAUUCAUGUUUGGAAGAGAAUCCGCUCACAAGGACCUGGAGCACUUAAUCGAAGAUCUUAAGCGAGGAAUUCGCUUCCUCCUCAUUCCUAAUCGGUGCCUGAUUCAUCAGUAUGAUUAAGGAUGAAAAUUGAGAAAGAAGGACGCAUUAGGUUUGAGACAUUGGUUGAAAAACGCUACCCCGGUGGCCACGCUGGAAACAUAUGUUCCGUGGCUUCUUGCGUUGUCUGUGAGGAAUAUGUACUGCUGUAGAAGAUAAUUAUGAAUCAAUGGUAAUUGGCGUGUUGGUUUUGGUGCCGAUUUCCUCUUAUUUUCCAGAAAAGGCUUGUAAUUUGUUCACCUCAAGAUUCAAUUUUGUUAUUGAAAAUGGAUGGCUGUAAAGACCUAUUGGCCUUUCAUUAUAUUAAUGUUUUUGACAGUAAGUUUGUAAUAGUUAGUGCAGGGAACUUAUUGAUUCUUGAUUAUAUAUAACGGUGGCCCUUAUUACUUUAAAAAAAAAAAAAAAAUUGAUGAUGGGUUUCGUUUUGUAUAAGUGUUUGGAGUGUUGGAAAAUUAACAUUGUAUAUUUUAGAUAGUUGAGUUCCAUAGUAAUAAAAAGCUACGGAUUUGUUUUCUUUUUAUUGAAAUGAAAACAUUUUUCACUUGUAUAAUAGAAAAUAUACUAUAUCUUUAAUACUUUUGUCAAAUUUAUUAUUUAAAAUUUAUAUUUACUACAUAUUAUUAAUUUUUGUUUCAUAGUCAUAGCUUUUUUUCCACAGUAGCUGUAGCUUAAAAGAUACAGCACCUCAAUUCCAAACGCACUCUAAUUAAAAAUUUUAGAAUUUUUGGGCAUGGAAUUGAAAAGAGUAGUAUUAAACAUCAGAAAGCUAAGGUUGUUCUGUUAAAGAAUUGAUAUUCACAUGAUUUUAUUUUGGUUUUUGGGGAAAAAAAAAAUUGUUGACAAGCAAGAAAUUAUUUUUAUAUUUUACAAUUUAUUAUACAUAUUUUAUCGUAUUAAAGUAAUUUUAAUAAUAAAUAGAAGCAUAAUAUUAAAUAAAGUUUAAAUUAUUUUGAAUAUUAUAAAAAAUAAUUUUAAUAUUAUUAAUAGGAAGACAUUUUGUUAAUUUUAAAAUCUUUUUAACCCAAAGGUUUAUUUAAAAUGUUUAUUAUAAAUAAAGAUAUAAAAUUAAAUAUCAUAGUGUAAAAUUUUUAAUAUUAUUUUAAGUAUUAAAAAUAUUUUAAUGUUAUUAGUCUACUACAUAGAUCAUAUUACUUAUAUUAUAUUUGCAAUGAUUAAAAAAUUUUAAAAUCAAUUUUCUAGUUACUAUAUUCGCGAAAUAUUAUGGUUAAAGAAAAGACCUUGGUGUUACUUUUUACAAAUUUGAGUGCCUGCAUGAUAAUUUUUUCAAAAUUUAAGAAUGUAUGUGUCCUUUUCUCCAAUAAUUUAUUUCACUUUUGAGGGGAAUCCAAUGAGAAAUAUGAUAAGAGAAUGUCAAUUACUUGUCAUUUUCUAUUUUUUCUGUAAGCUAUUUAUUUUGAGCACUGGUGAUCUUGUCUUGACUACUCCAAUUAUUGAUGGAACUCCAAUGGCUGCAUCCACAGUUGAAUAUAUGAUAGUGUUAGCUCUUAUUUGAGAAUUCAGAGGGAUCUUUCUAUGUUUAUCAAUUGCAAUGUGCUAGUAUAAAUUUCUUUACCUUACAGUUUAUAUAGUCUUGCUGUUAAAGAACUCACUGAGGCAUUAUUGAUUCAAUUUCAGUGGAGCAAUCGCGCGUAGAGGAUAAAUAAAGGAUAACAGAACAGAGCUGAAGUGCUAAAUUGGCUAUUAAAGAAGGGUGUCACAUGAUCACAAUCACAUUGAUGCACAACUCUCUGGAGGCAAAUUUUGUCUGUAUGUUCUCUAAAUUCAGCCAAACCAUACAUGCAUGAACAAAAAUUAAACCGUAGUUCUCACCACAACAGUAAUUGAAGCUACAAAAGCCAGCAAAUCUGAACAAAAACUUAAAAGAAAGAUCUUAUUCAAAUUUGUCCCCAAAAGAGUGCUGAGAUGGAAAAUAUUGACUAAUGAAUGGGUCAAUGCUGGAUUACAUUUCAAAUGGAAAGCUUGGCAGCAGUUACAAUGUUUCUCCCUCAGCUUUUCCUCCAAAACAAAUUCAGUUGUAAACAAUAACCGAAGUAGAGAUAAUUCAUUCAUCAAAGAAAAUACCCAAGUUUUCAACUAACAAAUCCUUUUGUCUAAACUAAAAAACUCAUAUCUCUAAAAUUUAUUUGCAAAAUGUUGGAAAUGAGGAGUGAUCCGUUAUCUCCGUAAAUAAACUCAUGCAUAAUGUUAACAAUAAUGAUACAUUACAUAAUAAUUAUUAUAAAGAAAUAUAAAUUGGAAACGCUAAUCAUUCUACAAUCUAAUAAAUAAGUAAGAUAAAUCUCGUAAUAAGUUAAGUUAUAAUGUAUAAAUGUUUUUAAUAUAUAAUUAUUUAAGAAGUCAUUUAAUAAUAAAAUAUUUAUUCUAUUCAGUUGAUCAUAUAGCGUUAUCGAAACUCUUGACGAUAUUAUUAUUACACUUUUCUCAAAAAAACAUGAUUAACAUUUAGAGAAAAGUCAUGCCUUUUAGAUAGAAUAUGUACAUAAGCUAUCCAUAUUUUAUCUUACCAUGAAAAAAUUGAUGGUGAUUAAAUCUACUUUUAAAAUAGAUUUAAUGCACAAAUAUGAUGAUUUUUGGCAAAAAUUAGUUUCGGAAGAUACAAUGGUAGAAAAUAGUGAUGAUUAUUGUUUAAAUGUGUAAAUAGCCUAGGCAUAGCCCGUAAUACCAAUAUCCAUUUACCUUCAUUUAGAUUAUCACAUCUCAUGAUAUUUUUUCAUUCACGACCAUUGUUCGAGAUUUGAACUUGAUCAUAAAUUAAGCUGCAACGGAGUUACUUAUGUUUCUAAGCUUUUCAAUCGCGAUUCCUCCAUGCCUUUCUUGGAUACCAUUUUACUGACCUUGUAAUUGGUGUGUAUAAGGAGUCAUGCCCUUUCAGGAUCGUUUUCUUUUUUUUUUUUCCUGAUUGUAGUGUCAAAUAAAUAAAGAACGAACAAUUGAACUUAGUCUAUUUCGAGGAAAACCAAGGCCUGCAAUAUUAGAUGAACUUUGAACAAAAUUAAUCUACUAUUCUACAUCCCCACCAAAAUUUAAACAGUCGACAUUGUGGAAAGAAACACAUUUCGCCACUAGGCUUUUAGUGAGGCUAAUUUCUCUGAAUUUGGACAGAGUAGGUCCUCCAACGAGAACUGAAUCAGGACGAAUCGGCUCUCCAUUUUCUAAUUCGAACGAGCAAAGGAAGCCUGAAUCUGUGACCGUUAUCAAUACUCUGCUUCUAUUCUGAUUCUCAGGAAGUACUUCUUCAAGAUCAUCCAAUACAUCGUCACCCUCUUUGUACUAAUCAUCAAGCACAAUAAAGUACUUCUUGUUUGUUAGGUAAUCUCGAAGAAUAGAUUUCUUCAAUUGAUAAUCUUCACCGAUAAUUACACUAACCCGAGAUGGAGGCAUCACAGACUUGAUUAUGUCAUCCAAUACCAUGCGAAAAUCGUAGGAUAUAGAAACCCUGACCCAAGCAUGACAGUCAAAAUAGAACUUGACGUGAUUAUUGUUGUAAGUAUCAGCAGUAAAAGCAGUCUUAUCGAAGCUAUUGAUGUCUUUCAGAAGCUCCCAAAUGUCUGUUCUUUUAACAUUUUCUAAGUGCAAGAGCUGCCGAUAACGCGAAGGUAUUUCAUCUUCAUCGAAUUGUUCUCUAAUGAGUUGAAUUAAAACUCGAGCCAUGUCAGCUUCAUAGUUUCCCAGCAGAGUAGUGGCUAUAAUUUCGGACUCCGUAAGAAGGUUUUGAAAAAGUGGAGUUAAAUUUGUUGAAUCAGGCAAAGUUAACGUGCCUUCUUCACCUGCUAACACCAGUUUCAACCUCUCACAAAAUAGUGUGAGGUUAAUUUCCAUAUCUUUCCCUCUCUCAGUAGUACUCAGAGGUACGUAUUGUUAUUUGUUAGUGUUGAUGACGAAAGCUGAAUAAUCAAAACAACAGUGUACACAAUCAACAGAAGGCGAAGUAUGUUAAGUUGAGAUCAAAGGAUAUAAAUGAAGGAAAAGUUUAAGUACUCCGUUGAAAGCCAAAGUUGCUUUGGCCAAUUAAUUUAUAAGUGAAGGAAAGAAUAAAGUUAGUCCUCGAUGUCUUUUGAAAUUAGAAAUACAUUUUGAAUGCUUUAAUAGAUGCAGAGCAAGCUGGCUCGAUGUCUAACUAUUUUAAGAGCUAAAAUCAUUUAUUAGAAGUUGUGGCAUUGAAAAAAACUGGCUUGAUAUCCAAUUUUGUUAUUUAAUGUCUCACGUGAGAGUAAAUAACUGUUGUGUUACUGGCAGAUGAUUGAGACGGACAAGUUUGGAACAUUGUUCGAGACUGAAACUACACAUCAGUCUUAGAAAAUUGUAAUUUUGUUGAAAAAUUAUAGAUUGAAAAAUUAUUGAGACGGACAAGUUUGGACCAUUGUUCGAGACUGAAACUACACAUCAGUCUUAUAAAAUUGUAAUUUUGUUGACUUAUCAUGAUUUUGAUUGCCUCCCAUUGAUUUUCCUAUGAUGUCUCUGUAGAGUGGCUAUGCUUACAUUUUUAGGUAUUUAAUUCUAAAAAUUAACUUAUUAGAUGGAAGGAUCAAUUCUACCUGUAAAUCUAAGUGGCUUCCCUUUACUAACUCAUAUAAGACACAACAAUAAUUUUCUUCGAAAAAAACCACCAUCGGAGGGCUAUUUUCGUUCAACAUACAUGAGUUGUUCCGCCACCAUAUUUUGAGGGUUUGCUUCUAAUACAACUUGGGGAAGCUAGGGGUAAGAUUUCCAAGUAUCAACAUAAAAACCUUGCCGAUUGGAUAGAAGGACCAAUCUUACUUAUAAGUCUAAAUGACUAAUUUUUGAGGACACAACUCAACAGACCAAUAUAAACUUUUGGCGUCCCAUUUUAUUACUUUUCAGUGCUUUACUUUUGCUGUCUAUAGCCCUACUAUUCUAUUAAGCAGAAAAUAUUAUCUAUUUUCUUUCCAUUUUAUGUAUACCCCGAUCUUUACCUCUGAUUGGUUGUAGAUUCUUCUGUCGCUUUGGGGUUAGGGGAUGGUUUUCAUCAAGAAAUGAUAAAGGAUUGUUAGUUGUGUGACAAACAGCAUUAAUAUGAAGGAUGAUGAUUGUUCUUUUCAAGAGUUUAUAAUGACAUAAUUCUGCUUUGGUCUUUUAAAAAAAAGUAAUUUAGAAAUGAGGAGUAUGUGAGUGAUGAUUUUUACAAAUAAAUUGCAUGCGUAGUGAUGAUUUUGACACAUGAAAAUGUAAAAAGAAAUAUAACUUGUGAAUAAUAAUCGAAGUACCCUGCUAUUGUUAUAUUGAGUAAUCAAGGACUUCGAUAUUCGGACGAUACAAGCAACACAAUCAAAUAUUAGUUGGAAGGCAUAGCAAAAUUAGAAUGUAGAACAAACUGGGUAUUGAUAAAUGGAUGGUUUUGGAAGAAUUGAAAAUGAUGGCAAAAAAAAAACAAAGUUAAGAGAAAAGAGAAAGAGCAUUUGAACUUUACUUGUAAGUAAAGGCAAAUAUCUUGGUUCAAGAAAAGAUAAGAGAUAUCAAACUAGCAAUAGGAAAAAGGAGGAAGGUUAAGACAGCAUCUUAACAAAAGCUAAAGAAAAGAAAAACUUAGUUCAAGCAAAGAACAAUGUGCUAAUGUAGUGUAAUCUUGUUUAAUUUCUUUUUCUUCUCACAUUUUCCAGGGCUUAAAUAAUACAAUGUACAUUUUCAAGCAAAGAACAACAAAUAAAUAAUACAAUAUACAUACCCAGUAAAUUAAAAAAAAUAUAUUAUUCAAGUUUGUGGACAAUACUGUAGCCAUUGCGUCGUCGAAAUCUACUGACAGCUGAAACAAAGAAAGAAUGGAUGAACGCUGGAUCACAGUUGAAAUUGAAGGUCUGGUAGGUGAUGUUUCCCUCUCUGAUUUUACCUAAACAAAUACAAGAAAAUAAGAAUCACGAAUGAAAAUCUGUUAUUACACUGUUCUUACUUAUUAAAAUACAGAGGUUUCUUUGUUUCUCUGCAGCAAUGUCCAUGGCUAUUAGAAACAAGAACAAUUAGACCAGCAUUUGCAAGAAUCUUUUAAGGUAUUACUGCAGAUAUAAAUCGACUGAGGAAAUGGAAAAAUUGAAUACCAAAUUAGGCAAGUUAACUGAAGAUUCAGUUAUCAUAGAAGAAUAAAACUCAUCCAAUUCAAUCCAUCAAAUUUCAUUAAGCAUUUCCAGAACUCUUGAUUUUCUUUCUCAGUAGCCAAACAACUUCAAUCUCAUUUUUUUUUUUCAACAAUGAGUUCUCAAACCACUCUGGUAUCAUUUUAAGACAUUCUCGGCCUUGUACUCACCAUCAAAAUGGAUUGGUUGAGAGAAAACAUAGGCAUAUUGUUGAAUUAGGUUUGACUCUGUUGGCUCAAGCUCAACUUCCUUUUAAAUUCUGGUGGGAUGCAUUCCAUACUGCCCUAUAUCACAUCAAUAGAUUACCAUCUUCUGCUUUCAAACUUUCGACCCCAUGUGAGAAGAUAUCCAAGCACAAACCUGAUUAUGAUUUUCUCAAAUGUUUUGGUUGUAUUUGUUAUCCUUACUUGAGAGACUAUAACAAACAUAAGUUUGCCUAUCAUUCCAGUAAGUGUAUAUUCAUUGGUUAUAGUCCUUCACAAAAGGAUUAUAAAUGCUUACAUUCUUCAGGUCAAGUCUAUGUGGCAUGACAUGGUAUCUUUGAUGAGUCAACCUUUCCUUAUGCUACUGAAUCUGUUUUUCAUAGUCACACAAAUUCUGAUUCUCAUUCUUCAAAUUUAUUUACUCCACAGCAUGUCUAUUAUCUUUCUACUUUACCUGUCAUACCAGUAUUUCUAAAUAACAACACUGAUAAUCUAAACUCUACAAAACUAAAAUGCCAGCUGUUUGGUGUUAGCGAUAAGAAACAACUUACCACAACCAUUAAUUAUCCAUAAUUUCAUUGUUUAUCCUCAGUUUUCUUCAUAAAUGUUACAGCGUUCUUCACAACAAAGUGCAAGGGCAUCUCAAAAGUUCUGAAAUAAUACCUCAAUUCUAUUGCAAAAAUAAAUAAUCUCAAACAAGAACCAAUAAUCAUAUUUCGUUACUGUCAAACACAAUGCAUCUGAGCAAAACAUUGGAAGCCAACACCAGAAUACAUAUGAAUAAACAAUUAAAGAUAGAGAAAAAAGGCUUAAACCUUGGGGGAAAAAAGUGAAAAAACAUGAAAGACAAAUUACACAUGUGCAGUAACCAUCGAACUUAUCAGUGACAGCUGCAUCCAUUACAUUGCUCCAACAACACAAUGGCAAACCACCAGUUUCAAAUUGAGGAUAGCUAUUGAGAAUGAGAAAGUGUCCAAAACGCCAUAAAUAGACAUGUUCCUAUUAUGCAUAAUUUACAUUAUAGGCAAAUAUUCUUAUACCAUCAAAAGCAAAACAUGACACUAUAACAAUUGACUCCCCCCCCCCCCCCCCCCCCCCCGCACACAAAAAAAAAGGAAGAAACAAUACCGAAAAGAUUGAAACAGGUAAGGCUACACUGAGCACAGGAUGCCAUGAAACAUAAUCCAGGAACCAAAUUAAUAAAGAAGGAAGGCAAACCAUUAUUUAACAAUCUGUUUUGUAUUAGGGAAAGUCCGAUAAAAUCUACUUAGGGAUAAUUAGAGAACCUCAACUAUUAAUCACACCUCAUAAAUGAACUAACAUUAACCAUGUACCAUCCCCACAUCAGACAAACAUUCUCUAUACUUCUGAACCUAAUACUUCCAUCUUCAAUUGGGGUUUUUUUCUUUUGUGGGGGGGGGGAUAAGCUAUCGUUUUUCUAAGCUUGCUUACCUUCUGUGUGGGACUGAAAUACUGAUUUCGAAUCAUUAACAGUAAAAUUGGAAGCUCAUGAAAAAACAAUUUUAUCUUUUAACAAAAGUUAAAAUUACAUCUCCAUAUAAAUUCUCUUUUCAUUUCCUUCAAUUUUCUAAUUAAGCUUAAAAAAAUGUACCUUCAACCACAAAGGGGUUUAAAAUUUAAAAUAUAUAAAAAAAUAAAUUCAGAUAACAAUAAUUAAUUUAAUUAAAAAUAUAAAUAGAGAUUACAGAGAAAGAAAAAAUAGAGAAAGACCUGAUGUUGAGAGCAUCGACGGCCGGCAGUGACCGGCGGAAGAUGGCGAGAGAUGGCGGCGUGGGCCAUUGCUUGCGCAUCAGUGAGUGUCUCGAGUGAGAGAGUGAAGGUAGGGAUGGCAAUGGGGAGGGAGGGAGGGUCCAAUCUCUCUGUACCCAUCUCCCAAUUUGUCCCCGUCCCUCCCCGUCCCCAUUUGCUUAGAAUCUGUCCCCUACUCGAAUAAUAAUUCUCGAAUAAUAACAUAAAAUGCUCGAGGUUCUCGAUUUAUGAAUAAUUAAUAUAUUUUUUAUUUUAAAUUUUAAAUUAACUAUAUUAAAAUAAAAAAUUUAAAUAAAAAUAAAAUUUGAAAUAUAUUUUAUAUUAAUAUUGAUCCAUUAUAAAAAUUACAUACAAAAUAUAAAUUAUCAAAAUAAUUAUCUUUAUCAAUCUUCAUAAUCCUACAAUAAAAAGAAAAAAAAUUUACUUUUAUAUUGAUAAUAAAAUAAAUGUAGAUAAUUAAUUAAUAUUUUUAAUAAAAUAAAAUUAAAAUAAAAUAAAAUUUUUAGGCUAAUAUAAUCUACCCGACUUUUUUAAUGUGUUAAAUAAAAAUUUAAGACUUUAAUUAGUUAAUUAGGCCUAAAAGCUUAAUAAUAUAAAUAUUUUGAUAUUUAUUAUUUUUACUAAUAUUUAUAAUUUUAUAAUAUAUUCAAUUUUUAUUAUUUAUUUACUAGUAAUUUUAAAAAAUAAAAAUAAAAUUAAAAAAUAAAAUGGGGGAAAUGGGGAGGGGAUGGGGAUUCCACCUCAUCCCCGUCCCUUCCUUGUAGGGAUGGCAAAAGUUCGGGUCGGGUCGGGUCUGGGGCUGCCUGGAACUGACCCGGAUUUCACACAUAGCUGCCCGGACCCGGACCGUGCCCGGAUUUUUUCUAUGCGGGCCGGGUAUAUGGCUGGCACUAUCCGGGCACAGGUUUUUUUUGGGUUUUCUCUACCCACAUUUUCAAAACUGGCUAAAAAAAAAUUGAUAGAAAAGGCUAAAUAAGUAAACAAAAUUGCAAUUGGGCCUGGAAAUUCAUAACUUAUCCCUGAAUUAUAUAUAUAUAUAUAUAACUUCUAAUUCUUUGUUGAUACAAGUUUUUUCUAAUUCAUUAUAAAAUCACAUUAUAUAUAUUAUUUCCUCAUCAGAUAAUAAGUGACAAUUGCUCACCAGUUUAUUAACAUCUCUACGAAACCGUCUUUUAUGGCAUUAUUAUUAUUAUUGUUGUGGCUGAAACCAUGUAGUAUGUGAUUGAAGAAAUUGCAUUAAAUGUUGGAGUGGAGGUGAUGUAGGUGAGAAAGGAUUCCCUGGAGACUGUUAAACAAGACACAAGGCAUUUCCGGAAGAAAACAGAAGACAACUGGAUAAGACAAAACGGACAAAAGGGUAAGAGAGGUGGGUGGGAAAUUAAGAUAGGCAAUUUGUCCAGCAGAAACAUAAUAAUACCUCGUGGUCGUGGGUCGUGGCUGUGUUGGUGAAGUUGCAGCUGAACAAGAACAGUUGAUGCUGUCGCGUGGUGGCUGCCGUUGAGAAGAUGACCAAACGAUGAAGAGCUCUGUGACGGGAUGGUUGUGCUUUGCGAGGAGAAAUAGAGUUGACUGAGGAAGGUAAGAGGUUCGUGGAGGGAAAGGUGCGGACAACACUGCAUCAGUGCCGGUGGGUGGUGGAGAGACGGAGAGAGGUGCCGCCGAUUUGGAGAUUUCAGGGUGGGUGCUGACUGCUGCAGUGCUGCGUUGUUCUGCAAGUUGCAAUCGCGAUUUAGGGUUCAGUACCAGUUUUGGGGGCAAUUGGGCAAAGUAAAUUUUAUUUUCGCUUUUAUAUUUUCUUUUUUUUUACUUAAUAAAAAACCGGGCAUUGAAAAUCAAUGUCCGGAUCCGCUUUUUCCAUUCAUGUGGUCCGGGUAAAACCCGAACCGCACACGCCGGGUCUGGGCCGGAUCCGGUCCGGGUGGGUUUUUCUGCCACCUCUACUUCCUCGAAUAAGAAAUUUGGUAAAAAAAAUUUCCCGUCCCUUCCUCGAAUAAAAAAUCGGGUAUAAAAUUAUCUCUGUAUCCUCCCCGAAUGAGAAAAAUCCCCGAAGAUACCCAUACCUGUGGGGAUUUUUACCAUCCUUGAGUGAAGGGUUUUGUUUAGGGUUUUGGGAAAUGAAAAAUGUAAAUGUUUGAUUUUGUUGCUAGAAACUUCUUCUGCCGCUGCUUUUUAUUUUCGCUAUAAAAAUAAUAAUUUGUUAAUCAAAUAUUUUCUUAAAAAAGAUAAAUUUCUAGAACAAAAUUUAUAUUAAAUCAAAUUGUAAAAAUGUGGAAUAGGGCUAAUUUCUCCUUAAUAUUAUUAUUAGUAGAAGUAGAUUGUCGAACUAGUCUUGAUAUAUUUUAGAGUUGUAUUAUAGAUGUAUACGUAUCUAGAUUGUAAUUAUAUUUUAAAAAAUAUAAUUUUUUUUAAUUAUUGCACAAUAAAUGUAGAAAAUAUCUAUAAAAUAAUAUUAUUAGAACUAUGAUACAGCACCUCAAUUCCACAGUAGCUUAAUAUUAUUAGAACUAUGAUACAGCACCUCAAUUCCAAACGCACUCUAAUUAAAAAAUUUAGAAUUCUUGGGCAUGGAAAGAGUAGUAUUAAACAUCAGAAAGCUAAGGUUGUUCUGUAAAAGAACUGAUAUUGACAUUAUUUUAUUUUGGUUUUCGGGGAAAAAAAUAUUUGUUGACAAGCAAGAAAAUAUUUUUAUAUUUUACAAUUUAUUAUACAUAUUUUAUCAUAUUAAAGUAAUUUUAAUAAUAAAUAGAAACAUAAUAUUACAAUAAAUAAAUUAAAGUUUAAAUUAUUUUGAAUAUUAUAAAAAAUAAUUUUAAUAUUAUUAAUAGGAAGACUUUUGUUAAUUGUAAAAUCUUUUUAAUCCAAAGAUUUGUUUAAAAUUCUUAUAAUAAAUACAAAUAUAAAAUUAAAUAUCAAAAUUUAAAUUUUUUAAUAUUAUUUAAAUUUUAAAAAUACUUUAAUGUUAUUAGUCUUCUACAUAAAUUAUAUUAUUUAUAUUAUAUUUGUAUUGAUUAAAAUCUUUUAAAGUCGAUCUUCUAGUUAUUAUAUGCAAAAGGUAUUAUCAUGUUACAAUUUUUUGAAAUUUUAGGGAUGUAGGUUACGAUGAUUUAUUUCACUUUUGACAAAAUCCAAUGAGAAAUAUGAUAAGAGAAAGUCAAUUUAAUGUUCUCGACCUUUAUGAAAAAAAGUAAAAACUAAGAAUUAUUCAAUUUUAUAUUUUUUGCAUCCACCAAAUAAGUUUUGCACAUUUAUGUUAUCAUAAAACGAAAAAAAGGGUUUACCAAAAAAUGGUACCAAGCAUACCUUUAAUGUCCCACGUGAUUUCUUAUUAAGCCCAAUAUUAGAUAUAUUUAUACAUUUUACUGCAUUAAGUAUUUUAAUUAUAAAAGAAGUUGGUCCUUCCUCUAGUUACAAAAGAUAACUUUAUUUCAAGACUACCACUAAAUUCUUACGUAGAAUUAGUGCAAGGCCAAGAGAGAGUAACACAAUUUUACUUUUCCAUUACCAUUUUGAAAAUAGAAAGAUAUGGAUCCGUGUAUUUAAGAGUUAUUGUAAAAAUCAUACAAUUCAAUUUCCUGACGUGUAUUAUGUAUAUUUAGGCACAUUUGCCAAAAGCAUAAAUAGAUAGAAAGUAAAUUUACAAUCCACCCUUACUCACAAUUAUUGAAGUGAAGAUGCAUUACAACUGUCACUACUUUAACUUUAUUUAUUUAUUUGUUUUAAAUAAAAGUGUGAGAGAGACGGUGAACAUCAUGGACGAUAACAAAGGUUAAAGCCUAAAGGUGACCCAUUUUCUUUUUAAAGUGCUCUGCUGAAAGCCUAACUUCCUUUGGAUCCGCCGAAGUGGCCGAAGUGGUGGGCUGCUGCCCUCACAAGCAUUGUGAGGGCAGCGGUUCUAGCCCCCACAAAAGCAUUGUGGGGGUUAAAUGUUCUUUAUAUUUAAAAAUUUUUCUCCCUUGCGAAAUACAAGUGGAGUAUGGACAUCCCUCUCCUGUGAGGGGUUAUUUGUUUGGGCAUGUACUUCAUAGAAUUUAAUGUAAUAAUGUAAGUCCCAAUAAUGUAUAUCUGAUUGUAAAUAUCAGUAUAAUAUCUCUGCUACAAUAGCAAUUAUUGUAAAUAUUUGUGUAAUACAGUAAUCUGAUGAUUAAUCAGUAUUCAAAAAAAAAAAAACUUCAUUUGGAUCCGCCUAAGUUACUGCUUUGUAAAAUUUUAUAAAGCCCCUUAUACUCUAUAUUAUUUAUAAUUUGUUCAUAAAUAUUAUAAAACUUUCUGCAUUAUAUAAUUUUAUUGAGCCCCUUGUACUAUAUUUUAUUUCAUUGAAACCCUUAAAGUACCAAUUCGCCCUCUAUAAUUUUAAAUUACUAAAAUACCCUCCAUUUAAUUAAAAAUAUAAUGAUUAUUAAAUGAUUAUAAUUAUCUGGAGUACAAAUUCAGUAAUAAACAAUAACUAAAGUAUUAACAAUUUAUUCAUCAAAUAAAAUACUCGAGAUUUCAGCCGACAAAUCCUCUUGUCUAAACUAAAAAACUCAUAUCCCUAAAAUCUAUUUGUGAAAUGUUAGAGAUGAGUGGUGAUUUGUCAACUGGGUAAAUAAAUUUAUGCAUAAUGUUUCCGGUAUUGAUAAAUUACAUAAUAAUUAUUACAAAGAAAUCAUAAAUUGGAAACAUUAAUCAUUUUACAAUAUGUUACAUAAGUAAGAUAAAUCUCAUAGUAAGUUAAGUUAUAACGUAAUAAAUAUUUUCAACAUAUACUUAUUUAAGAAGUCAUUUAACAAUAAUAUUUUUUAUAUUUCAGUUGAUCAUGUCAUAUAGCGUUAUCUAAACUCUUGGCCAUAUUAUUAUUACUCAAUUUUCUCCCAAAAAAAAAAAAAAAAAAACAAAAACAAACAUGAUUAAUGAUUAGAGAAAAGUCAUGCCUUUUAGAAAGAAUACGUAUACAAGCUAUCCAUACUUUAUCUUACCAUGAUGGUGAUUAAAUAUAUUUUUAAAAUAGAUUUAAUGCACAAAUAUGAUGACUUUUGGCAAAAAUUAGUUUCGGAAGAUAUAGUGGUAGAAAAUAGUGAUGAUUAUUGUUUAAAUGUGUAAAUAGUCUAAGCAUAGCCCGUAAUACCAAUAUUCAUUUGCACCUUCAUUUGGAUUAUCAUAUUUUAUGAUGUUCUUUCAUUCAUAACCAUUGUUCAAAAUUUGGAUUUGAUCAUAAAACAAAACUAAAAAAUAUUAGAGAUACUAACAAUUGAGUCCCAUUUUAAGUCCCAAUACAAUGUGUUAUUUCUCAAUGUUGUGUCAUUCAUUAAUUAAGUGAUGAAUUUCAGAAUUAAUAAUUAGUUCAGACUUUAAUUAAGAUUUAAAUGUUAGAAUAUCUAGCAUCAUUCAAUCACAAUAAACAAAAUUCAAAUUGAAACGGCAAUAUUGUAUUUUCUUUAAUUAAUUUUGAUGCUGAAGCAAAUAUUUUGCUUGGGUUUUUCACUUCUUGAUUUUGAUUGGAAAAGUUUCUGAGACGAAGUAUUUUGGAUAAUUUUUUCGGGAUUGAAACCACAACUUGGUAGAGGAAAUUAGUUGGAGUAGUGAUGGCUUUGUCUUCAUUUUUGGUUCCUUUUGUGUCGGCAGCCCCUUACUAUUCUCUUGACCCUGAGUUUGAGAUAGAAAUUUAUCAACCUCCAACCCCACAUCCACAAACAAGUUGAUUGAAACAAUUGCUCUUUUAAUUAAGAGGACCCAAAUGAUUUAGGUUUCAGUUCUUAUCAUUUGUCUAUUAUUUAUUUGAAACAUUUAUUUUGAGCGUUACUGAUCUUAAUUAUCUGUAUUUCUCCAAUUAUUGAAGCAUUUCAAGUGGCCACUUUUUCUCCUUUUUAUAUAUGUUUAUUUUUUGGAGUGAUCAAACGGGGGCAAAAUCAAGUAUUCGCUGGUCUGUAGUUUAGCCAACGAUGGCUGAUCCACACAGUUGAUUAUAUGAUACUAUUAGCUCUCAAAAUCUUUCUUAUUUGAGAAUACAAGUUGCCCAAUAGAGUUGAACUAUGUUACCCAACUCCAUGCUCAUACAUUAAAUGUUUAGGUAGUUUUACAAAAUGAUAGCAGCAUGCCAAAACUUGUUGUUGUCAUUUUCGACAUUUCAAAUUGAAAAAUAUGCAAGCAAUCUUCAGUGAACAUUACGUUUUUAUUGAAUAAUUUAAAUGGCCAGUAAAUCAACAGUCCGUGAGUUUUAAAUCUAUUAUGACUUAAUGUAUCUUUCUGUAUUCGUACACAGGUUAUAUUAUCAUAGUUUAAAAUUUUAAUAUUAUUUUAAAUGUUAAAAAUACUUUAAUGCUAUUAGUCUACUACACAUGUUAUAUUAUUUAUAUUAUAUUUGUAUUAAUUAAAACUUUUAAUGUAAAUUUUCUAAUUACUAUAUUGAAAAGGUAUUAUGGUUAAGAAAAAGUUUUGGCAUUUCUUCUUGAAAAUUUGAGGGUCUGCAUGACAAUUUUUCCAAAUUCUAAGGGUAUAGGUUUGAAAAUUUAAUGUUCUUUAACUUAAUGAAACAAAAGGGGGAAACCAAGAACUAUUCAAUUUUGUAUUUUUUGUUUGUAAUUCAAAAAAUGCAUCCACCAAACCAGUUUUACGCAUUAAUGCUGUCAUAAAACAAAAAACAGUUUGCCAAAAAAUGGUACCAAACAUAUCCUUAAUGUCUCACAUGAUUUCUUAGUAAGCCCAUAUUAGAUAUAUUUAUACAUUUUAGGUAUUUUAGUUAUAAAAGAAGUUGGUCCUCCCCCUAUUUAUAAAAGAUAACUUUGUUUCGAUAUUACCACUAAACUCUUACAUAGAAUUAGUGUAAUGUUAAGAGAGAGUAAAACGGUUUUCCAUUACCAUCUUUGAAAAUAGAAAGAUAUGGAUGCGUGCAUUUAAGAGUCAUCGUGAAAAUCAUACAAUUCAAUUUCCUGACAAGAAGUUGGUCCUCCCCCCCUUUUUUUUUUUUUUUCAAUUACAGUGUGAUGGAGACAUUAAGGAUGAGCAUAAUAGUUAAAGAUGACUCAUUUCUCAUUUUCUUUUUAAAGUGCUCUGCUGAAAGCCAAACUUCCUUUGGCUAAUUAAUUUAGAAGUAAAGCAGAGAAUAAAGUCCUAGAUGCCUUCUGAAAUUAGAAAUACAUUUUAUAUGCUUUAAUUAUGAUUAUUUGGUAGACUAAAGACCUAAAAGAUAUGUCAAAAGUAUAAAACAGAGCGAUUAAAGAAAAAAGAAAAAAAAAACAGAGCAUUUGUGACGUAGAACAAUUGGUAAAUAAAUCCUAAAUAUUUGAGUUGUUAAAAGCAAAUAUAACAGAGACAGUAAGAGAGAUGCUGAAACAGAAAACUAUUAGCUUAUCUUGAUUUUCCCACUAUAUUCAUUUUCGAUGCUUUUCAAACGAGAUUCUUUUAAUUCUUCUGGUGUCUCUUAUAGAUCUCCAUCCCACAUCUGCACUACGAACAAGUUGAUUAAAAUUAAAUACUGUUGGAGAUGUGGGGUGAGCGGUCAACUUGGUAAAAAAACUAUGUGUAAUAUUGUUAAUAAUAUAAAAUAUAUAAUAAUAAUUACAAAGAAUCAUAAAUUAGAAAAAUUAUUUAUUUUACAAUCUAUUUCUUAAGUAAGAUAAAUCUCGUAAUAAGUUAAGUUAUAAUGUAAAAAAUAUUUUCAAUUUAUAAUCAUUUAAGGAGUCAUUUAACAAUAAAAUCUUUCUUUUUUUGAUCAAUUGGUCAUGGUACAGAGCAUCAUCUAUAUUCAUGGUGAUAUUAUUAUUACUCCGUAUUCUCAAAAAACACGAUUUAACAUUUAGAGAAAGUUCCUACCUUUUAAAAAGAACAUGUAUGCAACAACUACCCAUACUUUAUCUUACCACGACAAAACUAAUAGUGACUAAAUCAAUUUUCUCGAAUAAAGCAAAAUUUCUUAAAAUUAAUUUAAUAUACAAAUAUGAUGACUUUUUGCAAAAAUUAGUUUUGGAAAAUUAGUGACAGAAAAUAGUAAUGAUUAUUGUUUAGAUGUGUAAAUAGCCUAAACAUGAUCCCUAAUACCAAUAUCCACGUGCAUCUUAACACCUUUCGUCAUAUUCUUUCAUUCAUGGUCACUGGUUCAAGAUUUGAAUUUGAUCAUUAAAUAUGUUCAAUAAUAUUAGAGAUCCCAACAAUUGAGUACCAACUUAAAUCCCAAUGCUAUGUGUCAUUAACAAAUGUUGUGUCAUUUAUAAUUAUUGAAUGAAUAAUUCGUUAAUUUAUUGAUAAAUGAAAAUUUAUUAAUUUAAAGAGAGAUAUUUUUUUUUUUGGGUUUUAAGAAGAGUUUUGUUGGUACAUGUACAUACUUAUAAAGAAAUAAACUUGUAAUUAUACUAUAUCUUUCUUUCUUUAUUCAGUUUGGUGGGAUAUUGUGAUAAAUCAUUGGAUUAAAAUGCAUUUCUAAAUUAAAACUUGUUAAAAUCUAAUUUAUUUGGGAAGCGCAUAUUAUUUGUCAGUCGUACUUCUCAAGUCUCAACUUAGCAAGUUAUUUCUAACUUGUCAGUCUCUAUUGGUUCUCUAAAGCUAAUAGUCUCGAAUCUCCCGCAUUUGAUAUCUUGCCAUUAUUGUUGGCAUUAACAUGUUACCUGAGAUUGGGAUUCAUUAAAAUCCUCAAUGUAAUCGGUGGAACGAAUGGAUUUCUUCUGUUCACCAAUCCACCAAAAUUUCUGUAAUUAAAUUCAAGAGUCAAGAUCUAUGCUUAUAAUCUAUUCUAACAGCUAAUAUUCUAUUUUAUAUUUACUUAAAUAUGAAGAGCUAUGCUUGUCAUUAACUUCAAAUGUGAUCGAAGCAGCCUUACAUCUGUAUAUUACUUAUUCCCAACCUUUUUUUUUUGACUUCAUAUACUUUAUUUUCAUGUUAUUUACUCUUUUUUUCCCCUUUCUGACAAUUGAGGUAGGGGGUCAAACUUGAAAGUAUCUUAAAAUCAGACAAAUUUUUUUUUUUUUAAGAUAGCUGCUAAUAUGCUCUAUUAGACAAUGACAAGUAAUAACCUAGUUGUUUGCAUUAGAAAUGAUAUUUUUUGUGGUGCUGAUAAAGAGGUUGAUUAUGAUUCAACAAUUUAAAAUAUGAAAACAUGUGGAAGACGGCCGCAAUUAAAUUGAUUGUAUGAAAAUAUUUCAAUGAAAUUUUAAAAAUUUAGUACUUGUUAUCUUAUCGAGAGUUUUUUUAAAUUAUAUUACUACUUGAACUUGGCUGCUUUUGUAUUGAAUUCCCAGCGUUGCCAUUGCUUCUACUCAAAAGCCAUUUAAGUUUGUGUAAGCUACCUAUAGUUUGAACAACAAUUUACUCAUGAAUUGUUGUUCAUAAUAGCAAUUUGAUUGAAAGUGCGGCUGCACUAAUUUUCUAGAUGAAUUUUUUCCUACAUGCUUGUUCUCGUAUGACCCAAAAUCCUGCUACAUCAGUUGUAUUAGAAAUUAAUACUGGGUUACAAUUAUGCAUCCCCACCAAUAUUUCUUGAGGAAAGAAACUCAUAUCGCCCCUAGGCUUUUAAUGAGGCUCAUUUUUAUGAAUCUGGAUGGCAUUAGAUAUCUCUCCGAAUAUUGGUGGGAGUAUAUCGCAGAUCAAUGGGCUAUACUACAAAGUGUAUGUACGUUGACUCUCAAUAAAUACAAACGAUUCUCUGAUAUGAUUCAAAACAUCAGUGCACGCAUCAUUUUAACGAGAGAGAAUAUUCUAAGAACGAAAUUGAAGGUGCAAUCAGCAACUAAAAUGAAGCCAGAAAUGUACACGCAUGAGGAAGUUUUCCUAGAAGAUUGAUAUUUCUUUAACUAGCAAACAAUACAAGUCCAAAGCUAACCAAACCAUACCUGCAAGUCCGGGGCUUAAAUGGAGUACUUGUAAGCAUAAAACAUUAAUCAAAACACAGUAUAGACACACACACACACCCCUACAUACAUACCAGCAAAUUCGAAAUAGAAAAAGGAGUGCAACUAUUCAAGUUUGUUGACAAUAUUGCAACCAUGGCAUAUUAAAGCAAAUCCUUAAAAUCAGCUAAACGAAACAAUGCCCUGUCUCAUGAAUCGAUGCUCAACUAAAAAUUGAAAUUGAAAGUCCGGCUGGUGUUGUUAUUAGAUAGAUAUAACAAGAUCUUUCUUUGACAGUUCUUAUUAGAUAGAUAUAAAAAGAUCUGCUUUGACAGUUCUUAUUAGAUAGAUAUAAAAAGAUCUUUCUUUGUUUCUCUGCUGUAAUUUGUGGCUAUCCCACUCUGUUUUGCCAGUCAAGCUGAGUCUACGUUGAGACAUAAUUUUGACAUCAGAAGCGGCCUCAAUUAGUUUGGCAUUUUUAUAACCUCCUUGAAGGUUUUACGAUAAACAUAAAUCUACUGACAAAGUGGGCAAAAAGAAAAUGCAUGUAAAAGUAUGAGUUAUCAAAUAAGAUUAAAACUCACCCAAUUCAAUCCAUCAGAUUCCGUAAGGAUACAACUGGAUGUCAUACCGCCACUCCAUAUUCUCGAAAGUCCGUAGUCCUUGUCUCAACUGUGUCUGGGGCCAGUGUAAGUCCAUUUUUGCGCAAGCUCUUUAUGCACCACAGCUCUUCUGGAAGCUUUCUCAAGUAAGCACACGGGUUGACAAUUAAGCAUUCAAGUUUCGGCAUUGCUCCAGCCCCCAUCGUCCACUCAUCUAGCCAAUACAUUGACUUCAGGUGCAAAACCUUAAGUUCGGGAAAGCUACUCAAGCCAACACAAGCAAGCUUUCUUCCUAAAUACGAGUUCUGCUUCAGUUUCAGCACUCGAAGGCGUGGAAGAUUUUCCAGAAUUGGCAUGGGAUCCUCCAUUAGCUCAGUAUUUGAUAAGCUCAGUUGGAUCAGACUUGGGGGAAAUUGGUAUUCAGACAGGACCAUCCGUGAGGGCUUGCUCUCAUUCACCAGCUUCAAGCAUUCAAGUUUGUGGAGUUCGCAUAGGCUUUUGGAAACCCCUGAAUGAUAGCAACUCAAAUCUCCAGAUAUCCGAAGAGUUUGAACAUUAGGUAGUCUGCCCAAUAUAUCAGGAGUACAACUACUGGGGUUUAAAGUUGAUAUGAAAAUGAGAUUUUUCAGGGAGCUAGAAUAAUUUUUUGGAGGUGCGGGCAGAGUGAUAGAACCAAAGUUUAGAUGCAUGAGUUUUUGCAUCUUCCAAAUAUCCUCUGGUGACUGAUCUAUGUAGCUAGAUGGCAUUUCUAGUGUUUGAAGGUUUAAAAGGGUGCAUAGCAGUGAAGGAAGGCAUUUGAGCGAAGGGAUAUUCAAUUUCAAAUACUUCAAAAGGAAUAAAUUUUCUAAUCCGGGUGGAUAUUGGUCCAGGACUGCAGAACCCAAGUUCAGUACCCGAAGGUAUUUGAACCUUUUAAAAAAAUUCUCGCAAUCUUUCGGAUUAAGAUGAUAUCUUUUUGGACUGUGAUUGAGAAAAGAUUGGAGAUACAUGUCAGAAUGUUCUAAAGAAAGGAACUCAAUCAAAUCAUCGACAAUGAAGCACCGUUUAACAUUUGCGGGUGGUUCCUCUUCCACGUCAUGCAUCCAGACAAAUCCCGUCUUCUUUGCCACCACAAACAAUGAAGUGUAGUAUACAAUACUUGGAAAAUAACACGAUUUAAUUGUGCCUCCGGCCCUUCUUUUACUCACUUGAAUGAAGCCGCGAUGGAUUAGUUCUUUCAAGUAAUGUUCGGCAGUUUCUUCACUGUUGUAUGGUAUGAAACCUUCAGCUACCCACAAAUGAUAUAAUUGCCUCGUGGAUAUCUCAAUGCCUGGAGGGAAGACACACAAAUAGAUGCAGCAGAUUUUCAAGUGAAAAGGUAACUCCAACACAGAACAAAUUCCAAUGAAAAUUGUCGGAAUCGUUUCGCCUUGAACAUAAUUUUCUAAUGGCAUACUUCCAUAGUGUAGGAUGAAAAAUUGCCAGGCUUCAUGCUUUAAUCUGAUCAAUGGUCCUCCAAUGAGCACCGAAUCAAGCCGAAUCUUCUCUCCAUUUUCCAUUUCAAGCGACGCAAGGAGGUCUGGAUCAGUGACUGUUAUCAAUACUCUGCUUCCAUUCUGAUUAUCAGGAAGAACUUCUUCAAGAUCAUCCCAUAUGUCAAUGUUAUCGCAGACAUCAUCAAGCACAAUAAAGUACUUCUUGUUUGUUAGGUAAUCUCAAAGAAUAGAUUCCUUGAAUUGAUAAUCUUCACCGAUAAUUACACUAACCCGAGAUGGAGGCAUCACAGACUUGAUUAUGUCAUCCAAUAUCUUGCCCAAAUCGUAGAAUACAGAAACCCUGACCCAAGCAAGACAGUCAAAAUAGAACCUGACAUGAUUAUUGUUGUAAGUAUCUGCAGCAAAAGCAGUCCUAUCGAAGCCACUGCUGUCGAGAAUUGCAACCACUGCAAGCCCAGAUGGUCCCUCAAUCAAUAGAUCAAACAACUUCUCUCUGCCCCUUUCAAAUUCACUGAUAUCGAGCCGAGGUUGUCCCUCAUUCAAUAGGCGAAUGAUUUCGUUACUUUUUUCACUGAUAUCAAAACCAUUGUCGCCGGGCGGAAGUUGUUGCAUCCGAUUUCUAAUAUCAAUGAUUUCACUGUGGACAUGAAGAGCCAUAUUAGUGCUGCUUUCACUUUCGUUUUCACUGUUUUGCUGCUGCAUUAUGUUGAUGAAGAAUCUGUCAAUGGCUUCCUCAGAUUCAUGGACAAAGUCAUUGAUGUGCACCAGAAUUUCCAAAAUAUCUGGUCUUUUAACGUCUUCUUCAUCGCUUUCUUCUAAGUCCAACAGUUGCAAAAAAGGAAAAGAUAUUUCGAAGUCAUCGAAUUCUUCUAGAAUGAGUUGAAACAAAUGCCGAGCCAUGUCAGCUUCAUAGUUUCCCAGAAGAGUAGCAGCAAUAAUUUCGGACUCCGUAAGAAGGUUUUGAAAAAGUGGGGUUAAAUUUGUUGAAUCUGGCAGCGGCAACGUGCCUUCUUCACCUGCUAACACCCUUUUCAACCUCUCACAAAUCAGUCGGAGGUGGAAUUCCAGCAUUUCUCCUUCUCUCCGUAGCACUCAAUUAGAAUUAUCUUCGAAUUCUAAUUUAAUUGACUAAGUAGUUAUAGCUAUUCUAUUGAUUAGGUCUAGCUAUUAUAUUCUAAAUGAUUAAUUGAGAGGUAUAGUUGAAAGAUUAAACACCAUGGAAGAAUUUGAAAGGAAAAUGCCAAGAAACUGUGUAAGUGGCUAAAUUCCACAAAUAUGACAUUAUUGCUCAUUUUUUAACUCAAAAAAAGGGUACGCAUUCAUUUAGAGAAAAGUCCAAGACGCGUGCUUUUUAAAAAGAACAGGUAUCCAACCUCUAUCUUAUUAAAUUACAACCAUGACAUAAUUGAUGGUGCUUAAAUCAAUUGUUUCUUUUUUAAUUUAAAGAAUUUUUCAUUAAAAAAAUAUUUUAAUAUCAAAUUGCCUUCAGUGGCGUAACUGCCUCAGGCCCAGUAACAGGACUAAUUAAAAAUUUUACAAUUUUUGGGCAUGGAAAUAGUAGUAUUAAACAUUAGAAAGGUAAGGUUGUUCUGUUAAAGAAUUGAUAUUGACAUAAUUUUAUUUUGGUUUUCGUGGAAAAAAAAUUUGUUGACAAGUAAGAAAAUAUUUUUAUUUUUUAAAAUUUAUUAUGCAUAUUUUAUCAUAUUAAAGUAAUUUUAAUAAUAAAUAGAAACAUAAUAUUACAAUAAAUAAAUUAUAGUUUAAAUUAUUUUGAAUAUUAUAAAAAAUAAUGUUAAUAUUAUUAAUAGGAAGACAUUUUGUUAAUUUUAAAAUCUUUUUAAUCCAAAGGUUUAUUUAAAAUCUCUAUAAUAAAUACAAAUAUAAGAUUAAAAUAAAAAUCAUAAUUUCAAAAUUUUAAUAUUAUUUUAAAUGUUAAAUAUACUUUAAUGUUAUUAGCCUACUACGUAGAUUUUAUUAUUUAUAUUAUAUUCGUAUUGAUUAAAAUUUUUUAAAGUCAAUUUUUUAGUUAGUACAUUCAAGAGGUAUCAUAGUUAAAGAAAAGAUUUUGGUGCAACUGUUUUAAAAUUUCAGGGUAUAAAUGAUAAUUUUUUUUAAAAUUUUAAGGAAGUAGGUAUUAUUUUUCCGACAAUUUAUUUUAUUUUGAGGGAAAUCCGAUGAGAAAUAUCAUCAGAGAACAUUAAUUUAACAUUCUUUACCUUUAUGAAAAAAGUGGAAACCAAGAACUAUUCAAAUUUUUUUUUUUUGUGUAAUUCAAAAAAUGCAUCCACCAAACAAGCUUAUCAUAAUUUUCCCACUUUAUUCAUUUUCGAUGCUUUUCAAAAGAGGUUCCUUUAAUCCAUCUAGCAUCUGCAGCCCCCACUAUUUUACAAAUCUCCAUCCCACAUCUACACUAUCAAAAAAGUUGAUGGAAAUUGAACCCAUUAAGUUAUGUUCAUUACUGGUCAUUAUCUUUCUAUGAGCCACUUAUUUUGAGCAUUAGCGAUCUUCUAAGGAAUCAUGCCUUUUCAGGAUCGUUUUCUUUCAUUUCCUUAUUGUAGUAGUUAAUUAAAUAAAGAACGAACAAGUGAACUUUGUCUAUUUCGAGGAAGAACUAGGUUUCCAACACUAGAGGAACUUUGAAGAAAAUUAAUUGGAAGCCUUUAUUCAUCUUUGAAGAAAAUUACGUGCCAAUGUAACCAAGGCUUUUAUUCAUCUUCGGACUAUGAAUUUAUACAAAAACAUUAACAGAAAAUAACAAAGACACAGCUAAAUGAUAGCAACAAGUGUUGAUUUAGUGGACCACUUCUACAAGUAAAUAAAAACUAAAUAUUUAUUUAAGGAGGGCUUUUGUUAGUAGAGUUUUUAUAAAUAGAAAUUUAACAAAAAAAAAUUAUAGUUAUUUAGUUGUCAAUGUCCAAAUUGAUGAAUUAUUGUUCUUUUUGUUAACAUGUGUUUGUUUUACUUAAUAAUAAAAGUUUAGUUUACAAUUACACCGGUGUCAAAUCAGCAGAGCAUUUUUGCAGCCAGUCACAUUAUACAUUAUAUACUAAUAGCAUCGGCAAGAGUUUUCGAUUGUUGCAACUUGCAAUGCACGCGAUGCGAGAAAAUGAGAAUCUUGUUUAAUUGCAAUAAUGACAAACCUAAUCCUUUCAUUAGGAGUAAAUUAAUAAUCGUUUGUUAUUAUUGAAUAUGUAUAAAGAAAGGACAAUUCUAUUCAUAGAUUCGACUUAUUUUUUGUUUAAAGUAAUUAAUCAUUCAACCAUCUUCAUUUGCCUCUGGCCAAUGCCCUUGUAGAUUAGUUGAAGCGUUUAUUACUUAAUUCAGAUAAUUACAACGUCCUUUUCGCUAAUUAAUUAUGAUUAUGAACAUUUUCAUAUAGCAAGUGGCAUUGUAGAUCUAAACUACGUUGCUAUUUCAAUACGUUAAUUAAGUGAUUCUCCUCAUUGUCAUCAACGUUAUAAACAGGAAUUGUGCAAACAGUACACAAUGCUGCAGCAAGGCGUGGGUGGCUAGAGUUUUGCAACCACCCUUGAGAUCCUGUGCUGCCAGUAGUAAAAGAAUUUUACGCCAAUUUGGUAAGCCCUGGUCAGCACAACAUUUGGGUAAGAAACUCACUUGUUCCAUUAGACUCUCGAGUUAUAAAUGUUUUUUAUAAUUUACCUGCUGAAAUUAAUUGUGAGUAUGCCAAGUUGCUUGACAAAUUGACCCCGCAACAAUGGAACACAAUUUUCACGACACUUACGGUAGAGGGUGCAUCGUGGGCUAAUGAGGAGGGGCAUGUAAUUAACAAGAUAGAUUUAAAACCCAUUGCUAAGGUGUGGGUGAAAUUUCUAAAAUCCAGGCUUAUGCCAACCACCCACACCACUACUGUUUCACAGGAAAGGUUGGUGCUGUUAUAUGCUAUUGUUAGAGGGCUUCCCAUAGAUGUGGGAAGCAUUAUCGAAAAAGAAAUUCGAGAUUGUGCCAUGAAAAACCACAAGGCUGCUGCCUUGUUAUUUCUUUCACUCAUAACCAGCAUAUGUGUAGUAUCAGGUGUUCGUCUUGAUGCAAAGGAUGAAAUUUGUAAUUAUAUUAUGGCUCCAUUUGGUAUAACUUUUUAAUUCGAACUUAUUUAAGGAGAAUUUUUAUUAGUAGAGUUUUUAUAAAUAGAGAUUUUACUAAAAAACAAAAAUUAUAGUUAUUUAGUUGUCAAUGUCCAAAUUGAUGAACUAUUGUUCUUUUUGUUAACAUGUGUUUGCCAGUCACAUUAUACAUUUUUGCAACUUGCAAUGCAAGCGAUGAGAGAAAAUGAGAAUCUUGUUUAAUUGUCAAUAAUGACAAACCUAAUCGUUUCAUUAGGAGUAAUUUCAUAAUCGUUUGUUAUAAUUGAAUAUGUAUAAAGAAAGGAAAAUUCUAUUCGUAGAUUCGACUUAUUUUUUGUUUAAGGUAAUUAAUCAUUCAACCAUCUUCAUUUGCCCCUGGCCACUGCCCUUGUAGAUUAGUUGAAGCGUUAAUUGCUUAAUUCAGAUAAUUACAACGUCCUUUUCGCUAAUUAAUUAUGAUUAUAUACGUUUUCAUAUAGCAAGUGGCAUUGUAGAUCUAAAUUAUGUUGCUAUUUCAAUACGUUAAUUAAGUGAUUCUCCUCAUUGUCAUCAAGUGGAAAAUAGCUCAAUUGUUUCCCUGCAUCGAUUUUCAUUGGUAAGUGAUUUCUUAUGAUAUUCGUUUGAGCUUUCCUUAUUAAAAAAGCUUGAGCCUUGAUCACCUAAUACUGAUAUCAAUUAACUUGUGAACGAUUUUGUAAUGAAAUUAGGAGUUAAAUAUAUAAGAUUUUUACGUGAUGAAUUUUGAUUUUUUUAAUUUUUUGAUGUAGUCAAUUUGCUAAUUUUAUAUAUUUCAUAUUCAACGGAAUUUGGGCACGGAAAGUUUGGAUUCUAAUAUUUAUAUAUUUAGCUUUAAUCAGCUUGACUUUAGCAAUCUUUUUCCCUCAUCAUUAAGGGAUUCAGAAUUAGAGAAACGCUAGGAAGAGGAAGAAAAUAACUUUGGAAGUAAGUAAGAGGGAAAAAAUUAUGAAAUUUGGAAUUAUUUUUUGUAAAGUAUGUUGCGUUUACUAAACUGGAAUUAGAAUGAGCUGAAAUCAGAAUGAAUAGGAAUGCGAAUGUGCUGAAAUCGGAAUAGGUAAUGAGAAUAAGAAUAAGUUGUUUACUUGAACUGUAAAAAUCAAAAUCGGAAUGAGCUGAAUUGCAAUUACUUUGUCUUGGAAUCGGAAUCGGAAUCGGAAUGAGUUAGAUUAUAACAAAUUACUGAAAAGUACUUAAUGAAUUAUUGUCAUAAUUAUUAUUUUAUAUUUUAAUUAUAGUGAUUAUUUAUUCAAAAAUUAUUAUUAUUAAUUAUUUCCAAUAAUAUAUUAAUAUGUUAAUUAAUUUUAAAAAUUAUUAAUUAAUUUAUUAUAAUAAUAUACUAAUUAAUUAUAAUUAUUAUUAUAAAAAUAUAUUAAUAAUAAAAUUACUAAUUUAAUUGUAAUAAUAUAUGAAUUAAUUAUAAUAAUUAUUAUAAUAGUAUAUGAAUUAAUUAUAAUAAUUAUUAUAAUAGUAUAUUAAUUAAUAAUAAUAAUAAAAAUAUAUUAAUUAUGUGAUUAUUUAUUCAAAAAAUAUUAUUAUUAAUAAUUAUUGUUAAUAAUGUAUCAAUAUACUAAUUAAUUAUAAUAAUUAUUAUAAAAAUAUAUUAAUUAUUAAUAAUAAAAUUACUAAUUUAAUAAUAAUAAUAAAAAUAUAUUAAUUAUGUGAUUAUUUAUUCAAAAAUUAUAAUUAUUAAUAAUUAUUGUUAAUAAUGUAUCAAUAUAUUACUUAAUUAUAAUAUAUUAAUUAAUUAUAAUAAUAUAUUAAUUAAGUAUAAAUGAGGACAAAGUGGGUAUUUUUAAUUUCACGAAGGGGCAAAAUGGUCAAUUCUAGUAAUGGGAGACUCACUCCCACCCUCUCCUUUGGGAAUGAGUCUCCCAUUCCUCAUUCCCAAAUUGUGGUGGGCCCCAUGAUUUUGACUCCGAUUUCUAACUCAAUUUUGCGAAGUAAACGCUACCAAUGAUUCCGAUUUCGGAUUCUGAUUCACUUAUCUGAGAAGUAAAAGCAACAUAAAUGUGUAUGAAUAAUUGAUACCUAUGAAUAGUUUUGGGAGUUUUAGCUAGGAGUCAUCUAUUGAAGAUGUUUAGCAAUUGAAGAUCUCUGUCUCAGUAGUUUUCCCAAUCAAAAUCAAGAAGCAAAAAAACUUGCCAUUUUUCUACUUGAUAAUUAAUUGAAAUUUAAGAAAAUACAAUGGCAUUUCAAUUAGAAUUGGUAAUUGUUUAUCUUUUUUCAUUGAUCAAAUUCUAAUCGUGAUCCAAUAGUUAUGGAUGAAGGAAAUAUUAUGAGAGGCGAUAGGCCAAGUGAAGACGUACCAGCAAAUUCAAAAUAGUCGGGAGGUGGACGUCCAGCAUAUCUCCUUCUCUCUGUAGCACCCAGAUGCAUUGUUAUUUGCUCCAAGAAAUGUUAAAAGGAUUGGCCCUAUCUCAAUGUGGUUAGUGGCAAGGGCGGAGACAGCAUAUUAAUUGACUGUGGGCUUACUCAACUGCGAUAAAAAAAAUUUAAAAAAUAAUAAAUAAUAAAUUUAAAAGAUUUAUCAUACUUCAAUAUAUGUUUAUAAUUAUCCUUUACGAGUUUUCAUACAUUGAUAACGUUGUAUUACAACUUCAUUAUCAAUAUUAUUGUGGGCUGUUUAAAAAUUUGAUUAAUAUUAAUAUUUAUAGGCUUGAUUUUAUUUUGUAAAGCCCAUCUCUUUUUAUUUGUUUUAAAAACUUAGAGUGUGAGAAUUUAAGUAUAAUUAUGUAUUAGGAACUUGAAUAUAAAUUAGUGGGGGCUUAGGAAAAAUUUAUUAGAAAUUUUUGGCAAAUCAAAUUAGUUAGUAAAAGAUUUUUUUUUUUUUUUUCAGUGGGGACUUAAGUCCCCACUGGUCCCAAGCUAGAUCCGCCACUGGUUAGUGGUGAAAAAUUAAACACCAUGGAAGGAUUUGCAAGGAAUAUGCCAAGAAACUGGCUAAGUUCCACAAAUAUGGCAUUAUUGCUCUUUUUUUUUUAAAGAAAAAUUAUACACGUUAAUUUAGCAAAAAGUCUAAGACACGUGCCUUUUGAAAAGAAUAGCUAUUACCAUGACACAAUCGAUGCGGCUGAAACCAAAAUUUUCUUUUCUUAAUGUAAAGUUUUUUUUUUAAAUAGAUUUUAAUAUCAAAAUGCCCUUCGAUGUUAUUACUCUCACAAGCCCUGUAACAGGAGUAAUAAAAAAGUUUAGAAUUUUUGGGCAUGAAAAAAGUAGUAUUAAACAUCAGCAAGCAAAGGUUGUUCUGUUAAAGAAUUGAUAUUGACGUGAUUUUAUUUUGGUUAUCGAGAAAAAAAUAUAUUUGUUGACAAGUAAGAAAAUAUUAUUAUAUUUUACAAUCUAUUAUACAUAUUUUAUUAUAUUAAAUAAUACUAAAUAGAAACAUAAAAUUAGAAUAAAAUAAAUUAAAAUUAAAAUUAAAAUUAUUUUGAAUAUUAUGUAAAAAAUAAUGUUAAUAUCAUUGUUACUUGUAAAAUAUAUUUAGCCUAAAGAUUUAUUUAAAAUUUUAUAAUGAAUAAAAAUAUAAAAAUAAAUUAAAUAUCAUAGUUUAAAAUCUUAAUAUUAUUUUAAAUAUUAAAAAUACUUUAAUGUAUCUUAAUAUUAUUUUAAAUAUUAAAAAUACGUUAAUGUUAUUAUUCUACUACACAUGUUAUAUUAUUUAUAUUAUAUUUGUAUUAAUUAAAAAUUUUAAAGUCAACUUUCUAGUAACUAUAUUCAAAGGUAUUAUGGUUAAAUAAAGGUCUUAGUGUUUCUUUUUCAAAAUUUGAGGGUCUACAUGAUAAUUUUUCCAAACCCUAAGGUAUAGGAGUCCUUUUUGUCAAUAAUUUAUUUCACUUUUGAGAGAAUACGAUGAGAAAUAAGAUCAGAGAAAUGUCAAUUUAAUGUUCUCUAGCUUAAUGAAAAAAAAAUGGAAACCAAGAACUAUUCAAUUUUGUAUUUUUUGUUUGUAAUUCAAAAAAUCCAUCCGCCAAACAAGAUUCACGCAUUUAUGUUGUCAUAAAAUGAAAAAACAGUUUGUGAAAAAAUGGCACCAAACAUACCCUUAAUGUCCCACAUGAUUUCUUAUGAAGCCCAUAUUAGAUAUAUUUAUACAUUUUACUGCAUUUAGGACAUGUUUGAUAGCCUGCAUUAUAUAGGAUAAAAACAUAAUUUUGUAUUAAAUUAAUGCACACUCACGUUUGGCGCUAAAAGUAACUCCAGCCGCAUUGCAUUAAUGGGCUGCUACUGCGGCAAUUGCCGCACUAGCUUGCCUCUUUUUCUUUUUAAUUUUAUUUAUAAUAAUAAUAAUAAUAAUAAUAAUAAUAACAUAAUAUAACUUUUAUUUUAAUAUAAUAUUAAGUAUAAUUUUUAUUUUUACAUUAUAAUUAUUGAUAUAAAUUAAUAAAUUUAUUAUUUAUUAUUCAAUAAUAUUAUAUUAUUAUUUUUUUAUUUUUACAUUAUAAUUUAUUAGUAAAUUUAUAAUUUAAUAUAAUUAAUGAUAAUAGAAAAUAUCAUUACAUGUACUACAAAACUCUUACUUGGAUUAUUUAACACAAUUUAUUUUAUUCGUGAAUAUGUUAUAACAAUUGUAUCACUUUAUUGUUUUGUUAUUAUUUUGUGGUAUGUAUAAAUUUUUAUUCUAUUAUUCAAAGAUGACUUUUGAACUAAUCUUAUAGGUUUUAACUAUUUAUUUAUGUUGUUAUAUUAUUAGAGAUUAUUUGAUUAAAUUAUUUGCUUCGAUCUUUAUUUUACAGGUCAUAUAUUUAGAAAUUACUGAAAAAUAAAUGUUCUACUUCCAAAAAAUUUAAGGCUAUAAGCUCGAUCUUUAUGAAUAAUUGUGAUAUUUUUUAACAUUUACACUAAAAAAAUUGUUAAAUUUCUAAAAUUUAAGACUUCUAUAUUUAGUAUUUUUCCAAUUACUAAUAAGUAUUAUUUUCUAAAUAUAUAAUUUAAAUUAAUCACAAAAAAUUAAUACAGUACAGUGCAAUAUCAAAUAUAAUAUAAUUAAAAAUUAUACAGUACAAUGUAGCACCAAAUAUUGUACAAUAUUAUUAUAAAAUAGUACUGAUGCAAUACAAUAUAAUACAAUAUAGUGUGCCAAACGCACCCUUAGAGUGUGUUUGGAACAUGGGAUUAUAGGGUAUUAAAACACUGUUCACAUUAGCUUAAUACCAAUAUCAUGUUUGGAAAGAAAUUUUAAGGGAUUAAAGGGGGGUGAGCUAAUGCCAUAACUGCGCCAUUAGUGUCUUGGUUUUUUUUUAAAUAAUAAUAAAAAAUAUAAAUUCCUAAUUUUAUGUAAUAUUAUAUAAUAUUAAUUUUUAUUUUCUUUGAUCUUUACAUUAUAGUAAUUAAUAUAAGUUAAUAAAUUUAUAAUUUAUUAUUCAUAUUUUAAUUUUUAUUAUAUUAAAAAUAUAACUAAAUAAUUUAAUUUUAAUUAUAUAAUAAUUAAUGUAUAAAAUUGAUUAAUAUUUAAUAAGUUAAUACAACUAGUAAUAAGUGCUUAAAUAAUAUAUAAAAAUAAAAAUAUAACAUAAUAUUACAUUAUUUAAUUAUAUUACAAUAACUAAUAUAUAAAAAUUGAUUAUUAUUUAACAAUUUAAUAUAGCUAAUAAUAGAUACUUAAAUAAUAAUUUAAUAUAACUAAUAAUGAAUAUUGAUAUAUGAAUAUAUUUAAAUAAUAUUAAUACCAAUAUAUAUAAUAAUAUAAAAUAUUAUUACAUGUACUGUAGUAUUCUUACUUGGAUUAUUUAGCGCAAUUUAUUUUAUUAGUGAAUAUGUUACAACUAUUGUAUCACUUUAUUAUUUAAAUUAAUCAAAAAAAUUAAUACAGUACAAGAUAGCACUAAACAUUGUAUAACAUUAUUAAAAUACAGUGUUAAUGCAAUACAAUAUAAGACAAUACAUCUAUAUUAAAAUAAAAUAAAAUAAUUUAAUUUAAUAUAAUACAGUAUGUCAAACGCACCUCGUAUAUUUUAAUUUCAAAAGAAGUUGGUCCUUCCGUUAUUUAUAAAAGAUAACUUUAUUUUCAGAUUACCACUAAACUCUGAAGUAGAAUUGGUGUAAUGUUAAGAGAGAGUAACACAGUUUUCCAUUACCAUCUUUGAAAAUAGAAAGAUAUGGAUCAGUGUAUUUAAGAGUUAUCGUGAAAAUCAUACAGUUCAAUUCCCUGACACAUAUAUUUAUGAGCAUAUGCCAAAAGAAUAAAUAGAUAGAAAGUAAAUUUACAAUCCUCACUUCCUCACAAUUGUUAAAAUGAAGAUGCAUUACAACUGUGAACUGUCACUAUUUUAGCCUUUUUUAUUUUUUACUUUUAGUUAUAGUGCGAUGGAGACAGUGAACAUCAAGGAUGAGAAUAAAAGUUAAAGAUGACCCACCCACUUUCUUUUUAAAGUGCUCUGCUCAAAGACAAACUUCCUCUGGCUAAUUAAUUUAGAUGUGAAGAGAGAAUAAAGUCCUAGAUGCCUUCUGAAAUUAGAAAUACAUUUUAUAUGCUUUAAUUAUGAUUAUUUGGUAGACUAUAGACCUAAAAGACAUGUUAGAUUAUAAAACAGUGCGAUUAAAAAAAAAAGAGUAUUUGUGACGUCAAAUAACAAUUGGUAACUAAAAUCCAAAAUAUUUGAGUUGUUAAAAGCAAAUAAAAAAAAAGAAGGUAAGAGUGAUGCAGAAACACAAUAUUAGCUUAUCUUGAUUUUCCCACUUUAUUCAUUCUCGAUGCUUUUCAAAACAAAUUCUUCUAAUCUUUCUGGUGUCUGCAGCCCCUUGUCACGGGACGAGAGGUUUCGAGCCCGUGCGGUACUCUCGCAUCCCAUACUGCGAGAGUAAACCUAGUGGAAGUGGCACAAUAUCGACUGGUUUCACCCUGUCUUGGGCUCAUCAGGAGAACGGCUCCAGUUCCCAACCAGUGUGUGAAGAGCUUCGCCUAAACCCCUCUUCAACGUUAAGUCCUUGACUAGCGACAAGCUCCCCAAACUCAACCAGGUUGGCCUGCCUGAACUCCAAGAAAUCUAGGAUCAUUGUAUUCCCCACACGACGCCCCUGAAGCACGUCUCCUACAAUCAGCACAACCCUUAUCGAUACCAGCGUACAAACGCAUAUCUUCGGCGUCACAAUUGCAGUCCGUGACACCCUGCUCUUGUUAUAAAACUCCACCCCAAAUCUACACUACAAACAAGUUGAUUGAAAUUAAACAAUUGCUUUUUGAAGUGGACCCAUUGAGUCGUGGUCAUUACUCGUCAUUGUCUAUUUUUUCUAUGAGCCAUUUAUUUUGAGCAAUAGUGAGCUUCUCUGAACUACUCCAAUUAUUGAUGUAACUCCAGUGGCUGCAUCCAUAGUUGAAUAUAUGACAGUAUUAGCUCUUAUUUGAGAAUAUAGGGGGAUCUUUCUUUGUUUCUUUGUUGCAGUGUUCUAGUUUAUAGUCUUGCUGUUAAUGAAUUCACUGAGGCAUUAUUAAUUUAAUUUCAGUGAAGUAAUUAUGGAUGAAAAAUAAAUAAAGGAUAACAGAAUAGAGCUGAAGUGCUGAAUCGGCUAUUAAAGAAAGUGUCACGUGAUCACAAUCACACUGAUGCACAACUCUCUCUAUGUACUCCAAAUUCAGCCAAACCAUACAUGCCUCAACAAAAUUAAACCGUAGUUCUCAUCACUACAGUAAAUGAAGCCCACAAAGACAGCUGAAAUGGAAAAUAUUGACUAUUGAAUGGAUCAAUGCUGAAUUACACUUGAAAUGGGAAGCUUGGCUGCGGUUACGAUGUUUCCCCCUCUGAUUUUUCUCCAAAACAAAUUCCGUUGUAAAUAAUAUUCAAUGUAGCAACACUUUAUUCAGCAAAGAAAAUACCUAAUUUUUCAACUAACAAAUUCUCUUGUCUAAACUAAAAAAACUCACAUCUCUCCAAUCUAUCUACAAAAUAUUGGAGAUGAGAGGUGAUUUGUCAACUCGAUAAAUAAAUUCAUGCAUAAUGUUACCAAUAAUGAUAAAUUACUUAAUAAUUCUUAUAAAGAAUCAUAAAUAAGGAACAUUAACCAUUUUACAGUCUAUUACAUAAGUAAGAUUAAUCUUAUAAUAAGUUAACUUAUAACGUAAUAAAUAUUUCAAUUCAUAAUUAUUUAAGAAGUCACUUAACAAUAAAAUAUUUUUUUAUUUAAUUGAUCAUGUCAUAUAACGUUAUCUAAACUCCUGACGAUAUUAUUAUUACUCACUUUUCUCAAAAAAACAUGACUAACGUUUAGAGAAAAGUCAUGCCUUUUAGAUAGAUAGAAUAUGAUUACAAGCUAUCCAUACUUUAUCUUACCAUGACAAAAUUGAUGGUGAUUAAAUCUAUUUUUAAAAUAGAUUUAAUGCACAAACAUGAUGACUUUUGCCAAAAAUUAGUUUCAGAAGAUAACUAAAUUAAGUUGCAAAGGAGCUUACUUCAAUUUCUAAGCUUUUCAAUCAUGAUUCCUCCAUGCCUUCCUCUGAUACCAUUUUGUUACGUGCCAACGUAAUUGACCUUGUAAUUGGUUUGUAUAAGGAAUGAAGCCCUUUCAAGAUCGUUUCUUUUGUGUCCAUAUUGUAGUAGACUAGUAGUCAAGUAAAUAAAGAGUGAAUAACUGAAUUUGGUCUAUUUCGAAGAAGACUAUGGCCUCCACACUACAAGAAAAUAGGCGAUAGAUAACGGGAAAUAACCGUCAUAAAAGGUGGUGUAUGACAGACAGUUUAUUCGUCAUCUAUGUCACUGUCAUUAAUUUAUGACAGAAUAUUUUCCGUCAUGAAUUCUUGAUGUUAUUUUACAAUCAUAUAUCCAUCACACAAUAUUUUAAUGAGAAAAAAUAAUUAAAUAAAAUUUGAAUUUAUUAAAAUUUUUGCUCUAUUUUUUAAUUUUUUGGCGGAAAAUUAAAUUGUCAUUUGUAAAUUUCUUAUUCAAUUUUGGUGGAAAAUUUUUUUAUGACAGACUUUAUGAUGUGUAUUUCCCAUCAUAAAGUUAAUUUUUUUAAAUUAUAUUGUGAUUAUAGUUUAUUUCUGAAUUCCUGUUUACAAAUUUAAUUAAUUAAUAAAAAAUGAAUAUUGUCAAAAAAUAAAAAAAUAAUAGUAACUAAAAUCCAUUCAAUCCAACAAAUUAAUUUCAAAAUAAAUACAUCUAAUAUUCAAUGUCAUUACCACUAAUACAUAAUAAAACAUCCCAAAUUAAAAAAAAGAAUGUCAAAAUAUAAAACAAUAGUUAAAUUCCAAUUAAAUUCCAAGAAAUGUAAUUCAAAUUCCGGACACCGAGCCAAGCUCCCCAGCAAAACUUCCAAAGAUUAAUGGAAAUAUUCCAAUAGCAAGACUUCCAGAAGCAAUACCCUCUUCCAGUGGCAAUACAUUGACUAAUCUUUGAAGCCAUGACUCCUCAAGCCAAUGCCAAAAAUGUGUGCAAAAUUAAUGCUCUAUCCACAAAAAUUUCAGUCUAUAUUGGUAAGAAGAAACAUGAAGAAACAAUUACCUCAGCAUCAUCGUCAUUGGAAGCCAAAUCAGCUGUAAAGACCACAAAAUGUUUGGUUAGAACUAGUGGAAGUCUUACUCUAAAACUUUUAAUUUUUGAAUUUCGAAAGAUCUAGUAAUGACAAAGAUUCUCAUAUCCAGUGACCAAGUUUUGAAAAUUAGAAUACGGAAUAACGUCAACUAAAUUCACUAAUAUAGGGUGCAUUUGAGAUUGAGGUUGGACAGCUGUAGCUUAAAAGCUACAGUAGUAAAGUGUUUGGUAAACACUAGUUGCUGUAAUUUAAAAACUAUGUUGAUAUGAUUUUUCACUUGUAUAAUGGAGAAUCUAUUUUUUUAAAUAAUUAUGUCAAAAUUAUUAUUUAAAAUUUAUAUUUACUACAUAUUAUUAAUUUUUGUUUCAUAGUCACAGUUUUUUUUCCACAGCAGUUGUAAAGCUACAUCACCUCAAUCCCAAACGCACCCUAAGCUAGAGGAAUCCCUAGUUGAUAUAGCACACAUGCACACAUGAUAUGCAUGCAUCAGAAUACACAAUAAUAAAUUAUCUCAAAGUCAAUAAGAAGCCAAAACUAGAGAUAAACCUUUAGCCACUAUAAGGAAGACUGAUAUUUGCAGUGUGAUUACAAUAAACAAACAGAAACUUCACUACCCAUAAGUAAAGCAAAAUAAAUAAAGGAUAAUAACUAACCAAGAAAUGGAAAAGCUCACAUUCUCUGAACACGCACCCCAAAAAGAAAGAAAGAAAUAAAUGUUCCCAUUGGAUCUGAAGCACAAGCAAUCCACUGACAUCCUUCUAUAAUUAGGUAAUUUAAAGGGGUUAAGCUCACAUCUUUUACGGAAGCAACAAGAGAAUUAACAACAUUCCAGAGGAUUUAGGGAAAAACCACGAGGCAAGAAAAAAGAAAGAUCCUUCUUCAAUCUAGAUAUCUUGACACUGCUCACCAUCUACAGCAGUCUGGGGCUUAAAAAGCAUGAUCUCUCCCCCCCUCUGGCACCAUUUUCUCUCAUGUGAAUCUGUCAUUGCCCGUAGAAACAAACCAGAACUGCAUAAAUUCUCUUAUCUUCCAGCAGCUUCUUUUCUCCAGAAAUAGGCACAACUAUUUGACAUGGAAACAAUUUAUCUAACAUGGCCACCUUUAAAGACAAAGACAUACUAAGGACAUGGUUUUAGAUACGGAUACAAGAAACAAUCACAAAAUGUAAAAUCUAUACAUAUGAUAUUAAUUUCCAAUGGAUACAGCACUUCAUUCUUUGACUUAACUUCAUUAGAUUACUAGGUUUGAUUAGGUUAUACACACAUUUAUUCAUUUAUGGUUUUCAACCUAUAAUCUACAUGCACUUAGAAUGAGAGGUACCUAUAAAAACAAGUUACCAGAAAACAAUACAGCUAGAAAACAUUAAAACAUUAAUCUAAGCAGUUCUAUAGGUUUAACUAACUGCAGGAAAAAACCGUUGAUUUUGUCCGUCGGAUUAUUGAGAUCCUAAUUCUGGUAAAAAGAAAAUGAGAUAAUAGAAAAUCAAAAAUUAAAUAGACACAAAAUGAGAAAUCAAGAUCAUACGGCAACUAAUAUAUAGCAUGGGCUGCAGCUAACAAGCAAUAUAAGCCAUGAUAUUAUGCCAGAUACAAAAUUUUGAGAUCCAAGAGAGAUCAAGAAGCAUGAAUAUUGAAAGAAGUGAGUGCAGAAGGAUAAGAAAUCAGGUUGAUAUUCUUCAUACUUUGGGUCAACACGUAGUGAUGCAAUAAACUUGUAAUUAGCUUCAAGUGUAUAGGCUACCAUGUCAACAUUUCCGAAAACACACAAGAUUGUGCUGGAUUCAUAUAUAGUACAUAUAUAAAAAAACAAUCUGCUUCUAAACUUCAUGAGAACAUCGAAUAAUGAACUUACAAUUUGAUCCCUCAUCAUCUUCAUCGCACCAUUUGUUCCAAUCAACCUUAAUGUAAGGUGCUGGUUUCUCUUCUGACUUGAGUAGCCUUUUCCACCAACCUUUCUCUUCUUUUUGCACCGAGCAUAUUAUGUUCCUUAAGCCAACUUUAGUCUUACAUUUCUGCACCACCAGCAACAAAAUUCAAAGCAUUACAAAAGAGGUAUAUUUAGCCGCUCUUGACUCGAGUGAGAGAACAGGAUAAACAGCCUAGGUAUAUCCACAUCCAUGUUAUGAGAUUAAUUAUGCAACAACUAACUUUAAUAUAAAGUUUGUGCUCCAACAAAGACUAAAAUGUUUGUAAUUGUUAUGCUUCCGGAGCUAAAAUGUUUCGCAAACACUCACUUUUACUCUGCAGCUAAUAUCUAGCACCCAGCCACACAAAGUCCGUAGUCUUUGUCUCAACUUUGUCUGAGGCCAAUGUAAAUCCAAUUUGCACAAGCUCUCUAUGCACCACAGCUCUUCUGGAAGCUUUCUCAAGUACGCACAAGGGUUGACAAUUAAGCUUUCAAGUUUUGGUAUUGCUCCAGCCCCCAUCGUCCACUCAUCUAGCCAAUACAUUGAUUUCAGGCGCAAAACCUUAAGUUCCGGAAAGCCACCCGAGCAAGCACAGGCCAGCUUUCUUCCUAAAUACAAGCUCUGCUUCAGUUUCAGCACUUGAAGGCGUGGAAGCUUUUUGAUAAGGAAAGGGAGCCACGGAGGUCAACAAAGGUUCAUAAGCCUAACUACAGAUACGAGGGCUUUGUUUGAACAUUCGUAAGUCUCAUGCAGCCAUGCAUGCGGUCAUGCAUGUUGCAUGCAAUACCAUGCAAGACUUAUUUACGCAUGGAUUAAAGAGUAGUCUGUUUCUAGUUUUUUAUUUAAGAUUGCUCAGUUAUUUAAAUUGAUUUUAGCCGUGAAUUGUGGCUACAAAUCCUUAGUAGUGUUUGUAUUAACUACUAUAAAUAAGCUCCAGCAAUUAAUAAAAGGAUUAUGCAAAAAAUUAUCUCAAAGUACUAUUCUUGGUCGUUUUCACCGUAAGUAGAACAACGUAAACUUAGCUAUUGUUGAACGUUUUUGAUUGGGACCUAUCACUUUUCCAGCCUUGGCAUGGGAUCCUCCAUUAGCUCAGUAUUUGAUAAGCUCAGUUGGGUCAGACUUGGAGGAAAUUGGUAUUCAGACAGGACCGUCCGUGAGAGCUUGCUUUCAUUCACCAGCUUCAAGCAUUCAAGUUUCUCUAGUUCGCAUAGGCUUUUGGAAAUCCCAGAUUGAUAGUAACUCAAAUCUCCAGACACUCUAAGAGUUUGAAGAUUAGGUAGUCUGCCCAAUAUAGCUGGAGUGCAACUACUAGGGUGUAAGGCUGAUAUGAAAAUGAGAUUUUUCAGAGAGCUGGAAUAAUUUUUUGGAGGCGCAGGCAGAGUGAUGCAACCGAAGUUUAAAUGCACGAGUUUUCGCAUCAUCCAAAUAUCCUCUGGUGAAUGAUCUAUGUAGCUUGAUGGCAUUUCUAGUGUUUGAAGGUUUAAAAGAGUGCAUAGCAGUGAAGGAAGGCAUUUGAGCGAGGGGAUAUUCAAUUUCAAAUACUUCAAAUGGAAAAAGUUUCUAAUCCGGGCGGAUAUUGGUCGAGAAUUGCAGAACCCAAGUUCAAUACCCCAAGGUGUUUGAACGUUUGACGAAAAUUCUCGCAAUCUAUCAGAGCGAGAUGAUCGCUUUCUGAACUGUGAUUCAGAAAAGAUUGGAGAUAGAUGUCAGGAUGUUCUAAAGAUAAAAACUGAAUCAGAUGUUCCAAAAUGAAGCACCGUUUAACAUUUGCCAGUGGUUCCUUUUCCCUUUCAUGCAUGCAGACAAAUUCCGUCUGCGCUGCCACCAAAAACAAUGGAGUACAUAAAAAACUUGGAACAUAACACGCUUUAAUUGUGCCUCCGGCUCUUCUCUUACUCACUUGAAUGAAGCCGCAAUAGAUUAGUUCUUUCAAAUAAUGCUCGGCAGUUUCUUCACUGUUGUAUGGUAUGAAACCUUCAGCUACCCACAAAUGAUAUAAUUGCCUCGUAGAUAUUUCAAUACUUGGACGAAAGACACACAAAUAGAUGCAGCAGACUUUCAAGUGAAAAGGUAACUCCAUCAAAGAAUAACUGUGUCUCUAAAUUGUCGGAAUCGCUACGCCUUGAACAUAAUUUUCUAAUGGCAUACUUCCAUAGUGUAGGAUGAAAAAUUGCCAGGCUUUAUGCUUUAAUCUGAUCAAUGGUCCUCCACUGAGCACUGAAUCAAACCGAAUCAUCUCUCCGUUUUCCAUGUCCAACAGCGUAAGGGGGCAUGGAUCAGUGACCAAUAUCAAUACUCUGCUUCCAUUCUGAUUGUCAGGAAGAACUUGUUCAAGAUCAUCCAAUACAUCGUCACUCUCUUCACAGUAAUCAUCAAGCACAAUAAAGUACUUCUUGUUUGUUAGGAAAUCUCGAAGAAUAGAUUUCUUCAAUUGAUAAUGUUCACCGAUAAUUACACUAACCCGAGAUGGAGGCAUCACAGACUUGAUUAUGUCAUCCAAUAUCUUGCCAAAAUCGUAGAGUACAGAAAUCCUGACCCAAGCAAGGCAGUCAGAGAAUUGCAACCACUGCAAGCCGAGGAUGUCCUUCAAUCAAUAAAUCAAACAACUCCUCUCUACCACUUUCAAAUUCGUUGAUAUCAAGCCGAGGUUUUCCCUCAAUCAAUAAGUGAAUGAGUUUGUCCCUUUGUUCAGUGAUUACGAAACCAUUGUCGCCGGGUGGAAGUUGUUGCAUCCGAUUUCUAAUAUCAAUAAUUUUACUGUGGAGUCCAACAAGAAGAGCCAUAUUAGUACUGCUUUCACUUUCUUCUUCACUGUUUUGCUGCUGCAUGAUGUUGAUGAAGAAUGUGUCAAUGGCUUCCUCAGAUUCAUGGACAAAGUCAUUGAUGUCCUUCACAAUUUCCAGAAUGUCUGAUCUUUUAACGUCUUCAUCGCUUUCUUGUAAAAAAGCCAAAUAUAUUUCGGAUUCAUCGAAUUCUCCUCUAAUGAGUUGAAACAAAAGCCGAGCCAUGUCAGCUUCAUAGUUUCCCACCAGAGUAGUAGCAAUGAUUUCUGACUCCGUAAGAAGGUUCUGAAAAAGUGGAGUCAAAUUUGUUCAAUCAGGCAACGUUAACGCGCCUUCUUCACCUGCUAGCACCCUUUUCAACCUCUCACAAAAUAGUCGGAGGUUCACGUCCACCAUAUCUCCUUCCCUCCGUAGCACUCAGAGAAGAUUGGUCCUAUCUCAAAGUGGUUAGUGCUGUAAAAUUAAACACCAUGGAAGAAUUUGAAAGGAAUAUGCCAAGAAACUGGCCAAGUGGCUAAAUUCCACAAAUAUGACAUUAUUGCUCAUUUUCUCUCAGACACGUGAUACACGUUGAUUUAGAGGAAAGUUCAAGAAUUUUGCUUUAAAAAAAAAAAUUGAUGGUGCUUAAAUUAUUAUUUUUUUAAUUUAAAGAGUUUUGCUUUUAAAAAAAAAUUAAUAUCAAAAUGCCUUCAAUGUUAUUACUGCCACAAGCCCAGUAACAAAACUCAUUAAAAAUUUUAGAAUUUCUGGCCAUGGAAAGAGUAGUAUUAAACAUCAGAAAGCAAAGGUUGUUCCGUUAAAGAAUUGAUGUUGACAUAAUUUUAUUUUGGUUUUCGGGAAAAAAAAAAUAUUUGUUGGCAAGCAAAGAAAAUAAUUUUAUACUUUACAAUCUGCUAUACAUAUUUUAUCAUAUUAAAGUAAUUUUAAUAUCUAUCAAAAAAAUAAAUUUAAUAAUAAUUGGAACAUAAUAUUACAAUAAAUAAAUUAAAAUUAUUUUAAAUAUUAGGAAAAAAAUAUUAUUAAUAGGAAGAUAUUUUGUUAAUUGUAAAAUCCUUUUAUUCCAAAUAUUUUAUUUAAAUUUUUUAUAAUAAAUAAAAAUAUAAAAUUAAAAUAAAUAUCAUAAUUUAAAUUUUUUAUAUUAAAAAUAUUUUAAUGUUAUUAGUCUACUACAUAAAUUAUAUUAUUUAUAUUAUAUUCGUAUUGAUUAAAAUCUUUUAAAGUUAAUUUUAUAGUUACUAUAUCCACAGGGUAUUAUAUUAUAUUUAAGAGUAAUUUUUUCAAAUUUUAGGAUUGCAGAUGUCCUUCUUCCGAUAAUUUAUUUCACUUUUGAGAGAAUCCAAUGAGAAAUAUGAUAAGAGAUGGUCAGUUUAAUGUUCUCUGCCUUUAUGGAAAAAAAGUAAAAAGUAAAAACUAUUCAAUUUUGUACUUUUUGUGUCCACCAAAUAAAUUUUACACAUUUAUGUUGUCAUAAAACGAAAAAAAAGGGUUUGCCAAAAAAUGGUACCAAGCAUACCUUUAAUGUCCCACGUGAUUUCUUAUUAAGCCCAUAUUAUAUAUAUUUAUACAUUUUAUUGCAUUAAACAUUUUUAUUAUAAAAGAAGUUGGUCCUUCCCCUAGUGAUAAAAGAUAAAUAUGAUAAUGUUUGAGAUGGGUUUAGUCUUUUAUAUUUGCUGAGUCCAGUGGGUUAAAGAAUUAGAGUAAAGCAUCUGGGCAUUCUUUCAUGCAAAACUAAAAAUCCUGAAAAUAGUUGGCUUUAACUGAUUAAGACAAGCUUGGUCGAAUUGAGUUGAACUUCAUAUAUAAAAGCCAAAUAUAUUGCGGAUUCAUCGAAUUCUUCUCUAAUGAGUUGAAACAAAAGCCGAGCCAUGUCAGCUUCAUAGUUUCCCACCAGAGUAGUAGCAAUGAUUUCUGACUCCGUAAGAAGGUUUUGAAAAAGUGGAGUCAAAUUUGUUAAAUCAGGCAACGUUAACGCGCCUUCUUCACCUGCUAACACCCUUUUCAACCUCUCACAAAAUAGUCGGAGGUUCACGUCCAGCAUAUCUCCUUCUCUCCGAGAAACUGUGUAAGUGGCUAAAUUCCAGAAAUAUGACAUUAUUGCUAUUUUUUUAACUCAAAAAAAUGGUACGCGUUCAUUUAGAGAAAAGUUCAAGACGCGCGCCUUUUGAAAAAUGGUACCCGUUCAUGUAGAGAAAAGAACAGGUAUCCCAAUCGGUAUCCAACCUUUAUCUUCUUUAAUUACCACCACGACAUGAUUUUUUUUUUUUUUUUUUGAUGACAUGAGACUAUUGCUUAAAUUACAACUCAAAUUACAACUCAUAUUACAUGAGAGUAUAAUUGAUAUGUACAAUCAUAUAUACAUACUGAGAUCUAUUGACAUUAAUGCUGAUAUGACACUGCUCAGAUUUUUGUAACCCUCUCAAAUAUUCGAGGGACGUCAAACUCCUAUCCUGGGAGAAAGACUGCCUUCACUCGAGCUCUGUGGCUCCAAGGAAGGAAAUAUAAAUUAAACCUCUACAAUGCGACUGCGGAGGCUCGAACCCCUUCCCUCACAUAUGUGAGGGAGUGGCUCUAGCCACUUGGGCUAGCCCAAGUGGUUCCACGACAUGAUUGAUGGUGCUUAAAUCAAUUGUUUCUUUUUUAAUUUAAAGAAAUUUUCAUUAAAAAAAUAUUUUAAUAUCAAAUACCCUUCAAUGGCAUAACUGCCGCAAUCCCAGAAACAGGAUUAAAUAUUUUUUUUUUUUUGAAUUUUUGGGCAUGGAAAGAGCAGUAUUAAAAAUCAGAAAGCUAAGGUCGUUCUGUUAAAGAAUUGAUAUUGACAUAAUUUUUUUUUGGUUUUCGGGGGAAAAAAAAAAUUGUUGACAAGCAAGAAAAUAUUUUUAUAUUUUACAAUUUAUUAUACAUAUUUUUUUUUUUUGGAUCAAUAAUGGGCUCUAAAAGAGCUAAAGCACCAGUAAACGGGAGUGGGCAACCCCAGACACAUCGUUAUGAAGAAUACUCUGUAAAUUAGGAGGAGCAACAGUAAGUAACUGCAAUCCUAAAGGACAAGACAAAUUAAAUGAGGCCAGAAAAUCUGCUGCUAUGUUUGCUUCUCGAUAGAUGUGGUUCACUUUCACGACCCAGUCCCUGCUGAUCAGCUCACGAAUGGCAAGGAUAAGAGAAUGAUGCUCAUUAACAGGAGUGGUCGGAUUCUCCAAGAUUUGAGAUUUAUUAUACAUAUUUUAUCUUAUUAAAGUAAUUUUAAUAAUAAAUAGAAACAUAAUAUUACCAUAAAUAAAUUAAAGUUUAACUUAUUUUGAAUAUUAUAAAAAAUAAUUUUAAUAUUAUUAAUAGGAGGACAUUGUAUUAAUUUUAAAAUUUUUUAACCCAAAGGUUUAUUUAAAAUCUUUAUUAUAAAUACAAAUAUAAAAUUAAAUAUAAUAAUUUAAAAUUUUUAAUAUUAUUUUAAAUAUUAAAAAUAUUUUAAUGUUAUUAGUCUACUACAUAGAUCAUAUUACUUAUAUAAUAUUUGUAUUAUUAAAAAUUCUUAAAAUCAAAUUUUUAGUUAGUAUAUUUAUGAGGUAUUAUGGUUAAAAAAAAAACCUUAUUAUUACUUUUUAAAACAUUGAGGGCCUGCGUGAUAAUUUUUUCAAAAAGAAAAUGCUUGGUAUCUAGGAGGGUUAGAGAAACAGGACUACCAAAAUCUCUCACCCUUUUUUAAUUAAAAAAAAUUAAAAUAUCAAUAAAAAAAAUAAAGAAAAUAGAAUUUUAUCUGCUCCUUACUCCAUUUUUGUAACUCUCUCACCAUCUCUGUCGAGCAGCCCUCUCUUUCACUGUCUCUCACUAUUUCACAAUCUCUCUCUCACUCACACAGUCCUUUAGAAAAGCCCAAAAUAGGCCCAAUAAGCCCAUAAUUAAAAUAAUCGAAUCGAAUUAUUUCAAUUAAUCGAGUAUUUGAUUAUUUCGGUAAUUUGAUUAAUCGCGAUUAUGAUUUUAAAAUAAUCGUAAUCGAACGAUUAUGAAAAAUUUAGUAAAAAACCGAAUUGAACCGAACCGCACCCACCCCUACAUAAAAGAACAACAAUUACUUGUCAUUUUCAAUUUUUUCUAUAAGCUAUUUAUUUUGAGCAUUAGUGAUCUUGUCUGGACUACUCCAAUUAUUGACGUAACUCCAGUGGCUGCAUCCACUGGAAAAAGUGGAUGAGAACAUUUUUUUUUUUCAUAAAGGUAACUACUCCAAUUAUUGACAUAAUUGAUGGUGCUUAAAUCAAUUUUUUUUUUUAAUUUAAAGAAUUUUGCUUUAAAAAAUAAUUAAUAUCAAAAUGCCUUCAAUGUUGUUACCGCCACAAGCCCAGUUAGAGGACUCAUUAAAAAUUUUAGAAUUUUUAGGCCUGGAAAGCGUAGUAUUAAACAUCAGAAAGCAAAGGUUGUUAUGUCGAAGAAUUGAUGUCGACAAAAUUUUAUUUUAGUUUUCGGAAAAAAAAAAAAAUUUGUUGACAAGCAAGAAAAUAUUUUUUAUACUUUACAAUCUGCUAUACAUAUUUUAUCAUAUUAAAGUAAUUUUAAUAAUAUAUGGAAACAUAAUAUUAUAAUAAAUAAAUUAAAAUUACUUUGAAUUAUUGAAUAUUACAAAAAGAUAAUUUUAAUAUUAUUAAUAGGAAAACAUUUUUAAUUGUAAAAUCUUUUUAAUACAAAAAUUCAUUUAAAAUCUUUAUAAUAAAUACAAAUAUAAAAUUAAAAAAAUAUCAUAAUUUAAAUUUUUUAAAAUUAUUUAAAUAUUAAAAAUACUUUAAUAUUAUUAGUCUACUACAUAAAAUAUAUUAUUUAUAUUAUAUUCGUAUUGAUUAAAACGUUUUAAAGUCAAAUUUUUAAUUAGUGUAUUCAAAGAUACAAAAGAUUUUAGUAUUAUUUUUAAAAAAUUUCAGGAUAUGAAUGAUAAUUUUUUCAAAUUUUAAAGAUGUAAGAAUCUUUUUUUCUGAUAAUUUAUUUCACUUUUGAGAGAAUCCGAAAACGUUAAUUUAACAUUCUUUACCUUUGUGAAAAAAGUGAAAAUCAAGAACUAUUCAAUUUUGUUUUUAUUUGUAAUUCAAAAACUUUAUUCAUUUUCGAUGCUUUUCAAAAGAGACUCCUCUAAAUCCUUUUGGUGUCUGCAGCUCCUGCAAUUCUCAUAAAUCUCCAUCCCACAUCUACACUAUCAAACAAGUUGAUGGAAAUUCUUAUCAAAAAAAAAAAAAAAAACAAGUCGAUGGAAAUUGAUCAAUUACUUUUUGAAGUGGACCCAUUGAGUCAUGUUCAUUUCUGGUCAUUGUCUACUCUUUCCAUCAGCCAUUUAUUUUGACCAUUUGCGAUCUUAAAGGAUAUGAGAACGUAGCUGAAGUGCUGAAGGGGCUAUUAAAGAAGAGUGUCACUUGAUCACAAUCACAUUGAUGCACAACUCACUCGUGGCAAAUUUCGACUAUACGUUCUGCAAAUUCAGCCAAACCAUACAUGCAUGAACAAAACUAAAAUGUAGUUCUAAUCACAACUGCAGUUAUAAUGUUUACCCCUCUGAUUUUUCUCCAAAACAAAUUCAGUUCAAAACAAUAAUUAAAUAGCCACAUUUUGUUCGUCAAAAUAAAUGCCCAAAUUUUCAAUUAACAAAUCAUCUUCUCUAAACUAAAAAUCCCACAUCUCUAAAAUCAAUCUACAUAAUGUUGGAGAUGAGGGGUGAAUUGUUAACUCAGUAAAAAAAACUCAUGCAUAAUAUUACUAAUAAUAUAAAAUAUAUAUUAAUCAUUAUAAAGAAUCAUAAUUAGAAAAAUUAAUCAUUUUAUAAUUUAUUACACAAGUAAGAUAAAUCUCAUAAUAAGUUAUAACAUAAAAAAAACGUUAUCAAUAUAUAAUCAUUUAAGAAGUCAUUUAACAAUAAAAUCGUUCUUUAAUCAGUUGGUCAUGUCACAUAGUGUCAUCUAUAUUUACGGUGAUAAUAUUAUUACUCAGUAUUAUCAAAAAACAUGAUUUAACAUUUAGAGGAAAUUCUUGCCUUUUAAAAAAAACAUGUAUGCAACAACUACCCAUGCUUUAUCUUACCAUGACAAAUAUUUUCUCAAUGAAAGAAAAUUUUUUAAAAAUUGAUUUAAUGCACAAAUAUGAUGAUUUUUCCAAAAAUUAGUUUUGGAAAACAUAGUGAGAGAAAAUAGUGACGAUUAUUGUUUAGAUGUAUAAAUAGCCUAAACAUAAUCCUUAAUACCAAUAUCCUAAUGCAUCUUAUCAUCUUUCAUGAUAUUCUUUCAUUUAUGUCCAUUGGUUCAAGAUUUGAAUUUGAUCAUUAAAUCAUGUUCAAUAAUAUUAGAGAUUCUAACAAAUGAGUACCAACUUAAAUCCCAAUGUUAUGUGUCAUUGACCAAUUUUGUGUCAUUUUGUUAUUAACUAGGUGAUGAAUUUGUAGUUGAUAAAAUCACUUAAAAAUAUCUUAAAAAUCAAACAAUAGUUUGCUUAAUUUUUCCAAGUUAACUGCUCAAGAUGCUCUAUUAUAAAUAAUAACCUAAUUAUAUUCAUAAAAAAUGAUAUUUUUUUUGUGGUGUUGAUAAUGAGAUUAUCAUUCAACAUUUUAAAAUGUGAAAACAUAUGGAAGAUGGUUGUAAAUUGAUUGAAUGAAAACAUUUCAGUGAAGUCUCAAAAAUUUGGUACUUGUUGUCUUAUCGAAAGUUUUCUAAAUUAUAUUCGUGGCACAGCCACUAUCCAAACCAUACAAGUCCAAAGCUAUCCAAACCAUACCUGCAAGUCCGGGGCUUAAAUGGAGUACUUCUAAGCAAAAAAACAUUGACUAAAAUAGAAUAUAUACAUACAGACACACAUACAUACCAGCAUAUUCAAAAUAGCAAAAGGAGUGCAAAAGUUCAAGUUUGUAGACAACAUUGCAACCAUAGCAUGUUUAUAGCAAAUCCUCAAAAUCUGCUAAAUAAAACAAUGCCCUGUCUCAUGAAUCAAUGCUGAAUUAAAAUUGAAACUGAAAGUCUGGAUGGUUUUGUUUGUUGAGAAUGUCAAAUAAAACGGCAUUGAAGGAAGUUUUCAAAGGCAGAAUCCGCACUUGUCAAAGGGAUGAUCUGCACUUGUCAAAGACACUAUCCGCGCCGAACGGAUCGACACAUUUCCUUCCGUAUUCACAUAUGUAAUCUUUGAAAAAAUAUAGCUUCUGCAUCUAUAAAUAACGCUCAGUGUAUAAUGUUUUAUUCAAGAAAUAAAAACAAGUUUCUACAUGGUAUCAGAGCCAUGAAUGCGCUCAAGUUUCUUCAAGUUUCGCUGCUCUGUUUGUCACAAAAACAGAGGAAACCAAUUAAAUUCGUCCCACAACCAUUUUUUCCACCAUUUUCUUCCUUAAAAUCAUUCCUAACAUUACAGAAAUCCAUGCCGAUCAAAAAACAUGAAAGACAAAUUACACAUGUGCAGUAACCAAUGAUCAUAUUUCGUUACUGUCAAACACAAUGCAUCUGAGCAAAACAUUGGAAGCCAACACCAGAAUACAUAUGAAUAAACAAUUAAAGAUAGAGAAAAAAGGCUUAAACCUUGGGGGGAAAAAGUGAAAAAACAUGAAAGACAAAUUACACAUGUGCAGUAGCCAUCGAACUUAUCAGUGACAGCUGCAUCCAUUACAUUGCUCCAACAACACAAUGGCAAACCACCAGUUUCAAAUUGAGGAUAGCUAUCGAGAAUGAGAAAGUGUCCAAAACGUCAUAAAUAGACAUGUUCCGAUUGUGCAUAAUUUACAUUAUAGGCAAAUAUUCUUAUACCAUCAAAGGCAAAACAUGACACUAACAAUUGAUCACCCCCCCCCCCCCCCCCCCAACAACAAAAAAAAGGAAAAAAACAAUACAGAAAAGAUUGAAACAGAUAAGGCUACACUGAGCACAGGAUGCCAUGAAACAUAAUCCAGGAACCAAAUUAAUAAAAAAGGAAGCCAAACCAUUAUUUAACAAUCUGUUUUGUAUUUGGGAAAGUCUGAUAAAAUCUACUUGGGGAUAAUUAGAGAACCUCAACUAUUAAUCACACCUCAUAAAUGAACUAACAUUAAACAUCUACCAUCCCAACGUCACACAAACAUUCUCUACACUUCUGAACCUAAUACUUCCAUCUUCAAUUGGGGUUUUUUUUUCUUUUUCUUUGGGGGGGGGGGGGGGGGGGAUUGAAAUGCUGAUUUCGAAUCACUAACAGUAAAAUUGGAAGCUCAUGAAAAAAUAGUUUUAUCUCAAAAUUACAUCUCGAUAUAAAUUCUCUUUUCAUUUCCUUCAACUUUCUAAUUAAGCUUAAAAAAUGUACCUUCAACCACAAAGGGGUUUAAAAUUUAAAAUAUAAAAAAUAAAUUCAGAUAACAAUAAUUAAUUUAAUUAAAAAUAUAAAUAGAGUUACAGAGAAAGAGAAAAUAGAGAAAGACGUAAUGUUGAGUCCUUUGGCGCAAGUCUCUUCAUAGGUCCGAACCAUUUCUUCGGGCGUGGGUUUCGGGUCUUUAGGAUACUCCAUAGUGAUAAGCCAGUGAUUGUAAUCGCAACCCUCGAACAGAAUCGUGUCGGGUGUGAUCUCGUCGCCGUCCUUAUACAAGUGGUACGUCUUGUUAACCGACGGCGUAGACGAGAGGGAGAUCGUCGGGGACGAUCUGAACGGCCGAGAUUGGAUAAUGAUGGAGGAGGAGAAGAUUAGCGAUGACGACGCCGAUGAAAUGGAAGGGUUUACCAGAGGAGUGGAUGCGAAGAAUGCAGGGACGGCCGCAAAGAGAGAGCGGCGGAGAGCGGCGACGGACGGUAGUGACCAGCGGAGGCGGAAAAUGGCGGUAUGGGCCAUUGCUUGCGCGUCGGUGAGUGUCUCGAGUGAGAGAGUGAAGGGUUUUGGGAAAUGAAAAAUGCAAAUGUUUGAUUUUGUUGCUAGAAACUUCUUCUGCCGCUGCCUUUUAUUUUCGCUAUAAUAAUAAUAAUUUGUUAAUCAAAUAUUUUCUUAAAAAAGAUAAAUUUCUACAACAAAAUUUAUAUUAAAUCAAAUUGUAAAAAUGUCUAUUAGGGUUAAUUUCUCCUUAAUAUUAUUAUUAGUAGAUGUAGAUUUUCGAAUUAGUCUUGAUAUAUUUCAGAGUUGUAUUAUAAAUGUAUAUGUAUCUGGAUUGCAAUUAUAUUUUUAAAAAAUAUAAUUUUUUUAAUUAUUGCACAAUAAAUGUAAAUAGUAUCUAUAAAAUAAUAUUAUUAGGACUACGAAAAAAAUAUUAUUUUAGAGAAGUUAUUUAUUUAUUAUUGAAUGAAUAAAAAAAUUAGUUUGGCAUUUUUAUAACCUCCUUGAAGGUUUUACGAUAAACAUAAAUCUACUGAGAAAGUGGGAAAAAAAAAAGAAAAUGCAUAUAAAAGUAUGAGUUAUCAGAUAAGAUUAAAACUCACCCAAUUCAAUCCAUCAGAUUCCGUAAGGAUAUAACUGGAUGUCAUACCGCCACUCCAUAUCCUCGAAAGUCCGUAGUCCUUGUCUCAACUGUGUCUGAGGCCAGUGUAAGUCCAAUUUGCGCAAGCUCUUUAUGCACCACAGCUCUUCUGGAAGCUUUCUCAAGUAAGCACAUGGGUUGACAAUUAAGCUUUCAAGUUUCGGCAUUGCUCCAGCCCCCAUCGUCCACUCAUCUAGCCAAUACAUUGAUUUCAGGUGCAAAACCUUAAGUUCGGGAAAGCUACUCAAGCCAACACAAGCAAGCUUUCUUCCUAAAUACGAGUUCUGCUUCAGUUUCAGCACUCGAAGGCGUGGAAGAUUUUCCAGAAUUGGCAUGGGAUCCUCCAUUAGCUCAGUAUUUGAUAAGCUCAGUUGGAUCAGACUUGGGGGAAAUUGGUAUUCAGACAGGACCAUCCGUGAGGGCUUGCUCUCAUUCACCAGCUUCAAGCAUUCAAGUUUGUGGAGUUCGCAAAGGCUUUUGGAAACCCCAGAUUGAUAGUAACUCAAAUCUCCAGAUAUCCGAAGAGUCUGAACACUAGGUAGUCUGCCCAAUAUAUCAGGAGUACAACUGCUACGGUUUAAAGCUGAUAUGAAAAUGAGAUUUUUCAGAGAGCUAGAAUAAUUUUUUGGAGGUGCGGGCAGAGUGAUAGAACCAAAGUUUAGAUGCAUGAGUUUUUGCAUCAUCCAAAUAUCCUCUGGUGACUGAUCUAUGUAGCUAAAUGGCAUUUCUAGUGUUUCAAGGUUUAAAAGGGUGCAUAGCAGUGAAGGAAGACAUUUGAGCGAAGGGAUAUUCAAUUUCAAAUACUUCAAAAGAUAUAAAUUUUCUAAUCCGGGCGGAUAUUGGUCCAGGACUGCAGAACCCAUGUUCAAUACCCGAAGGUGUUUGAACUUUUUACAAAAAUUCUCGCAAUCUAUCAGAGCGAGACGAUCGCUUUCUGAACUGUGAUUCAGAAAAGAUUGGAGACGCAUGUCAGAAUAUUCUAAAGGAAAGAAGUCAAUCAGACGUUCCACAAUGAAGCACCGUUUAACAUUUGCCACUGAUUCCUCUUCCAUGUCAGGCGUCCAGACAAAUCCCGCCUUCUUUGCCAGAAAAUACAAUGAAGUGUAUACAAAACUUGGAACAUAACACGCUUUAAUUGUGCCGCCGGCGCUUCUCUUACUCACUUGAAUGAAGCCGCGAUGGAUUAGUUCUUUCAAGAAAUGGUCGGCAGUUUCUUCACCGUUGUAUGGUACGAAACCUUCAGCUACCCACAACUGAUGUAAUUGCCUCCUGGAUAUCUCAAUACUUGGAGGGAAGACACACAAAUAGAUGAAGCAGACUUUCAAAUGAAAAGGUAACUCCAUCACAGAAAAAAUUUGUCUCCAAACUGUCGGAAUCGCUUCGCCUUGAAGAUAAUUUUCUAAUGGCAUACUUCCAUAGUGUAGGAUGAAAAAUUGCCAGGCUUCAUGCUUUAAUCUGAUCAAUGGUCCUCCAAAGAGCACUGAAUCACGCCGAAUCUUCUCUCCGUUUUCCAUUUCCAACGACGCAAGGAGGUCUGGAUUAGUGACUGUUAUCAAUACUCUGCUUCCAUUCUGCUUAUCAGGAAGAACUUCUUCAAGAUCAUCCCAUAUGUCACUGUCAUUGAAGACAUCAUCAAGCACAAUAAAGUACUUCUUGUUUGUCAGGUAAUCUCGAAGAAUAGAUUUCUUCAAGCGAUAAUCUUCACUGAUAAUUACCCUAGCCCGAGAUGGAGGCAUCAAAGAAUUGAUUAUGUCAUCCAAUAUCUUGCCAAAAUCGUAGGCUAUAGAAACCCUGACCCAAGAAAGACAGUCAAAAUAGAACUUGACAUGGUUAUUAUUGUAAGUAUCUGCAGCAAAAGCAGUCUUAUCGAAGCCACUGCUGUCGAGAAUUGCAACCACUGAAAGCCCAGAUGGUCCCUCAAUCAAUAGAUCAAAAAACUUCUCUCUGCCCCUUUCAAAUUCACUGAUAUCGAGCCGAGGUUGUCCCUCAUUCAAUAGGCGAAUGAUUUCGUUACUUUUUUCACUGAUAUCAAAACCAUUGUCGCCGGGUGGAAGUUGUUGCAUCCGAUUUCUAAUAUCAAUGAUUUUAGUGUGGAGUCCAACAAGAAGAGCCAUAUCAGUACUGCUUUCACUUUCGUUUUCACUGUUUUGCUGCUGCAUUAUGUUGAUGAAGAAUCUGUCAAUGGCUUCCUCAGAUUCAUGGACAACGGGAUUGAUGUCCUCCAGAAUUUCCAAAAUAUCUGCUGUUUCAACGUCUUCUUUAUCGCUUUCUUCUAAGUCCAACAGUUGCAAAAAAGGCAAUGAUAUUUUGGAGUCAUCGAAUUCUUCUCUAAUGAGUUGAAACAAAUGCCGAGCCAUGUCAGCUUCAUAUUUUCCCAGCAGAGUAGUAGCAAUAAUUUCGGACUCCGUAAGAAGGUUUUGAAAAAGUGGAGUUAAAUUUGUUGAAUCAGGCAAAGUUAACGUGCCUUCUUCACCUGCUAACACCCUUUUCAACCUCACACAAAACAGUCGGAGGUGGAGUUCCAGCAUAUCUCCUUCUCUCCGCAGCACUCAGAGGUAUAGUUGAAAGAUUAAACACCAUGGAAGAAUUUGAAAGGAAUAUGCCAAGAAACUGUGUAAGUGGCUAAAUUCCACAAAUGCGGCAUUAUUGCUCAUUUUUAACUCAAAAAAUUGAUACGCGUUCAUUUAGAGAAAAGUCCAAGACGCGUGCCUUUUGAAAAGAACAGGUAUCCCAAUCGGUAUCCAACCUCUAUCUUAUUUAAUUACUAUCAUGACAUAAUUGAUGGUGCUUAAAUCAAUUGUUUCUUUUUUAAUUUAAAGAAUUUUUCAUUAAAAAAAUAUUUUAAUAUCAAAUUGCCUUCAGUGGCGUAACUGCCUCAAGCCCAGUAACAGGACUAAUUAAAGAUUUUACAAUUUUUGGGCAUGGAAAUAGUAGUAUUAAAUAUUAGAAAGGUGAGGUUGUUCUGUUAAAGAAUUGAUCUUGACAUAAUUUUAUUUUGGUUUUCGUGGAAAAAUAAAAUUUGUUGACAAGCAAGAAAAUAUUUUUAUAUUUUAAAAUUUAUUAUGCAUAUUUUAUCAUAUUAAAGUAGUUUUAAUAAUAAAUAGAAACAUAAUAUUACGAUAAAUAAAUUAAAAUUUAACUUAUUUUGAAUAUUAUAAAAAAAAUUUUAAUAUUAUUAAUAGGAAGACAUUGUAUUAAUUUUAAAAUUUUUUAACCCAAAGGUUUAUUUAAAAUCUUUAUUAUAAAUACAAAUAUAAAAUUAAAUAUCAUAAUUUAAAAAUUUUAAUAUUAUUUUAAGUAUUAAAAAUAUUUUAAUGUUAUUAGUCUACUACAUAGAUCAUAUUACUUAUAUAAUAUUUGUAUUAUUAAAAAUUCUUAAAAUCAAAUUUUUAGUUAGUAUAUUCAUGAGGUAUUAUGGUUAAAAAAAAAAAAGACCUUAUUAUUACUUUUUAAAAAAUUGAGGGUCUGCGUGAUAAUUUUUUCAAAAAGAAAAUGCUUGGUAUGUAGGAGGGGUAGAGAAACAGGACUCCCAAAAUCUCUCACCCUUCUUUAAUUAAAAAUAAAUAAAAUAUUAAUAAAAAAUAAUAAAGAAAAUAGAAUUUUAUCUGCUCCUUACUCCAUUUUUGUAACUCUCUCACCAUCUCUGUCGAGCAGCCCUCUCUUUCGUUGUCUCUCACUAUUUCACGAUCUCUCUCUCACUCACACAGUCCUUUAAAAAAGCCCAAAAUAGGCCCAAUAAGCCCAUAAUUAAAAUAAUCGAAUCGAAUUAUUUUAAUUAAUCGAGUAUUUGAUUAUUUCGGUAAUUUAAUUAAUCGCAAUUAUGAUUUUAAAAUAAUCGUAAUCGAACGAUUAUGAAAAAUUUAGUAAAAAAACCGAACUGAACCGAACCGCACCCACCCCUACAUAAAAGAACAUCAAUUACUUGUCAUUUUCAAUUUUUUCUAUAAGCUAUUUAUUUUGAGCAUUAGUGAUCUUGUCUGGACUACUCCAAUUAUUGACGUAACUCCAGUGGCUGCAUCCACUGGAAAAAGUGGAUGAUAACAUUUUUUUUUUUUUCAUAAAGGUAACUACUCCAAUUAUUGACAUAAUUGAUGGUGCUUAAAUCAAUUUUUUUUUUAAUUUAAAGAAUUUUGCUUUAAAAAAUAAUUAAUAUCAAAAUGCCUUCAAUGUUGUUACCGCCACAAGCCCAGUUAGAGGACUCAUUAAAACUUUUAGAAUUUUUAGGCCUGGAAAGCAUAGUAUUAAACAUCAGAAAGCAAAGGUUGUUAUGUCGAAGAAUUGAUGUCGACAAAAUUUUAUUUUAGUUUUCGGAAAAAAAAAAUUUGUUGACAAGCAAGAAAAUAUUUUUUAUACUUUACAAUCUGCUAUACAUAUUUUAUCAUAUUAAAGUAAUUUUAAUAAUAUAUGGAAACAUAAUAUUAUAAUAAAUAAAUUAAAAUUAAAAUUACUUUGAAUUAUUAAAUAUUACAAAAAGAUAAUUUUAAUAUUAUUAAUAGGAAAACAUUUUUAAUUGUAAAAUCUUUUUAAUACAAAAAUUCAUUUAAAAUCUUUAUAAUAAAUACAAAUAUAAAAUUAAAAAUAUCAUAAUUUAAAAUUUUUAAUAUUAUUUUAAUAUUAAAAAUACUUUAAUAUUAUUAGUCUACUACAUAAAAUAUAUUAUUUAUAUUAUAUUCGUAUUGAUUAAAACGUUUUAAAGUCAAAUUUUUAAUUAUUGUAUUCAAAGGUACAAAAGAUUUUAGUAUUAUUUUUUAAAAAUUUUAGGAUAUGAAUGAUAAUUUUUUCGAAUUUUAAAGAUGUAAGAAUCUUUUUUUCUAAUAAUUUAUUUCACUUUUGAGAGAAUCCGAAAACGUUAAUUUAACAUUCUUUACCUUUGUGAAAAAAGUGAAAAUCAAGAACUAUUCAAUUUUGUUUUUAUUUGUAAUUCAAAAACUUUAUUCAUUUUCGAUGCUUUUCGAAAGAGAUUCCGUUAAAUCCUUUUGGUGUCGGCAGCUCCUGCUAUUCUCAUAAAUCUCCAUUCCACAUCUACACUAUCAAACAAGUUGAUGGAAAUUCUUAUAAAAAAAAAACAAGUCGAUGGAAAUUGAUCAAUUACUUUUUGAAGUGGACCCAUUGAGUCAUGUUCAUUUCUGGUCAUUGUCUACUCUUUCCAUCAGCCAUUUAUUUUGACCAUUUGCGAUCUUAAAGGAUAUGAGAACGUAGCUGAAGUGCUGAAGGGGCUAUUAAAGAAGAGUGUCACUUGAUCACAAUCACAUUGAUGCACAACUCACUCGUGGCAAAUUUCGACUAUACGUUCUGCAAAUUCAGCCAAACCAUACGUGCAUGAACAAAACUAAAAUGUAGUUCUAAUCACAACUCCAGUUAUGAUGUUUACCCCUCUGAUUUUUCUCCAAAACAAAUUCAGUUCAAAACAAUAAUCAAAAUAGCCACAUUUUGUUCGUCAAAAUAAAUGCCCAAAUUUUCAAUUAACAAAUCAUCUUCUCUAAACUAAAAAUCCCACAUCUCUAAAAUCAAUCUACAUAAUGUUGGAGAUGAGGGGUGAAUUGUUAACUCAGUAAAAAAAACUCAUGCAUAAUAUUACUAAUAAUAUAAAAUAUAUAUUAAUCAUUAUAAAGAAUCAUAAUUAGAAAAAUUAAUCAUUUUAUAAUUUAUUACACAAGUAAGAUAAAUCUCAUAAUAAGUUAUAACAUAAAAAAAACGUUAUCAAUAUAUAAUCAUUUAAGAAGUCAUUUAACAAUAAAAUCGUUCUUUAAUCAGUUGGUCAUGUCACAUAGUGUCAUCUAUAUUUACGGUGAUAAUAUUAUUACUCAGUAUUAUCAAAAAACAUGAUUUAACAUUUAGAGGAAAUUCUUGCCUUUUAAAAAAAAACAUGUAUGCAACAGCUACCCAUGCUUUAUCUUACCAUGACAAAUAUUUUCUCAAUGAAAGAAAAUUUUUUAAAAAUUGAUUUAAUGCACAAAUAUGAUGAUUUUUCCAAAAAUUAGUUUUGGAAAACAUAGUGAGAGAAAAUAGUGACGAUUAUUGUUUAGAUGUAUAAAUAGCCUAAACAUAAUCCUUAAUACCAAUAUCCUAAUGCAUCUUAUCAUCUUUCAUGAUAUUCUUUCAUUUAUGUCCAUUGGUUCAAGAUUUGAAUUUGAUCAUUAAAUCAUGUUCAAUAAUAUUAGAGAUUCUAACAAAUGAGUACCAACUUAAAUCCCAAUGUUAUGUGUCAUUGACCAAUUUUGUGUCAUUUUGUUAUUAACUAGGUGAUGAAUUUGUAGUUGAUAAAAUCACUUAAAAAUAUCUUAAAAAUCAAACAAUAGUUUGCUUAAUUUUUCCAAGUUAACUGCUCAAGAUGCUCUAUUAUAAAUAAUAACCUAAUUAUAUUCAUAAAAAAUGAUAUUUUUUUUGUGGUGUUGAUAAUGAGAUUAUCAUUCAACAUUUUAAAAUGUGAAAACAUAUGGAAGAUGGUUGUAAAUUGAUUGAAUGAAAACAUUUCAGUGAAGUCUCAAAAAUUUGGUACUUGUUGUCUUAUCGAAAGUUUUCUAAAUUAUAUUCGUGGCACAGCCACUAUCCAAACCAUACAAGUCCAAAGCUAUCCAAACCAUACCUGCAAGUCCGGGGCUUAAAUGGAGUACUUCUAAGCAAAAAAACAUUGACUAAAAUAGAAUAUAUACAUACAGACACACAUACAUACCAGCAUAUUCAAAAUAGCAAAAGGAGUGCAAAAGUUCAAGUUUGUAGACAACAUUGCAACCAUAGCAUGUUUAUAGCAAAUCCUCAAAAUCUGCUAAAUAAAACAAUGCCCUGUCUCAUGAAUCAAUGCUGAAUUAAAAUUGAAACUGAAAGUCUGGAUGGUUUUGUUUGUUGAGAAUGUCAAAUAAAACGGCAUUGAAGGAAGUUUUCAAAGGCAGAAUCCGCACUUGUCAAAGGGAUGACCUGCACUUGUCAAAGACACGAUCCGCGCCGAACGGAUCGACACAUUUCCUUCCGUAUUCACAUAUGUAAACUUUGAAAAAAUAUAGCUUCUGCAUCUAUAAAUAACGCUCAGUGUAUAAUGUUUUAUUCAAGAAAUAAAAACAAGUUUCUACAUGGUAUCAGAGCCAUGAAUGCGCUCAAGUUUCUUCAAGUUUCGCUGCUCUGUUUGUCACAAAAACAGAGGAAACCAAUUAAAUUCGUCCCACAACCAUUUUUUCCACCAUUUUCUUCCUUAAAAUCAUUCCUAACAUUACAGAAAUCCAUGCCGAUCAAAAACAUGAAAGACAAAUUACACAUGUGCAGUAACCAAUGAUCAUAUUUUGUUACUGUCAAACACAAUGCAUCUGAGCAAAACAUUGGAAGCCAACACCAGAAUACAUAUGAAUAAACAAUUAAAGAUAGAGAAAAAAGGCUUAAACCUUGGGGGAAAAAGUGAAAAAACAUGAAAGACAAAUUACACAUGUGCAGUAACCAUCGAACUUAUCAGUGACAGCUGCAUCUAUUACAUUGCUCCAACAACACAAGGGCAAACCACCAGUUUCAAAUUGAGGAUAGCUAUCGAGAAUGAGAAAGUGUCCAAAACGUCAUAAAUAGACAUGUUCCUAUUGUGCAUAAUUUACAUUAUAGGCAAAUAUUUUUAUACCAUCAAAGGCAAAACAUGACACUAACAAUUGAUCACCCCCCCCCCCCCCCCCCCCAACAACAAAAAAAAGGAAAAAACAAUACAGAAAAGAUUGAAACAGAUAAGGCUACACUGAGCACAGGAUGCCAUGAAACAUAAUCCAGGAACCAAAUUAAUAAAAAAGGAAGCCAAACCAUUAUUUAACAAUCUGUUUUGUAUUUGGGAAAGUCUGAUAAAAUCUACUUGGGGAUAAUUAGAGAACCUCAACUAUUAAUCACACCUCAUAAAUGAACUAACAUUAAACAUCUACCAUCCCAACGUCACACAAACAUUCUCUACACUUCUGAACCUAAUACUUCCAUCUUCAAUUGGGGGUUUUUUUUUUCUUUUUCUUUGGGGGGGGGGGGGGAUUGAAAUGCUGAUUUCGAAUCACUAACAGUAAAAUUGGAAGCUCAUGAAAAAAUAGUUUUAUCUCAAAAUUACAUCUCGAUAUAAAUUCUCUUUUCAUUUCCUUCAACUUUCUAAUUAAGCUUAAAAAAUGUACCUUCAACCACAAAGGGGUUUAAAAUUUAAAAUAUAAAAAAUAAAUUCAGAUAACAAUAAUUAAUUUAAUUAAAAAUAUAAAUAGAGUUACAGAGAAAGAGAAAAUAGAGAAAGACGUAAUGUUGAGUCCUUUGGCGCAAGUCUCUUCAUAGGUCCGAACCAUUUCUUCGGGCGUGGGUUUCGGGUCUUUAGGAUACUCCAUAGUGAUAAGCCAGUGAUUGUAAUCGCAACCCUCGAACAGAAUCGUGUCGGGUGUGAUCUCGUCGCCGUCCUUAUACAAGUGGUACGUCUUGUUAACCGACGGCGUAGACGAGAGGGAGAUCGUCGGGGACGAUCUGAACGGCCGAGAUUGGAUAAUGAUGGAGGAGGAGAAGAUUAGCGAUGACGACGCCGAUGAAAUGGAAGGGUUUACCAGAGGAGUGGAUGCGAAGAAUGCAGGGACGGCCGCAAAGAGAGAGCGGCGGAGAGCGGCGACGGACGGUAGUGACCGGCGGAGAGCGGAAGAUGGCGGUAUGGGCCAUUGCUUGCGCGUCAGUGAGUGUCUCGAGUGAGGAGUGAAGGGUUUUGUACUUUUGUUUAGGGUUUUGGGAAAUGAAAAAUGCAAAUGUUUGAUUUUGUUGCUAGAAACUUCUUCUGCCGCCGCUUUUUAUUUUCGCUAAAUAAUAAUAAUAAUUUGUUAAUAAAAUACUUUCUUAGAAAAGAUAAAUUUAUAGAACAAAAUUUAUAUUAAAUCAAAUUGUAAAAAUGUGGAAUAGGGCUAAUUUCUCCUGAAUAUUAUUAUUAGUAGAAGUAGAUUUUCGAAAUAGUCUUGAUAUAUUUCAAAGUUGUAUUAUAGAUGUACAUGUAUCUGGAUUGUAAUUAUAUUUUAAAAAAUAUACAUUUUUUUUCAUUAUUGCACAAUAAAUGUAGAAAGUGUCUAUAAAAUAAUAUUAUUAGAACUAUGAAAAUAUAUUAUUUUAGAGUAGUUAUUUAUUUAUUUUUGAAUAAAUAAUUUAUUAAUUUAUUAAUUUAUUGAUAAAUUAAUAAAUAUUAAUUUAAAGAGAGAUUUUUUUUUUUGGGGGUUUUUAAGAAGAGUUUUGUUGGUAUAUGUACAAACUUAUAAAGAAAUACAAAAAAUGCUUCCUCAAGUCAAUAGUAUUUACUUUAAUUCAUAAUAGUAUAGUUUAAUCAAGAAACUUAUAAUUAUACUAUAUCUUUCUUUCUUUGUUCUAUUUGGUGGGACAUUGUGAUAAAUCAUUGGAUUAAAAUGCAUUUCUAAAUGAAAACUUGUUAAAACCUAAUUUAUUUGGGAACGACAUUUUAUUUGUCAGUCGUAUUUCUCAACUUCGUAAGUUAUUUCUAAUUUAUCGGUCUCUAUUGGUUCUCUUAAGUACCUAUUUGGCAUGACUUAUUUAAUAGUAAUAAGUGCUUAUUUAAUCUCAUAAGUUUUUUCCCUCUCUGACAAUUGAGUUAGGGGGUCAAACUUGAAAGUAUCUUAAAAUUAGACAACAAUUUAACUAUUUUUUUUUUUUUAGAUAACUGCUAAUAUGCUCUAUUAGACAAUGAUGAGUGAUAACCUAGGUGUUUGCAUUUAAAGGGAUACUUUUUGUGGUGUUGAUAAAGAGGUUAAGUAUGAUUCAACAAUUUAAAAUAUGAAAACAUAUGGAAGACGGCCGCAAUUAAAUUAAUUGUAUGAAAAUAUUUCAAUGAAAUUUUAAAAAUUUAGUAUUUGUUAUCUUAUCGAGAGUUUUUUAAAAUUAUAUUACUACUUGAACUUGACUGCUUUUGUAUUUAAUUCCUACCGUUGCCAUUGCUUCUACUCAAAAGCCAUUUAAGUUUGUGUAAGCUACGUAUAGUUUGAACAACAAUUUACUCAUGAAUUGUUGUUCAUAAUAGCAUCAGUGCAUGCAUCAUUUUAAUGAGAAAGAAUAUUCUAAGAACGAAAUUGAACGUGGGAGGUAUCGGGAAGGAAUUGGAAUGGAAUAAUAUCGAUUCAUAUAGAUACAGAAGAAAAAGUUCUCUAUUGAUUCAAAUGCUGUGCCUAUGGGAUAAGGAUAGAGAAAGAGGAAAAAACCGAAGCCAGAAAUGUACACGCAUGAGGAACUUUUCCUAGAAGAUUGAUAUUUCUUUGACUAGCAAACCAUACAAGUCCAAAGCUAGCCAAACCAUACCUGCAAGUCGGGGGUUUAAAUGGAAUACUUCUAAGCAUAAAACAUUGAUUAAAACAGAAUACACACAUACAUACCAGCAAAUUCAAAAUAGCAAAAGGAGUGCAAAAGUUCAAGUUUGUAGACAACAUUGCAACCAUGGCAUGUUUAUAGCAAAUCCUCGAAAUCUGCUAAAUAAAACAAUGCCCUGUCUCAUGAAUCAAUGCUGAAUUAAAAUUGAAACUGAAAGUCCGGCUGGCGUUGUUUCCCUCUCCAAUUUUGCCUACAUAAGUGAAAAUAAGAAUAAUAAAUGAAAAUCUGCUUUUACGGUUCUUAUUAGAUAGAUAAAAGGGGGAUCUUUCUUUGUUUCUCUGCUGCAAUGUGUGGCUAUCCCACUCUGUUUUGCCACCCAAGCUGAGUCUAUGCUGAGACAUAAUUUUGACAUCAGAAGCAAUCUCAAUUAGUUUGGCACUUUUAAGCAAUCUCAUAUUUUGCUCACUUGAAGGUUUUACGAUAAACAUAAAUCUACAGAGAAAGUGGGAAAAAAAAAAGAAAAUGCAUAUAAAUAUAUGAGUUAUCAGAUAAGAUUAAAACUCACCCAAUUCAAUCCAUCAGAUUCCGUAAGGAUAUAACUGGAUGUCAUACCGCCACUCCAUAUCCUUGAAAGUCCGUAGUGUUUGUCUCAACUCUGUCUGAGGCCAAUGUAAAUUCAAUUUGCGCAAGCUCUUUAUGCACCACAGCUCUUCUGGAAGCUUUCUCAAGUAAGCACAUGGGUUGACAAUUAAGCUUUCAAGUUUCGGCAUUGCUCCAGCCCCCAUCGUCCACUCAUCUAGCCAAUACAUUGAUUUCAGGUGCAAAACCUUAAGUUCCGGAAAGCUACUCAAGCCAACACAAGCAAGCUUUCUUCCUAAAUACGAGUUCUGCUUCAGUUUCAGCACUCGAAGGCGUGGAAGAUUUUCCAGAAUUGGCAUGGGAUCCUCCAUUAGCUCAGUAUUUGAUAAGCUCAGUUGGAUCAGACUUGGGGGAAAUUGGUAUUCAGACAGGACCAUCCGUGAGGGCUUGCUCUCAUUCACCAGCUUCAAGCAUUCAAGUUUGUGGAGUUCGCAAAGGCUUUUGGAAACCGCAGAUUGAUAGUAACUCAAAUCUCCAGAUAUCCGAAGAGUCUGAACACUAGGUAGUCUGCCCAAUAUAUCAGGAGUACAACUACUAGGGUUUAAAGCUGAUAUGAAAAUGAGAUUUUUCAGAGAGCUGGAAUAAUUUUUUGGAGGUGCGGGCAGAGUGAUAGAACCAAAGUUUAGAUGCAUGAGUUUUUGCAUCAUCCAAAUAUCCUCUGGUGACUGAUCUAUGUAGCUAGAUGGCAUUUCUAGUGUUUCAAGGUUUAAAAGGGUGCAUAGCAGCGAAGGAAGGCGUUUGAGCAAAGGGAUAUUCAAUUUCAAAUACUUCAAAAGGAAUAAAUUUUCUAAUCCGGGUGGAAAUUGGUCGAGAACUGCAGAACCGAAGUUCAGUACCCGAAGGUGUUUGAACUUUUUACAAAAAUUCUCGCAAUCUAUCACAGCGAGAUGAUCGCCUUCUAAACUUUGAUUGAUAAAAGAUUGGAGAUAGAUCUCACCAUGUUCUAAAGAAAUGAAGUCAGUCAGAUGUUCCAAAAUGAUGUAGCGUUUAACAUUUGCAAAUGGUUCCGCUUCCAUUCCAGGCAUCCAGAGAAAUUUCGUCUUGUCUGCCACCAAACCCAAUGAAGUAUAUACAAAACUUGGAACAUAGCAAGCUUUAAUUGUGCCGCCGGCUCUUCUCUUACUCACUUGAAUGAAGCCGCGAUGGAUUAGUUCUUUCAAGUAAUGUUCGGCAGUUUCUUCACCGUUGUAUGGUAUGAAACCUUCAGCUACCCACAACUGAUAUAAUUGCUCCGUAGAUAUCUCCAUACUUGGAGGGAAGACCAACAAAUAGAUGCAGCAGACCUUCAAGUGAAAAGGUAACUCCAUCACAGAAAAAAUUUGUCUCCAAACUGUCGGAAUCGCUUCGCCUUGAAGAUAAUUUUCUAAUGGCAUACUUCCAUAGUGUAGGAUGAAAAAUUGCCAGGCUUCAUGCUUUAAUCUUAUCAAUGGUCCUCCAAUGAGCACUGAAUCACGCCGAAUUUCCUCUCCAUUUUCCAUUUCCAACGACACAAGGAGGUCUGGUUCAGUGACUGUUAUCAAUACUCUGCUUCCAUUCUCAUCAUCAGGGAGAACUUCUUCCAGAUCAUCCCAUAUCUCACAGUCAUCGAAGACGUCAUCAAGCACAAUAAAAUACUUCUUGUUUGUUAGGUAAUCUCGAAGAAUAGAUUCCUUGAAUUGAUAAUCUUCACCGAUAAUUACACUAACCCGAGAUGGAGGCAUCACAGACUUGAUUAUGUCAUCCAAUAUCUUGCGAAAAUCGUAGAGUAGAGAAACCCUGACCCAAGCAAGACAGUCAAAAUAGAACUUGACAUAGUUAUUAUUGUAAGUAUCUGCAGCAAAAGCAGUCUUAUCGAAGCCACUGCUGUCGAGAAUUGCAACCACUGAAAGCCCAGAUGGUCCCUCAAUCAAUAGAUCAAACAACUCCUCUCUGCCCCUUUCAAAUUCACUGAUAUCAAGCCGAGGAUGUCCCUCAUUCAAUAGGCGAAUCAUUUCGUUACUUUUUUCACUGAUAUCAAAACCAUUGUCGCCGGGUGGAAGUUGUUGCAUCCGAUUUCUAAUAUCAAUGAUUUCACUGUGGAGUCCAUCAGGAAGAGCCAUAUUAGUGCUGCUUUCACUUUCGUUUUCACUGUUUUGCUGCUGCAUGAUGUUGAUGAAGAAUGUGUCAAUGACUUCCUCAGAGUCACGGACAAAGUUAUUGAUGUCCUUCAGAAUUUCAAAAAUAUCUGCUGUUUCAACGUCUUCUUCAUCGCUUUCUUCUAAGUCCAACAGUUGCAAAAAAGGCAAAGAUAUUUUGGAGUCAUCGAUAUCUUCUCUAAGGAGUUGAAUCAAAUGCCGAGCCAUGUCGGCUUCAUAGUUUCCCAGAAGAGUAGUAGCAAUAAUUUCGGACUCCGUAAGAAGGUUUUGAAAAAGUGGAGUUAAAUUUGUUGAAUCUGGCAGAGGCAACGUGCCUUCUUCACCUGCUAACACCCUUUUCAACCUCUCACAAAACAGUCGGAGGUGGACGUCCAGCAUAUCUCCUUCUCUCUGUAGCACCCAGAGGUAUUGUUUUUUGCUCCAAGAAAUAUUAAAAGGAUUGGUUCUAUCUAAAAGUGGUUACUGGUGUAAAAUUAAACGCCAUGGGAGAAUUUGAAAGGAAGAUGCCAAGGAACUGGCGAAGUGGCUAAAUUCCACAAAUACGGCAUUAUUGCUCAUUUUUAACUCAAAAAAUUGAUACGCCUUCAUUUAGCGAAAAGUCCAAGACGCUUGCCUUUUGAAAAGAAGAGGUAUCCAUAGAUAUCCAACAUUUAUCUUAUUUUAAUUACUACCACGACAUGAUUGAUGGUUGUUAAAUCAAUUGUUUCUUUUUUAAUUUAAAGAAAUUUUCAUUAAAAAAUAGUUUAAUAGACACAUAAUAUUACAAUAAAUAAAGUAAAGUUUAAAUUAUUUUGAAUAUUAUAAAAAAUAAUUUUAAUAUUAUUAAUAGGAAGACAUUUUGUUAAUUUUAAAAUCUUUUUAACCCAAAGGUUUAUUUAAAAUCUUUAUUAUAAAUACAAAUAUAAAAUUAAAUAUCAUAAUUUAAAAUUUUUAAUAUUAUUUUAAGUAUUAAAAAUAUUUUAAUGUUAUUAGUCUACUACAUAGAUUUUAUUAUUUAUAUUAUAUCUGUAUUGAUUAAAAUUUUUUAAAGUCAAUUUUUUAGUCAAUAUAUUCAAGAGGUAUUAUAGUUAAAGAAAAGAUUUUGGUGUUAUUUUUUGAAAAUUUUAAGGUUUAAAUGAUUUUUUUUUUAAUUUUAAGGAUGUGGGUAUUAUUUUUCCGACAAUUUAUUUUAUUUUUGGGGAAUCCGAUGAGAAAUAUCAUGAGAGAAGGUUAAUUUUACAUUCUUUACCUUUAUGAAAAAAGUGGAAACCAAGAACUAUUCAAUUUUGUAUUUUUUGUUUGUAAUUCAAAAAAUGCAUCCACCAAACAAGCUUAUCUUGAUUUUCCCACUUUAUUCAUUUUCGAUCCUUUAAUCCAUCUAGCAUCUGCAGCCCCCGCUAUUUUCACAAAGAGUAAUGAUACAGCCACAAAUUCUUGUACAAAUUUAUUUUGUAUAAACUGACGUGGCAUGAUAAGAUUGGUUGAAUUAAAUAUCACUUGGCCCACAUGAUUUGUUUUUAUUAUUUUAUAUUUUUAUUCAACCAAUGAAUUAAUGCCACGUCAGUUUGUACAAAAUAAAUUUGUACAAGAGUUUGUGGCUGUAUCAUUACUCUGUCAAGAAUCUCCAUCCCACAGCUACACUAUCAAACAAGUUGAUGGAAAUUGAACAAUUGCUUUUUGAAGUGGACCCAUUAGGUUAUGUUCAUUACUGGUCAUUGUCUAUUCUUUCUAAGAGCCACUUAUUUUGAGCAUUAGCGAUCCUAUCUGGACUACUCCAAUUAUUGAUGUAACUCCAAUGGUUGCAUCAACAGUUGAAUGUAAGAUAGUGUCAGUUCUUUUUUGAGAAUAUAGAGGGAUCUUUAUUUGUUUCUCCGUUGCAGCGUAUUAGUAUAAAUUUCUUGACCUUACAGUUCCUACAGUCUUCCUGUUAAUGAAUUCGCUGAGGCAUUAUUGAUCCAAUCUCAGUGAAGUAAUUGUGGGUGAAAAAAAAAUAAAGGAUAAGAGAACGUAGCUCAAGUGCUGAAUUGACUAUUAAAGAAGAGCGUCACCUGAUCACAAUCACAUUGAUGCACAACUCACUCGAGGCAAAUUUCAUCUAUAUAUACUGCAAAUUCAGCCAAGCCAUGCAUGCAUGAACAAAACUAAAAUGAAGUUCAUAAUCACAACUGUAAUUAGAGCUACAAAAGGUGGCAAACCAUACAUGCAUGAACAAAAUUAGACAUAAAUUGAAGCCACAACAUUAAUUGAAGCCACAAAAGCCAGCAAAUCCAAAUGAAAACUUAAAAGGAAGAUCUUAUCGAAGUUUGUCCCCAAAAGACAGCGGAAAUGAAAAAUAUUGACUAUCGAGUGGAUCAAUGCUGAAUUACAUUUGACCUGGAAAGCUUGGCUGCAGUUGCGAUGUUCCCCCUCUGAUUUUCCCUAAAACAAAUUCAGUUGUAAACAAUAACUGGAGUAGCAACAAUUUAUUCAUUAUAGAAAAUACCUAAAUUUUCAACUAUCAAAUCCUCUUGUCUAAACUAAAAAACUCAUAUCUCUAAAAUCUAUAUACAAAAUGUCAUAAAUGAGGGUGAUCUCUCAAUUCGGUAAACAAAUUCAUGCAUAAUAUUACCAAUAAUGAUAAAUUACAUAAUAAUUAUUAUAAAGAAUCAUAAAUUGGAAACAUUAAUCAUUUUAAAAUCUAUUACAUAAUAAAAAUAAAUCUUAUAAUAAGUUACGUUAGAACAUAACAAAUAUUUAAAAUGAUAUAUAUAAUUAUUUAAGAAGUCUUUUAACAAUAAUUUUUUUUUUCUUUUUCAGUUGAUCAUGUCAUAGCGUUAUCUAAAAUGCUAGCGAUAUCAUUAUUCCCCACUUUUCUCAAAAAAAAGAAAAAGAUAAAGAAAAAAGAAAUAUGAUUAACGUUUGGAGAAAAGUCAUGCCUUUUAAAAAGAAUAUGUAUACAAUACCAAUUCAUACUUUAUCUUACCAUAAAAAAAUUGUUUAAAAUAGAUUUAAUGCACAAAUAUGAUGACUUUUGGCAGAAAUGAGUUUCGGAAAUAUUGGGAUGAAAACCAUAUUGGUUCAGACUUAAAAUUACUUAAUAAAAUUACUUAACUACCAUUUAAUAAAUAAAAAUCAUAUUAGUUGAAAGUUAAAUUAAGAUUUAAAUGUUGAGAUAUCUAACGUUACUCAAUCAGAAUAAACAAUAAUCAAUUCAAAUUAUGACUAUCAUGUAGAAGCAAAUGUUUAUGCUUGGGUCUUUUACUUCUUGAAUUUGAUUGGAAAAAUUUCUGAGACAGGGAAGUGAGUGUUUUGGAUAAUAUUUUUCGGGAUUGAAACCACAAGUUGGUCGAGGAAAAUAAUUUUGGACAAAUUUUUAUUAUAUUGUAGAACCUUUUUGGUUCCUUUUGUGUCGGCAGCCCCUCACUAUUCUCUUAACCCUGAGUUUUGAGAUAGAAAUUUCCCGAACUCCAACCCCACAUCCACAGACAAGUUGAUUGAAACAAUUGCUCUUGUAAUUAAGAGGAUGAGUUAGGGUUCAGUUCUUAUCAUUGUCUGUUAUUUCUUUGAAUCAUUAUCUUAGUUAAUUACAUCAAUUGUUUCUUUUCUUAAUUUAAAGAAUUUUUCUUUUAAAAAAAUAUUUUAAUAUCAAAAUGCGUUAAAUGGUAUUACUGCCGCAAUCCCAGUAACAGGAUUAAUUAAAAAAAUAUUCUUAGGAAGAUAUUUUGUUUAUUGUAAAAUCUUUUUAACCCAAAGGUUUAUUUAAAAUCGUUAUAAUAAAUAAAAAUAUAAAAAAAAAUAAAUAUCAUAAUUUAAAAUUUUAAUAUUAUUUUAAAUAUUAAAAAUACUUUAAUGCUAUUAGUCUACUACACAGGUUAUAUUACUUAUAUUAUAUUUGUAUAAAUUAAAACUUUUAAAGUUAAAUUUUUAAUUACUAUAUUGAAAAGGUAUUAUGGUUAAAAAAAGUUUUGGCAUUUGUUUUUUGAAAAUUUGAGGGUCUGCAUGACAAUUUGUCCAAAUCCUAGAGGUAUAGGUGUCUUUUUUUUUCGAUAAUUCAUUUUACUUUUGAGGGAAUCCGAUGAGAAAUAAGAUAAGAGAAACGUCAAUUUAACGUUCUCUAGGGAAAACCAAGAACUAUUCAAUUUUGUAUUUUUUGUUUGUAAAACAAAAAACAGUUUGCCAAAAAAGGUACCAAACAUAUCCUUAAUGUCUCACAUGAUUUCUUAUUAAGUCCAUACUCGAUAUAUUUAUACAUUUUAGGUAUUUUAGUUAUAAAAGAAGUUGGUCCUCCCUCUGUUUAUAAAAGGUAACUUUAUUUCGAGAUUACCACUAAAGUCUUACAAAGAAUUAGUGUAAUGUUAAGAGAGACUAACACAGUUUUCCAUUACCAUUUUGAAAAUAGAAAGAUAUGGAUGUGUGCAUUUAAUGGUGCGUUUACUUGCCGGAUUGGGGAAUCAGAAUCUGGAAUCAGAAUGAUUGAUGGUGUUUACUUCACAAAUAUGGAGCAGGAAUCGGAAUUGGAAUGGUGGGGCCCACCACUAUUUGGGAAUGGGAGAUUGAUUCCCAUGGGGGAAGGUGGGAAUGAGUCUCUCAUUCCCUGGAUUGACCAUUUUGCCCUCCCUCAAAAUUAAAAAUGCCUACUUUGUCCUCUUUUAUAAUUAAUUAAUAUAAUAUUAUAAUUAAUUAAUUAAUAUAUAAAUAUUUUAUUAACUAUAAUUAUUAAAAAUUAUAGUUCUUGAAUAAAUAAUCACAAUAAUUAAUUUAUUAUUAUUAUUGUUAAUGAAUUAAUAUAAUUAUUACUAUUAAUUAAUAUAUUAAUAUAUUAUUAACAAUAAUAUAUUAAUAAUUAUUGUUCGUGAAUAAAUAAUCACAAUAAUUAAUAUAUUAUUAUUGAAAUUAAUUAAUUAAUAUACUAUUAUAAUAAUUAUUAUAAUUAAUUCAUAUAUUAUUAUUAAUUAAUUAAUAAAAUUAAAAUUAUUAAUUAAAUAAAUAAUAUAAUUAUUACUACUAAUUAAUAUAUUAAUAUAUUAUUAAAAAUAAUUAUUAAUAAUUAUAAUUUUUGAAUAAAUAAUCACAAUAAUUAAUAUAUUAUUUUAAUUAAGUAAUUAAUAUUAAUAUUAUUAGUUAAUAUAUUUUUAUAAUAAUUUUUGAUAUAGUUAUUAUAAUUAAUUAAAAUUUUUUACAAUUAAUUAAUAUAUUAGUUAAUAAUAAUUAUGACAAUAAUUCAUUAAGUACUUUUUAGUAAUUUGUUACAAUCUAAUUCAUUCCGAUUCCGAUUUCAAGACAAAGUAAACACAUUAAUGGCAAUCUAGCUCAUUCCGAUUUCGAUUCUUACAGUUCAAGUAAACAACUUAUUUUGAUUCCCAUUACCUAUUCCCAUUCCAGCCCAUUCUCAUUUCUGCCCAUUUCAAUUCCAGCUCAUUCCGAUUCCAGUUUAGUAAACGCAGCAUAAGAGUUAUCAUGAAAAUCAUACAAUUUAAUUUCCUGAAAUAUAUAUUUUAUUCACAUGUGCCAAAAGAAUAAAUAGAUAGAAAGUAAAUUUACAAUCCUCACUCCCUCAUAAUUGUUAAAGUGAAUAUGCAUUACAACUGUGAACUGUCACUACUUUAGCCCUUUAUUUGUUUUUUCAAUUAUAGUGUGAUGGAGACAGUGAACAUUAAGGAUAAAGUGCUCUGCUGAAAGCCAAACUUCCUUUGGCUAAUUAAUUUAGAAGUAAAGCAGAGAAUAAAGUCCUUGAUGCCUUCUGAAAUUAGAAAUACAUUUUAUAUGCUUUAAUUAUGAUUAUUUGGUAGACUAUUGACCAAAAGACAUGUUAAAGUAUAAAACAGAGCGAUUAAAGAAAAAAAAAAGGAGCGUUUGUGACGUAGAAUAACAAUUUGUAAGCAAAGUCCUAAUUUGAGUUGUCAAAAAGCAAACAUAACAGAGAAGGUAAGAGAGAUGCAAAAACAGAAAACUAUUAGCUUAUCUUGAUUUUCCCACUAUAUUCAUUUUCGAUGCUUUUCAAACGAGAUUCUUUUAAUCCUUCUGGCGUCUGCAGCCCCUGCUCUUCUUAUAAAUCUCCUUCCCACAUCUGCACUACGAACAAGUUGACUAAAAUUAAAUAAUGUUGGAGACGAGGGGUGAGCCGUCAACUUAUUAAAAAAAACUCAUGUAUAAUAUUAUCAAUAAUAUAAAAUAUAUAAUAAUUAUUAUAAAGAAUCAUAAAUUAGAAAAAUUAAUUAUUUUACAAUUUAUUUCUUAAGUAAGAUAAAUCUCGUAAUAAGUUAAGUUUAAUGUAAAAAAUAUUUUCAAUUUAUAAUCAUUUAAGAAGUCAUUUAACAAUAAAAUCUUUUUUUUGAUCAGGUGGCCAUGCCAUAGAGUAUCAUCUAUAUUCGUGGUGAUAUUAUUAUUACUCAAUAUCCUCAAAAGACACUAUUUAACAUUUAGAGAAAAUUUCUGCCUUUUAAAAAGAACAUGUAUGCAAUAGCUAGCCACACUUUAUUUUACCACGACAAAAUUGAUAGUGAUUAAAUCAAUUUUCUCAAUUAAAGAAAUUUUUUUUAAAUUGAUUUAAUGCACAAAUAUGAUGAGUUUUUGCAAAAAUUAGUUUUGGAAAAUAUAGUGAGAGAGAAUGGUGACGAUUAUUUUUCAGAUGUGCAAAUAGCCUAAACAUAAUCUCUAAUACCAAUAUCCUUGUGCAUCUUAACACCUUUCAUGAUAUUCUUUCAUUCAUAACCAUUUGUUCAAUAUUUGAAUUUGAUUAUUAAAUUAUGUUCAAUAAUGUUAGAGACCCCAACAAUUGGGUACCAACUUAAAUCCCAAUGCUAUGUGUCAAUGUAACAUAGCAAAAUCCCAUUAACAAAUGUUGUGUCAUUUAUCAUUAUUGAAUGAAUAAUUCGUUAAUUUAUUGAUAAAUGAAAAUUUAUUAAUUUAAAGAGAGAUUUUUUUUUUUGGUUUUAAGAAGAGUUUUGUUGGUACAUGUACAUACUUAUAAAGGAAAAACUUGUAAUUAUACUAUAUCUUUCUUUCUUUGUUCAGUUUGGUGGGAUAUUGUGAUAAAUCAUUGGAUUAAAAUGCAUUUCUAAAUUGAAACUUGUUAAAAUCUAAUUUAUUUGGGAAACGCAUAUUAUUUGUCAGUCGUACUUCUCAACUUAGCAAGUUAUUUCUAACUUGUCGGUCUCUAUUGGUUCUCUUAAAACUAAUAGUCUCGUAUCUCCCGCAUUUGAUAUCUUGCCAUUACUGUUGGCAUUAACAUGUUACCUGAGAUUGGGAUUCAUUAAAAUCCUCAAUGUAAUCGGUGGAACGAAUGGAUUUCUUCUGUUCACCAAUCCACCAAAAUUUCUGUAAUUAAAUUCAAAAGUCAAGAUCUAUGCUUAUAAUCUAUUCAACAGCUAAUAUUCUAUUUUAUAUUUACUUAAAUAUGAAGAGCUAUGCUUGUAGUUAACUUCAAAUGUGAUCGAAGCAGCCUUACAUCUAUAUAUUACUUAUGCCCAACCUUUUUUUUUGACUUCAUAUACAUUCUUUUCAUGUUAUUUACUCUUUUUUCCCCCUCUCUGACAAUUGAGGUAGGGGGUCAAACUUGAAAGUAUCUUAAAAUCAGACAAUAAUUUUUUUUUUUUAAAGAUAGCUACUAAUAUGCUCUAUUAGACAAUGAUAAGUAAUAACCUAGUUGUUUGCAUUAGAAAUGAUAUUUUUUGUGGUGCUGAUAAAGAGGUUGAUUAUGAUUCAACAAUUUAAAAUAUGAAAACAUGUGGAAGACGGCCGCAAUUAAAUUGAUUGUAUGAAAAUAUUUCAAUGAAAUUUUAAAAGUUUAGUACUUGUUAUCUUAUCGAGAGUUUUUUUAAAUUAUAUUACUACUUGAACUUGACUGCUUUUGUAUUGAAUUCCUACCGUUGCCAUUGCUUCUACUCAAAAGCCAUUUAAGUUUGUGUAAGCUACCUAUAGUUUGAACAACAAUUUACUCAUGAAUUGUUGUUCAUAUUAGCAAUUUGAUUGAAAGUGCGGCUGCACUAAUUUUCUAGAUGAAUUUUUUCCUACAUGCUUGUUCUCGUAUGACCCAAAAUCCUACUACAUCAGUUGUAUUAGAAAUUAAUCAACUGGGUUACAAUUAUGCAUCCCCACCAAUAUUUAAGCAAUUUAAUUACAGAAAUAUUUCUUGAGGAAAGAAACUCAUAUCGCCACUAGGCUUGUAAUGAGGCUCAUUUUUAUGAAUCUGGAUGGCAUUAGAUAUCUCUACGAAUAUUGGUGGGAGUAGAUCGCAGAUCUCUGGGCUAUACUACAAAGUUUAUGUACGUUGACUCUCAAUAAAUACAAACGAUUCUCUGAUAUGAUUCAAACAUCAGUGCAUGCAUCAUUUUAAUGAGAAAGAAUAUUCUAAGAACGAAAUUGAAGGUGCAAUCAGCAGCUAAAAUGAAGCCAGAAAUGUACAUGCAUGAGGAAUUUUUCCUAGAAGAUUGAUAUUUCUUUGACUAGCAAACCAUACAAGUCCAAAGCUAGCCAAACCAUACCUGCAAGGUGGGGGUUUAAAUGGAAUACUUCUAAGCAUAAAACAUUGAUUAAAACAGAAUACACACAUACAUACCAGCAAAUUCAAAAUAGCAAGAGGAGUGCAAAAGUUCAAGUUUGUAGACAACAUUGCAACCAUGGCAAGUUUAUAGCAAAUCCUCGAAAUCUGCUAAAUAAAACAAUGCCCUGUCUCAUGAAUCAAUGCUUAAUUAAAAUUGAAACUGAAAGUCUGGCUGACGUUGUUUCCCUCUCCAAUUUUGCCUACAUAAGUGAAAAUAAGAAUAAUAAAUGAAAAUCUGCUUUUACAGUUCUUAUUAGAUAGAUAUAAAUGGAUCUUUCUUUGUUUCUCUGCUGUAUUUUGUGGCUAUCCCACUCUGUUUUGCCAGUCAAGCUGAGUCUAUGUUGAGACAUAAUUUUGACAUCAGAAGCAAUCUCAAUUAGUUUGGCACUUUUAUGACCUCCUUAAAGGUUUUACAAUAAACAUAAAUCUACUGAGAAAGUGGGAAAAAAAAGAAAAUGCAUAUAAAAAUAUGAGUUAUCAGAUAAGAUUAAAACUCACCCAAUUCAAUCCAUCAGAUUCCGUAAGGAUAUAACUGGAUGUCAUACCGCCACUCCAUAUCCUUGAAAGUCCGUAGUGUUUGUCUCAACUCUGUCUGAGGCCAAUGUAAAUUCAAUUUGCGCAAGCUCUUUAUGCACCACAGCUCUUCUGGAAGCUUUCUCAAGUAAGCACAUGGGUUGACGAUUAAGCUUUCAAGUUUCGGCAUUGCUCCAGCCCCCAUCGUCCACUCAUCUAGCCAAUACAUUGAUUUCAGGUGCAAAACCUUAAGUUCGGGAAAGCUACUCAAGCCAACACAAGCAAGCUUUCUUCCUAAAUACGAGUUCUGCUUCAGUUUCAGCACUCGAAGGCGUGGAAGAUUUUCCAGAAUUGGCAUGGGAUCCUCCAUUAGCUCAGUAUUUGAUAAGCUCAGUUGGAUCAGACUUGGGGGAAAUUGGUAUUCAGACAGGACCAUCCGUGAGGGCUUGCUCUCAUUCACCAGCUUCAAGCAUUCAAGUUUGUGGACUUCGCAAAGGCUUUUGGAAACCCCAGAUUGAUAGUAACUCAAAUCUCCAGAUAUCCGAAGAGUCUGAACACUAGGUAGUCUGCCCAAUAUUUCAGGAGUACAACUACUAGGGUUUAAAGCUGAUAUAAAAAUGAGUUUUUUCAGAGAGCUAGAAUAAUUUUUUGGAGGUGCGGGUAGAGUGAUAGAACCAAAGUUUAGAUGUAUGAGUUUUUGCAUCAUCCAAAUAUCCUCUGGUGACUGAUCUAUGUAGCUAGAUGGCAUUUCUAGUGUUUCAAGGUUUAAAAGGGUGCAUAGCAGUGGAGGAAGGCAUUUGAGCGAAGGGAUAUUCAUUUUCAAAUACUUCAAAAGAUAUAAAUUUUCUAAUCCAGGUGGAAAUUGGUCGAGAACUGCAGAACCGAAGUUCAGUACCCGAAGGUGUUUGAACUUUUUACAAAAAUUCUCGCAAUCUAUCACAGCGAGAUGAUCGCCUUCUGAACUUUGAUUGAUAAAAGAUUGGAGAUAGAUCUCACCAUGUUCUAAAGAAAUGAACUCAGUCAGAUGCUCCAAAAUGAUGUACCGUUUAACAUUUGCAAAUGGUUCCGCUUCCCUGUCAGGCAUCCAGAGAAAUUUCGUCUUGUCUGCCAUCAAACCCAAUGAAGUAUAUACAAAACUUGGAACAUAGCAAGCUGUAAUUGUGCCGCCGGCUCUUCUCUUACUCACAUGAAUGAAGCCGCGAUGGAUUAGCUCUUUUAAGUAAUGUUCGGCAGUUUCCUCACCGUUGUAUGGAAUAAAGCCUUCAGCUAUCCACAACUGACAUAAUUGCCUGGUAGAUAUCUCAAUGCCUGGACGGAAGACACACAAAUAAAGGCAGCAGACUUUCAAGUGAAAAGGUAACUCCAACACAGAACAAAUUCGACUCAAGAGUGUCAAAACCACUUUUUCAUCCAUAUAAUUUACUAAUGGGGCACUUCCAUAGUGUAGGAUGAAAAAUUUCCAGGCUUCAUGCUUUAAUCUGAUCAAUGGUCCUCCAACAGGCACUGAAUAAAGCGGAAUGAUCCCUCCAUGCUCCAAUUCAAAAAAGGUAAGGAGGAAUGGAUCAGUGACCAAUAUCAAUACUCUGCUUCCAUUCUGCUUAUCAGGAAGAACUUCUUCAAGAUCAUCCCAUAUGUCACUGUCAUUGAAGACAUCAUCAAGCACAAUAAAGUACUUCUUGUUUGUCAGGUAAUCUCGAAGAAUAGAUUUCUUCAAGUGAUAAUCUUCACCGAUAAUUACCCUAGCCCGAGAUGGAGGCAUUAAAGAAUUGAUUAUGUCAUCCAAUAUCUUGCCAAAAUAGUAGCCUAUAGAAACCCUUACCCAAGCAAGACAGUCAAAAUAGAACUUGACAUGAUUAUUAUUGUAAAUAUCUGCAGCAAAAACAGUCUUAUGGAAGCCAUUGCUGUCGAGAAUUGCAAUCACUGAAAGCCCAGAUGGUCCCUCAAUCAAUAGAUCAAACAACUCCUCUCUGCCCCUUUCAAAUUCACUGACAUCAAGCCAGUGUUGUCCCUUACUCAAUAGGCGAAUGAUUUUGUUACUUUGUUCAGUGAUAUCAAAACCAUUGUCGCUGGGUGGAAGUUGUUGCAUUCGAUCUCUAAUAUCAAUGAUUUUACUGUGGAGUCCAACAAGAAGAGCCAUAUUAGUACUGCUUUCACUUUCGUUUUCACUGUUUUGCUGCUGCAUGAUGUUGAUGAAGAAUGUGUCAAUCGCUUCAUCAGAUUCAUGGACAAAGUGAUUGAUGUCGUCCAGAAUUUCCAAAAUGUCCCGUCUUUUUACGUCUUCAUCAGUGUCUUCUAAGUCUAACAGUUGCAGACAAAGCCAAGCCAUUUCAGCUCCAUUGAGUUGUUCUCUAAUGAUGCGUCGAAUCACACGACGAGUCAUGUCACCUUCAUAGUUCCCGAGCAGAGUAGUAAUAAUUUCAGUCUCCGUAAAAAGGUUUUGAAAAAGCGGGGCUAAGUUUGUUGAAUCAGGCAACGUUAACGUGCCUUCUUCACCUGCUACCACCCUUUUCAACCUCUCACAAAAUAGUCGGAGGUGGACGUCCAGCAUAUCUCCUUCUCUCUGUGGCACCCAGAGGUAUUGUUAUUUGCUCCAAGAAAUGUUAAAAGGAUUGGUCCUAUCUCAAAGAGGUUAGUGGUGUAAAGUUAAACACAAUGGAAGAAUUUGAAAGGAAUAUACCAAGAAACUGUGUAAGUGGCUAAAUUCCACAAAUAUGGCAUUGUUGCUCAUUUUUAACUCAAAAAAAUACACGUUAAUUUAGCGAAAAGUCCAAGACACGUGCUUUUUGAAAAGAACAGGUAUCCCAAUAGGUAUCCAACCUUUAUCUUAAUCAAUUACUACCAUGACAUACUUGAUGGUGCUUAAAUCAAUUUUUCUUUUCUUAAUGUAAAGAUUUUAUUUUUUUAAAACAGAUUUUAAUAUCAAGAAAAAAUAUCACUCGUAUAUCCUUAAAUGACACUUGUAUCAAACGUACUACAACACUUUUAACAUGUAUCACUUGUAUACCUUAAGUUGACAAAUUGUGUCUACCAUCCACCAAACCGUUAGUUGCCGUUUGCAAGCGCUGACAUCAUAAAGGUAAUCUAGUCUUUUCAAAUGGAAGAAACUUUGAUUAAAAAAACGACAUGUCAUCCCAUUUACCUCGUAAAAAAUGACAUAUCAUAUGAUAUAUAUUGACAAAAAAUGACAUGUCAUCCCAUUUAUCGGAAGAUGAUGUCAUCUAUGUGAAACAACGUUGUUUCAACGGGACUAAAAAAAAAAUGAUACUCCACAACCGAAUCGACUCCUCCAAACUUUAACUUGAAUAUUUGAAGAUCUACUCAUCCAAGCUCCAACUGGAAUUUUUUAUGGUAUAAUAUGUUGUUAAUAAUUUUUUAUGGUAUAAUAUGGAUUAUUUUUUAUGGAUAAUUGUUAAUAAUACGUACCAUUAAUAAUUCAUUUUUUAAUAAAAAAUGUAUUGUUAAUAAAAAAUAAAAAAUAUAUUGAAAAUUUACGUUAAUUUUUUGGGCAAAUAUGUAUUUUUACCUUAUUUUGAGUUUCAAGGGCGAAAUAGUCAAUUUGUCAUAAUUCUGUUAACUUUCUAAUGGUAGCUAACAGUUUGGUGGACAGCAGACACAUUUUGUCAACUUAGGGUGUACGAGUAAUACAUGUUAAAAGUGCUGCAAUACGUUUGAUACAAGUGUCAUUUAAAGGUAUAUGAGUGAUACAUGUUAAAAGAGUUGUAGUACAUUUGAUACAAGUGUCAUUUAAGGGGAUAUAAGUGAUAUUUUCCCUAAUAUCAAAUUGCCUUCGAUGUUUUUACAGCUACAAGCUCAGUAACAGGAUUAAUUAAAAAGUUUAGAAUUGUUGGGCGUGCAAAGAGUAGUUUUAAACACCAGAAAGCAAAGGUUGUUAUUGACAUAAUUUUAUUUUUGUUUUCGAGGGAAUUUGUUUUUUUUGUUGACAAGAAAAUAGUAUUAUAUUUUACAAUCUAUUAUACAUAUUUUAUCAUAUUAAAGUAAUUUUAAUAUUAAAUGGAAACAUUAAAUUUAAAUUAAUUAAUUAAAAAUUGAAUUAUUUUGAAUAUUAUGUAAAAAAUUAUUUUAAUAUCAUUAAUAAGGAGAUAUUUUGUUAAUUGUAAAAUAUUUUUAACCCAAAUAUAUAUUAAAUUUUUUAUAAUAAAUACAAAUACAAAUAUAAAAAUAAAAUAAAUAUCAUAGUUUAAAAUUUUAAUGUUAUUUUAAAUAUUAAAAAUAAUUUAAUGCUAUUAGUCUAUUACACAGGUUAUAUUAUAUUUGCAUUAAUUAAAAGUUUUAAAGUCAAUUUUCCAGUUUCUAUAUUCAAAGGUAUAAUGGUUAAAAGAAAGUUCUUGGUGUUUCUUUUUAAAAAUUUGAGGGUCUUAAUGAUAAUUUUUCUAAAUCGUAAGGGUAUAGGUGUCUUUUUUUCCGAUAAUUUAUUUCACGGGUAUCCAAUAAGAAACAUGGUAAGAGAACGUCAAUUACUUAUCAUUUUCUAUUUUUUCUAUGAGUCAUUUAUUUUGAGCAUUAGUGAUCUUAUCUGGACUACUCCAACUAUUGAUGCAACUCCAGUGGCUGCAUCCACAGUUAAAUAUAUGAUAGUGUUAGCUCUUAUUUGAGAAUUUAGAGGGAUCUUUCUUUGUUUCUCUGUUGCAAUGUGCUAGUAUAAAUUUCUUUACCUUAAAAUUUAUAUAGUCUUGCAGUUAAAGAAUUCACUGAGGCAUUGUUGAUUCAAUUUCAGUGAAGCAAUUGUGGGUGAAAGAUAAAUGAAGGAAAAGAGAACAGAGCUGAAGUGCUAAAUUGGCUAUUGAAGAAGGAUGUCACAUGAUCACAAUCACAUUGAUGCACAACUCUCUGGAGGCAAAGUUUGUCUAUAUGUACUCUGAAUUCAGCCAAGCCAUACAUGCAUGAACAAAAAUUAAACCGUAGUUCUAAUCACAACAGUAAUUGAAGCUACAAAAGCCAGCAAAUCUGAACGAAGACUUAAAAGAAAGAUCUUAUUCAAGUUUGUCCCCAAAAGACAGCUGAAAUGAAAAAUAUUGACUGUUGAAUGGGCCAAUGCUGAAUUACAUUUCAAAUGGAAAGCUUGGCAGCAGUUACAAUGUUUCCCCCUCUGAUUUUCCUCCAAAACAAAUUCAGUUGUAAACAAUAACCGAAGUAGUAAUAAUUUAUUCAUCAAAGAAAAUGCCCCCAAGUUUUCAAUUAAAAAAUCCUCUUGUCCAAACUAAAAGAACUCAUAUCUCUAAAAUUUAUUUGCAAAAUGUUGGAAAUGAGGAGUGAUCCGUUAACUCUGUAAAUAAACUCAUGCAUAAUGUUAACAAUAAUGAUAAAUUACAUAAUAAUUAUUAUAGAGAAUCAUAAAUUGGAAACGCUAAUCAUUCUACUAUUAUAUAAGUAAGAUAAAUAUCAUAAUAAGUUAAGUUAUAAUGUAAUAAAUAUUUGCAAUAUAUAAUUAUUUAAGAAGUCAUUUAACAAUAAAAUAUUUUUUUAUCCAGUUGAUCAUAUAGCGUUAUCUAAACUCUUGACAAUAUUAUUAUUACUCACUUUUCUCAAAAAAACAUGAUUAACUUUUAGAGAAAGUCAUGUCUUUGAGAAAGAAUAUGUAUACAAGCUAUCCAUACUUUAUCUUACUGUGACAAAAUUGAUGGUGAUUAAUUGUAUUUUUUAAAAUAGAUUUAACGCACAAAUAAGAUGACUUUUGGCAAAAAUUAUUUUCGGAAGAUAUAGUGAUAGAAAAUAGUGAUGAUAAUUAUUGUUUAAAUGUGUAAAUAGCCUAAGCAUAGCCCGUAAUACCAAUAUUCAUUUGCACCUUGAAAGAAACUUAGUUCUAUAUUGUUUGGCAAGCAAGAAAGUAAAGGAAAAUGAAAGAGAACUCUAAAGAACCUUUUUUAUUAUACUCAGAUAUCUCAACUUAAUGAAUACUGAUUGACAUUUAUACUAAGCUACAAUCUUCACUACACACACGAGUUUGUAACAUCACAUAACCAUUUGCUGCAUAACUAACUUUACACAUCAGCUCAACCAGCUAACUAACUUUGACAGGUCAGCUCAGUGAGUUGAUCUGCUACAACCAGCUACACAGCAACAGCAUGCUCUGCUCCAGCUAUACAGCAACAUCAUGCUCUGUUCCAGCUUUAUCCGCUCUGCUUUGCUCUGCUCCAGCUUUGACAGGUCAGCUCAGUGAGUUGAUCUGCUACAACCAGCUACACAGCAACAACAUGCUCUGCUCCAGCUAUACAGCAACAUCAUGCUCUGCUCCAGCUUUAUCCAAUUCACUAACAUCCCCCCUCAAGCUAAAAUGUUUAGGAUGAACAUUCAGCUUGCUUCUGAAGUAACUGAAUUGUUUGAAAGUAAGAGCCUUAGUUAACACAUCUGCUGUUUGAUCUGGACUAGGCACAUAGCAUACUGCAACCUCUUUAGCAGUGACCUUAUCUCGGAUAAAAUGUAUAUCCAAUUCAACAUGCUUAGUCUUAGCAUGAUAAACUGGAUUAUAAGCUAAAGCAAUUGCUCCUUGAUUAUCACACCACAUUAUAGGAGUGGAGCUUAAUGUGAUACUAAGUUCACCAAGUAAGGAUUUAAUCCAGGUAACCUCUGAAGCAGCAUGGGCAAGAGAUCUAUACUCAGCUUCUGUGCUGGAUCUGGAAACAACAACUUGUUUCUUUGACGACCAGGAAACAAGAUUAGGACCUAGAUAAACAGCAAAGCCAGCCACUGACUUCCUAUCAUCAUGAUCACAAGCCCAAUCAGAAUCUGAAAAACAAUGUAAUUGCAGAGCUCCUUGAUUGUAGAAAUGCAGCCCCAGAUGGAUAGUGCCUUUUAAGUACCUCAAUAACCUUUUACAUGCUUCCCAAUGUUGAGUUCUAGGACUGGAAAGGAACUGACUUAACUUGUUUACAGAGAAGGCAAUGUCAGGUCUGGUAAGAGUAACAUAUUGAAGAGCUCCUAUAACACUUCGAUAUUGAGAAACAUUUUCAAGUGGCUCUCCUGAGUCUUUGGUGAGAUAAAAGCCUGUAGACAUUGGAGUUGGCACAGGACUGCAGUCUGUCAUGCCAUGUUUAUCCAGAAUAUUAGCAAUGUACUUUGCUUGUGUCAAGGAAACCCCUUGUGAAGAUUUGCUGACUUCAAUCCCCAGAAAAUAGUGAAGUUCCCCCAGGUCUUUUAAAGCAAAAGCUUGAUGCAUAUGCUGGAUAACUUGUUGAAUUAUGGAUGGACUGGAACCAGUGAUGAUAAUAUCAUCAACAUAGACCAAAACAACAGUUAGAUGACCACUGUUCCAGGCAUAAAAGAGAGAGUUAUCAGACCUGGAAUGCUGAAAAUGCCACUUGGAGAUCAUUGCAUCCUUAAACCUAUCAAACCAGGCUCUAGGAGCUUGUUUUAAGCCAUACAAAGCCUUAUUUAGCUUGCAGAUAUGAUUAGGUUUAGUUGAAUCAACAAAACCUUGAGGUUGAGCCAUGUACACAUCUUCAAUUAAAAUGCCAUUUAGAAAGGCAUUGUUAACAUCCACCUGCCUUACAACCCAGUGACUCAAUACUGCUAAGCUAAGAAUAACUCUAACAGUGGAGGACUUAACCACUGGACUGAAGGUUUCUGUGUAGUCAAUCCCAUGUGUCUGAUGAAACCCUUUAGCCACAAGCCUGGCUUUAUACCUUGAAACUGAACCAUCUGAGUUAUACUUUACUCGAAAUACCCACUUGUUGCCAACUAUCUUCACUGGAGUAGCAGGUAAGACUAAAUCCCAGGUGUGAUUGGUUUUAAGAGCUAGAUACUCUUCUUGCAUAGCUUUAUACCACAUAGGAUCAGAAAGUGCUUUGGAAACAGAGGUUGGUUCUGACUUCUGAGCUAGUAAAGCUGACAAGUAGAUCUUGGGCUUGAAGAUACCUGCUUUUGACCUGGUUAUCAUUGGAUGACCAGAUGAUGCAGGUUGUGACAAGGUAUGUGGAGGUGAAUGAUGGGAUGGUGAAGAAGGAGAAGAAGAAGUGGAAUUGAAAUUAUCAGAAAAGUAAACUGGAGUAGAAUUUGGGAAGGAAAUAGAAGCAUGUGACUGAGAAUCAUUAAGAAGAUAUUCUGAUGAUGCUGCUAAAGGUGCUUGUAACUGAGUAACAAAAGGAGUAGAAGAAUUAAAAGAAGACUCAGAAUGAGUUGAUGACUGACAGUUUGAAGAAACUGAAGAAAAAUCUGUUCCUGACUCAUAAGGAAAAGAACGUUCAUAAAAGGUUACAUGAUUUGAAAUAUAGACCCUCCCAGAAGAGUGAAGACACUGAUAUCCCUUGUGUUGUGAACUGUAGCCAAUGAAUAUACAUCUAGCUGUUCUGAAAUCAAACUUAUGUCUAUUGUAUGGUCUGAGUGUUGGAUAACAAGCACAGCCGAAAAUUUUAAGUGUUGAAUAAUCUGGUUGGGAAUGAAACAACUUUUGAAAAGGAGAAAUGCUGUUUAGAACUGGAGUUGGAAGUCUGUUUAUCAAGUAGACAGCUGUAUGGAAUGCAUUCCACCAAAAUUUGAGUGGUAAAUGUGCUUGAGCUAAUAAAGUCAGUCCUACAUCAACUAUGUGUCUAUGUUUCCUCUCAAUUUUUCCAUUUUGAUGAUGAAUGUGGGGGCAAGGAUGUCGAAAAUGGAUGCCAGAAGUGGUGAGUAAUGAUGAAAAUGUUCUGAACUCCCCUCCCCAGUCAGUUUGGACAGUUUUGAUGGAAAGUUGAAGAUGCUUCUCAAUGAAUAUUUUGAAAUUGGUAAAAACUUCAAGAGCAUCAGAUUUUGCUGAUAAGGGAAAAAUCCAGGUAAACCUACUGUAAUCAUCUAGGAUUGACAAGUAGUAAUUAUAUCCUUGGGUAGAACAAACAUGAGAAGGGCCCCAAAGAUCUGCAUAUAUCAGUUGUAAAGGUGCUGAAGUUUUUGUUUCUACUGAAUCAAAAUGCAGCAUGUGAUUUUUACCAUAUUGGCAUGCUGAACAAAAUUUCAAACUGUCAACUUUAUUAAAAGCAGUAGAGUUGUUACAAGCUUUGAGAAUGGUUUUGAGAGUAUAAGAUGCUGGGUGUCAUAAUCUUCUAUGAAGAAGAUUUACAUCAAUAGAACCCUUUACAACAACUGACAGACAUGACUUUUUAUUCAACUCAUAAGAGCUAACAGUAGAGAGCUGAGCAGAAUUAAAAACAGGAGAACAAGCAAAAAGAGACUGAAUUUUGUUUUGACCAACUGAACUGAGAAAGACUGAAUGAACAGCAGCAUGAGAAGAGACUUUAUACAAGCUGUUGUGCAAAUUUUAAUGUACUCGCAAGCGCACGAAUCUAUUAUAGUAUAGAUCAAUGGUGACGAGUGUCGAUCCCACGAGGAGGUAGAUUUUAAUUGUGUAUAGAAUUAAUUUUGCAAAUGGUUGAUUGGAUUUGUAGUGGAAAUGAUUAGGAAUAUGCUAAAACUUAAAUUAAAAUGGCGAGAAUAAAUUCUAAAAUUGGAAUUGCAAUGGCGAGAAUAAAUUGAAGAGAAAUGUAUUGAAAUGACGUACUUGGGUAUCUGGAUCCGUAUCAACAUGCAUCAUGGGCUAAAUAAUCCGUAUUAAUGCCAAUUAAAUCAUGAGGGGGGAAUCCACACCUCAUGAACCACGCUCUAAUCAAUAUGGUGCUAAGGGCUUAUCGUGCCAAAUAAUAAUAACCUUAUACUAGAGAGCCGGUGUAACCAAGGCGGUAUCUAGACAAGAUCAGUAUUAUUUGUCGACGAUAAGUCAAAUCAUCCACAAAAACUAGAGGGGAAAAGAAAAUAAAUUUACCAAAUAAAGCCCAUGACACAUGUUGAGACUUCACCUUCAACCCAAGCUUGAAAGGAAAUUAGCUACUCAUAAUUGAACUAGGGGCAAAAUGGGAAUUUAUUAAAAUACAAAGAAAAUACAAGAUGGAGAGGGAAUUACAGAAAAUGGAUCCCAAAAAUGGAUUCAGAGAUAUCAAAUUAGGGGGGGAGGCCCAUUUUUUAUAGAUACAUGGAGUAAAUCAUGGCCAUCGGAUUAAAAACAGUUUGGACGCUCAGGAUUGCGCCACGUCAUCAGUCAACAGUCAACGGUUUGACCACGCGGAUGAACAGUAACAUGGUUUGGUUGAAAAUAAUCCUGUGUGAUGCAUACACCGUACGCGAGAUUUUUCGUCCACUGAUAUGCUGCCACGUCACCAUCAACAGUACAUAAGAAUUUUAGUCCAACAGGAUCGUGACACCUCAUCAGUCAAUGCCACAUCAUCGGUCAAUGCCACGUCAUCGAUCCGUCUAUGUGAACAGUGUCGUGAACAGUAACGUAGACAGUACCGUAUACGUGAAUAGUACCGUACAUGUGAAUAGUGCCAUUUUUCCUUUUAUGCUCCUCCUAAGGUUUUCGACCGUCCUGAGUUCAAAAGUGAUGUCCGUUUUGCCGUCUGAUCUCUCCUUUAUUGUGAAAUGACUAUAAUGCCCCUAAAAUACAUAAAAUACUUAAUUAAAAUAACACACACGUAAUUACAUCACAAGAGGGUUAAAUACAUAAAAGUAAGGGUUGUUAGUAAGACUUGAAACGUAAAAUGACGGUUUUCUCCUUUAUAAAUAUGCAUUUUCUAACACUCAACACAAGCCACCUUUAGCAACACCUUCAAGUAAAAUUUUCCCUGUGUUCCUGGCCUUUAUAAAACACAAAUUACCAAGAAAUUCAACAGUAACUGGAUUGUCAGCCAACAAUUUUGAGAUGCUAAGCAAAUUCUUAGUAAUAAAAGGGACAUGAAGAACAUGGUUAAGAAAUAAGGAUUGAGAAGCUGAAGUAUUUAGCACAACUGACCCUACAUGUGUAAUAGCUAAUGCAUUUCCAUCUCCAACAAAUAACCUUUCAGUACCAGUGUAAACUUUUGAAUCCAGAAGCUUACCUAGAUCAUUGGUAAUAUGAUUUGUUGCUCCACUAUCAAUAUACCAGGAAGGAUCUUCAAUGUGUUCAGGUGGGAGUGAAGAAGACAUAGCAGAGGAGGAGGAAGCACUUGACUGUUCCAGAUUAUUAUGUCCUAGACAGAAACAAAAUUAGAUGAUCCAGGGUUGAAUGAGAAAUAAGCAGAUGGGUUGCUUUCUGGAUAUACUAUAUUUCCUUGAUAGCCAAAACCCCUGGGGGCAUUACCAAAACCAACAUUUUGUCCAAAACCAGCAUUUGAACCAAAACCUCCAAAACCUCUUCCACUAUUACCAUUAAAGGCUCUUCCUCGACCAUAUUGCCCUUGAUUAAAACCUCUGCCACCAUUCAUAUUACCUCUACCAUGGUUCCUCUGUGGAACAAAAGAUGAGUUGUACCUAUUUCUGCAUUUAUAGGCUGCAUGACCAGGUAUGAAGCAAAUUUGGCAAACAACUUCAGAGAAAUUACUAUUAUUAUUAAACUGACCAUAUCCAUAUCCAGAAUUAUUACCACCUCCAGAGUUAUUUCCAUACUGUUUCUGAAAAUUUCCAUUAUUCUUUCCAGCAUAUGAGUUCUUCUGAACAAUAUUUGCUGUCAUGUUAUGCAUCACAUCACCAGCAAUUUUUCCUUUCUUUUGCUCAACUCUAUUUUCAUGAUUCAACAGCAAAGAAUAUAGUUCAUCUAAUGUUAUCUUUUCACCUCGAGCUAACACAGCAGUGACUAAAGAUUCAUAAUCUGAUGAAUCAAGACCAGUUAAUACAUGCAUCACAAGAUCAUUUAACUCAACAGGUUUUCCAGCUAGAGCUAAAGUAUCAGCUAUACGUUUUACUUUUACAAAGUAAUCAGACAUAUGCAUUGCACCUUUCUUAAUAGUUUGAAUCUGCAUUCUAAGUGUUUGAAUUCUAGCUUGUGAUUGAGAGAUAAACAUACUAGCAAGAGUCUCCCAAAGCUGUUUUGAGGUUGUUGAGUCAAUCACAGUAGCAAGCAGAUUUUGUUGUAUCAAUGACAUCAUCCAACUCAGCAGAAGUUGAUCAGCCUUCAUCCAAGCUACGAACUCUGGAUUAACAGAUCUGGAUCCAGAUUCAGUAACAGAUCUGGAUCCAGAUUCAAUUAAGAUUUCAGCUCCAUUGUUGUUGCCAGAAGAAAGAAACUGCUCAGGACAUUCUCGAUCACCAUUGAUAAAACCUUCCAAACCAUUUCCUUUGAUCGAAGCUAGAAUUUGUGUGCGCCACAAAAUAUAGUUGUUUUGAUCUAGCUUUACAGGCGUAACAAAACUAAAAGAGUUGUUGUUUUGAACUGUAUUUGCCAUUUAUGGCUCUGAUACCAUGAAAGAAACUUAGUUCUAUAUUGUUUGGCAAGCAAGAAAGUAAAGGAAAAUGAAAGAGAACUCUAAAGAACCUUUUUUAUUAUACUCAGAUAUCUCAACUUAAUGAAUAUUGAUUGACAUUUAUACUAAGCUACAAUCUUCACUACACACACGAGUUUGUUACAUCACAUAACCAUUUGCUGCAUAACUAACUUUACACAUCAGCUCAACCAGCUAACUAACUUUGAUAGGUCAGCUCAGUGAGUUGAUCUGCUACAACCAGCUACACAGCAACAGCAUGCUCUGCUCCAGCUAUACAGCAACAUCAUGCUCUGCUCCAGCUUUAUCCGCUCUGCUCUGCUCUGCUCCAGCUUUGACAGGUCAGCUCAGUGAGUUGAUCUGCUACAACCAGCUACACAGCAACAGCAUGCUCUGCUCCAGCUAUACAGCAACAUCAUGCUCUGCUCCGGCUUUAUCCAAUUCACUAACACACCUUCAUUUGUGUUAUCACAUUUCAUGAUAUUCUUUCAUUUAUGACCAUUGUUCAAGAUUUUAAUUUGAUUAUAAACUAAGUUGCAAGGGAGCUUACUUCAGUUUCUAAGCUUUUCAAUCGUGAUUCCUGCAUGCCAAACGUAACUGACCUUAUAAUUGGUCUGUAUAAGAAAUCAAGCCCUUUCAGGAUCGUUUUCUUUUUCUCCCUAUUGUAGUAGUCAACUAAAUAAAGAAUGAACAACUAAACUUGGUCUAUUUCGAGGAAGACUAAGGCUUCCAAUACUAGAUGAACUUUGAAGAAAAUUAAUCCGUUGUUUUUAUUCAUCUUUGGACUAUGAAUUUAUACAAAGACUUUAACAGAAAAUAACAAAGACACAGCUAAAUGAUAGCAAUAAGUGCUGACUUGGUGGACCACUUCUGCAAGUAAAUAAAAACUAAAUAUUUAUUUUGACUAUAACAACAACUACGCUGAUGAAUAGGAUUUCACAGCAGCCACGUGACAACUAAUUUCUCCUUAAUAUUAUUAUUAGUAGAAGUAGAUUUUAAAACUAGUCUUGAUAUAUUUCAAAGUUGUAUUAUCAAUGUAUAUGUGUCUAGAUUGUAACUAUAUUUUAAAAAAUAUAAAAUUUUUAAUUAUUGCACAGUAUAUGUAGCAAAAUAUCUAUAGAAUGAUAUUAUUAGGACUAAGAUUUUUUUUUAUUUUAGAUAAGUUAUUUAUUUAUUAUCGAAUGAAUAAUUUAUUAAUUUACUGAUAAAUGAAUAUUUAUUAAUUUAAAGAGAGAUUUUUUUGGUUUUAACAAGAGUUUGUUUGGUAAAUGUACACACUUAUAAAGAAACAUAAAAAGUGGUUCCUCAAGUCAAUAGUAUUUGCUUCAAUCGCAAUGGUUCAUAAUAAUAUAGCAUAGUUAGGAAAUUUGUAAUUAUAUUAUGGCUCUGUUUGGUAGUAAAACUCAUUUAAGUAGAGUUGUUGUUAAUAGAGCUUUUAUAAAUAAAGCUUUUACUAAAAAAAAUUUAGUUGUUUGCUUGUCAAUGUCCAAAUUGAUAAACUUUUGUUCUUUUGUUAAGAUAUGUUUGUUUUACUUAAUAAUAGCAUCGGCAAGAGUUUUCGAUUGUUGCAACUUGCAAUGCACGCGGUGAGAGAAAAUGAGAAUCUUGUUUAAUUGUCAAUAUAUAAUGACAAACCUAAUCCUUUCAUUAGGAGUAAUUUAAUAAUCGUUUGUUAUAACUGAAUAUGUAUAAAGAAAGGAAAAUUCUAUUCAUAAAUUUCGACUUAUUUUUUGUUUAAAGUAAUUAAUCAUUCAACCAUCUUCAUUUGCCUCUGGCCAAUGCCCUUGUAGAUUAGUUUACUUAAUUAUGAUUAUAUACAUUUUCAUAUAGCAAGUGGCAUUGUAGAUCUAAACUAAGUUGCUAUUUCAAUACCAGCAAAUUCAAAAUAGAAAAGGAGUGCAACUAUUCAACUUUGUAGACAAUAUUGCAACCAUGGCAUAUUUAUAGCAAAUCAUUGAAAUCUGCUAAAGAAAACAAUGCCCUGUCUCAUGAAUCGAUGCUCAAUUAAAAUUUAAAUUGAAAGUCCGGCUGGUGUUGUUUUCCUCUCCAGCGAAAUAAGAAUCAUAAGUGAAAAUAGGCUUUGACAGGUCUUAUUUCUUUGUUUCUCUGCUGCAAUGUGUGGUUAUCCCACUCUGUUUUGCCACUCAAGCUGAGUCUACGUUGAGACAUUAUUUCAGUAUUGAGGUAACAAUAAUUUCGGACUCCGUAAGAAGGUUUUGAAAAAGUGGAGUCACAUUUGUUGAAUCAGGCAACGUCAACGUGCCUUCUUCACCUGCUAACACCCUUUUCAACCUCUCACAAAAUAGUCGGAGGUGGACGUCCAGCAUAUCUCAUUCACAUUUGUUGAAUUUGCAUGGAAUUUGCAAGGAGUAUGCCAAAGAAUUUGCAAGGAAUAUGCCAAGAAUUUGCAAGGAAUAUGCCAAGAAACUGGCCAACCCGCUUAGCUUAAUUCCACAAAUAUGACGUUAUUGCUCAUUUUUCUCUCAAGCACAUAAUACACGUUCUUCGAGACGCGUGCCUUCUGAAAAGGACAGGUAUCCAACCUCAUCUUAAUUACUACCAUGACAUAAUUGAUGGUUGCUUAAAUCAAUUUUUUCUUCUUUUUUUUUUUUAAUUUAAAGAAUUUUCCCUUAAAAAAAAUUUAAUAUCAAAAUGCCUUCAAUGUUAUUACUGCCGAAAGCCAAACUUCCUUUGGGUAAUUAAUUUAGAAGUGAAGCAGAGAAUAAAGUCCUAGAUGCCUUUUGAAAUUAGAAAUACAUUUUAUAUGCUUUAAUUAAUCAAUUCACUGAGGCAUUAUUGAUCCAAUCCCAGUGAAGUAAUUGUGGGUGAAAAAAAAAUAAAGUGCUGAAUUGGCUACUAAGAAAGAGUGUCACUUGAUCACAAUCACAUUGAUCCACAACUCACUCGAGGCAAAUUUCAUCUAUGUGUACUGCAAAUUUAGCCAAACCAUACAUGCAUGAACAAAAUUAGGCCGUAGUCCUCAUCACAACAUUAAUUGAAGCCACAAAAGCCAGCAAAUCCAAACAAAAACUUAAAAGAAAAUGCUUGGUAUAGAGAAGCACGAGAGAAAGACGAGAAAAACAAUGAAGAAAGUGGUAGAGAGAGAGUGAGUGGGUAGAGAGAGAGCAAAAUUCUCUCGUCUUUCUCUCGUGCUUCUCUCUCUCUAUCACUACUCAAACUUAAAAGGAAGAUCUUAUUCAAGUUUGUCCCCAAAAGACAGCUGAAAUGAAAAAUAUUGACUAUUGAGUGGGUCGAUGCUGAAUUACAUUUGACAUGGAAAGCUUGGCUGCAGUUGCGAUGUUCCCCCUUCUGAUUUUCCUCCAAAACAAAUUCAUUUGUAAACAAUAACGGAAGUAGCAACAAUUUAUUCAUUAUAGAAAAUACCUAAAUUUUCAACUAUCAAAUCCUCUUGUCUAAACUAAAAAACUCAUAUCUCUAAAAUCUAUAUACAAAAUGUCAAAAACGGGUGAUCUCUCAAUUCGAUAAAUAAAUUCAUGCAUAAUGUUACUAGUAAUGAUAAAUUACAUAAUAAUUAUUAUAAAGAAUCAUAAAUUGGAAACAUUAAUCAUUUUACAAUAUAUUACAUAAUAAAGAUAAAUUUUAUAACAAGUUAAGUUAGAACAUAUCAAAUAUUUUCAAUAUAUAUAAUUAUUUAAGAAGUCUUUUAACAAUAAUUUUUUUCUUUUUCAGUUAAUCAUGUCAUAUACCGUUAUCUAAAAUGCUGGCGAUAUUAUUAUUCCUCACUUUUCUCAAACAAAAAAGAAAAGAAAAAAGAAACAUGAUUAACGUUUAGAGAAAAGUCACGCCUUUUAAAAACAAUAUGUAUACAAUAGCAAUCCAUACUUUAUAAAAUUGAUGGUGAUUACAAAGAAAAAUUGUUUAAAAUAGAUUUAAUGCACAAAUAUGAUGACUUUUGGCAAAAAUUAGUUUCGGAAAUGUUGGGAUGAAAACCAUAUUAAUUGAGAAUUAAAAUUACUUAAUAAAAUUACUUAACUACCAUCUAAUAGAUGAAAACCAUAUCAAUUGGGACUUAAAUUAAGAUUUAAAUGUUGAAAUAUCUAGCAUUACUCACAAUAACCAAUUCAAAUUAUGACUAUCAUGUAGAAGCAAAUGUUUAUGCUUGGGUUUUUUACUUCUUGAAUUUGAUUGGAAAAAUUUCUGAGAUAGAGAAGUGUUUUGGAUAAUUUUUUCGGGAUUGAAACCACAAAUUGGUAGAGGAAAUUAAUUUUGGACAAAUUUUUCUUAUAUUGUAGGACCUUCUAGUUGGAGUAGUGAUGGCUUUGUCUUCAUUUUUGGUUCCUUUUGUGUCAGCAACCCCUUACUAUUCUCUUGACCCUGAGUUUGAGAUAGAAAUUUAUCAACCUCCAACCCCACAUCCACAAACAAGUUGAUUGAAACAAUUACUCUUUUAAUUAAGAGGACCCAAAUGAUUUAGGUUUCAGUUCUUAUCAUUUGUCUAUUAUUUCUUUGAAACAUUUAUUUUGAGCGUUACUGAUCUUAAUUAUCUGUAUUUCUCCAAUUAUUGAAGAAUUUCAAGUGGCCACUUUUUCUCCUUUUUAUAUAUGUUUAUUUUUUGGAGUGAUCAAACGGGUGAAAAAUCAAGUAUUCGCUGGUCUGUAGUUUAGCCAACGAUGGCUGAUCCACACAGUUGAUUAUAUGAUACUAUUAGCUCUCAAAAUCUUUCUUAUUUGAGAACAUAAAUUGCCCAUUGAAGUUAAACUAUGUUACCCAGCUCCAUGCACAUACAUUAAAUGUUUAGGUAGUUUUACAAAAUGAUAACAGCAUGCCAAAACUUGAUGUUGUCAUAUUCGACAUUUCAAAUUGAAAAAUAUGCAAGCAAUCUUCAGUGACCAUUACGUUUUUAUUGAAUAAUUUAAAUGGCCAGUAAAUCAACAGUCCGUGAGUUUUAAAUCUGUUAUGACUUAAUGUAUCUUUCUGUAUUCGUACACAGGUUAUAUUAUCAUAGUUUAAAAUUUUAAUAUUAUUUUAAAUGUUAUAAAUACUUUAAUGCUAUUAGUCUACUACACAGGUUAUAUUAUUUAUAUUAUAUUUGUAUUAAUUAAAACUUUUAAUGUCAACUUUCUAAUUACUAUAUUGAAAAGGUAUUAUGGUUAAGAAAAAGUUUUGGCAUUUCUUCUAAAAAAUUUGAGGGUAUGCAUGACAACACUACAAGAAAAAUGACCUACCAUGACAGUCCUCUGUGUGACAGUUUUUGGUCUGCAGAGCUACUACGAUAGAUGGAUGAUAAAUUUUUUUUCUAUCAUUCAUUUAUGACAUACUUGUGAUAGAAAUUUCAUCUAUCAAGCACUUAUGAUAGACUGAUGAUAAAUUAUUUGGUUAUCAAGAAGUAAUGACAAGUUUGUGAUAUAAUUUAGAUCAUCAAGUAGCUUUUUUAUUUUGACUUUAUUUCACAAGGUUGACUGAAAAUUUUAAAAUGAAUGAAAAAAAUAAAUAAAGAAUAAACGGUACCGUUUGGAUUAAAAGUUUCUCUUUGGACAAGAAACGACACCGUUUAGAUUGAAGCUAAAUAAAAACAAAACCCUCUUCAGUUUUCACUAAUCGAAUUUUUUUUCCCUAAGUGUCGGCACUCUCACUCACUCUCGUCUCUCGCUCAGUCAUUCUCGUCAAUCUCACACUCACAAAGCCCUUUUCACCCGAAAUCCUUGCAUGGGCACUGAACCACUGCCGCCAUUCUCUUGUAUUUGACUAUCAAUUUUGGCUCUCACCGAGAACUAUAUGGAAUACCCACCAAACGCAUGUGCUUCUACUAUUGAAUUUCAAUACCCUAACUGAGAGCCCACGCUCACCCACUAUUGUAACCGUUCGAUCAAUACAGGUAAAUAAUAUUUCUAGUGUUGUGUUCCAUUUCAAUUUUAAUGUUCUUGUCAAACUCGAACCCUAUAUAUGUAAACUUAAAAACCCUAGAUGUGUUCUUGUCAAAUUCGAACCCUACACACCUAAAUCUUGUAAAACCUAGAUGUUUUCUUGUCAAAUUUGAACCCUGUACGUGUAAAACUUGAAAAUCCUAGGUGUGCUCUUGUUAAAUUUGGAUCUAUUUGAUUGGUCUUCUAUGUUUCUUUAUUUAUGGAAUUUUAAACAUUUAUUUGAUUUUUUUGGAAUUUAAUUAUUAUAGUUUUAUUGUUAAAUUAAUUUGAUUUAGGCUGUAAAGAUCCUUGCCAAUUUAAUCGUGAUGGGUGUUGGGAUAUUGUCUAGGCUGCUUUAUCUUUGGGGUUUUCUAAUAACUAAUUUUUUUUUUUCACUUUUUUGUGGAUGCAUGGAACUAUAUAUAUAGAUAAUUCUCAAAUUCGUUCACUGUGAUGCAAAGUCUUUUUUUUUUCAAUUUCAUUGGUUAAAUUCACUAAUUCGUUGAAAUUAGUGGUGAUUGUGGGCCGAGUCGCAUGUGCAGGAAGUGGUGUCAGGUCUGGGCGCACAUUGAGUCAUGCACUUGGUGGGCAAUUGGUAUUGUUUCUAUUGUGUGUGUUGGAAAUAAUGUCAAUAUCAUCCAACCAAUGUGUGUUUCUAGUGGCUGUUUUUGCACCGAGCAGAUAAUUUAUUAUUACAUCAGAGUUCCCCAUCCCUUGUUUCUCUUUUGGGUAAUGCAGGUAUUGACUAGUUCAUUUCCAUUUUCAUUUGUCUUGAGGGAAUGUUAUCAAUUUUUCGAUCUUACAAGAUAUUGAUUGAUACAUAUGUGUACAAUACAUUAAAAAUCAUUAAACAUUUUGCUCUUAGUUACAAUUUUGAAUGAAUGUCACAUGGAAAGAUCCUCUAAGAAUAUCAAUAGUAUUGUGGUUUCUACUCAAUUUCCACUCUCCGCACUCAUAUGAGCAUGGUUUGAAUCUCAAGCCUUUUGUACCAUUCAAAAAUUUAUACCAAUUAACAACAUAGCUUGCUAGCACCACAAAUUGUUUCAACUCCAAGGCAGAGAAUUCCUAGAAGAUAUAUACAUAUUGAUAUAUACUUGCAUGUAGCCGUAUGCUCACUACCUUCGAAUUGGGGAUAUAGUCACUAUUUUUGUAUUCCCUCCAAGUGUUUGAUAAAAAGCAUGAAUGAAUCUUGGCUCUUUAAUUGUUGCAGGCCAUUUCUACCUAUGAGGAGCAAAGGAAUAUGAAGCUUAUUAUAUUCAUUCACAAAGCAAAGCUGAUAUAAUUCAUGGCAAAGCUUGAUGAGGUGUUGUAUUUAAUCUUGCUCAUGAGAUCAAUUACCUAUCUUGUUGGACUUUAUUCUUGUAAUUAAGGUCCAUCCAAAGUUGAUGGCUUGUUUGUCAGAAAGAUAAUCUGAAGGCUAUGAUUGAUUACUUGCGGGCCGAUGGAAAUGUCUCCAUGAUUGGUUUAUGAGGUUGUUAAAUUACUAAAUAGGUAUAUUUACUUUUCAUGAGCUUUAUCUUCGUUUUUCCAUUAUGGAAAUGUCUCUAUGAUUGUAACUUUUAACACGUGGAACUCUUGAACCCUAUGUUUAGUUAUAUACUUAUAUUGGGACUUGUAUAAAUUAAUAUGAUGGUUUUAUUAUUAUUAUUAUUAGUAGUAGUAGUAGUAGUAGUAGCAGCUACAAAAGAUCAAAAGAACUUAAAGGUGUGGCUUGUGGCUUUCUUGCUGUUUGGGCUUUAACUGCUGCCUCACUUGUCAUUGUUGCUAAUCUGGUGUGCCACGUCCAUUUCAGUGUAAUUACAUAAGUUAGUUUGCUUGAUUAAUUAAUUAAUUAGUUAGCGGAUUGAAUAGCCAGAGUACUACAUUUUGCAUAGGUCUGAUGCUGGAUGAAUUUUCAUGUCUUGGCUUUGGGGCUGCUGGAUUUUGCUGCUGGAAGACUAGAUUUUGCAAUUUUGUUGCUGGAAGACUACAUUUUGUGUAGGUUUGUUGCUGGAUGUUGCUGAAUGCGGAGUACUUUGCUUGGUUUUGGAUUGGCCUUUGUUGUCUAUUGGCUCGACUUUGGAAUAUGGAUUAACUAAUGUAAUGUACUUUGGAUAUUUUUAUGGUUAAUAAAGUUCACUAAUUUAGUUCAUUAGUUUUGGAUUUAAUUGCAUUUAGUAAUUUAUUUUCUUUCAUAUAAUUUUAAUAAUUUUAAUAAUUUUAAUUUUUAAAUUUCAUAAUUUUUAUUUUAAAUUAAUAAAUAAAAUAAAUAAUCAAUUUUUUCAAAAAAAAUGUGAUAGAAAAUACUAGUCAUACACACAAUUGAUAUCCCAAAAAAAAAUACAAUCCAAAAAUUUCUAAAAAAAUGAAAAUAUAAAAUAAAAAAAUAAUUUCCCUCUUCUAAGUAGUAUGACAUAAUUAUGAUAGGUAAAAUCUAUCACAACUUGUGACGCGAUUUUAUCUGUCAUCUUUUCUUGACGCUGACUAUAAUGACAGUAAGGAUAACCGUCAUCUACCCCCUAAGAUGACAGUUUUUACCUAUCAUAAUAGGUCAUUUUUCUUGUAGUGCAAUUUUUCCAAUUCUAAGGGUAUAGGUUUGAAAAUUUAACGUUAUUUAACUUAAUGAAACAAAAGGGGAAACCAAGAACUAUUCAAUUUUGUAUUUUUUGUUUGUAAUUCAAAAAAUACAUCCACCAAACAAGUUUUACACAUUAAUGCUGUCAUAAAACGAAAAACAGUUUGCCAAAAAAUGGUACCGUCACAUGAUUUCUUAGUAAGUCCAUAUUAGAUAUAUUUAUACAUUUUAGGUAUUUUAGUUAUAAAAGAAGUUGGUCCUCCCCCUAUUUAUAAAAGAUAACUUUGUUUCGAUAUUACCACUAAACUCUUACAUAGAAUUAGUGUAAUGUUAAGAGAGAGUAAUGCGGUUUUCCAUUACCAUCUUUGAAAAUAGAAAGAUAUGGAUGCGUGCAUUUAAGAGUCAUCGUGAAAAUCAUACAAUUCAAUUUCCUGACAUAUAUAUUUAUGCACGUAUGCCAAAAGAAUAAAUAGACAGAAAGUAAAUUUAUAGUCCUCACUUCCUCACAAUUGUUAACGUGGAGAUGCAUUACAACUGUGAACUGUCACUACUUUAGCCUUUUUUUUUUUUAAUUAUAGUGUGAUGGAGACAUUAAGGAUGAGCAUAAUAGUUAAAGAUGACUCAUUUCUCAUUUUCUUUUUAAAGUGCUCUGCUGAAAGCCAAACUUCCUUUGGCUAAUUAAUUUAGAAGUAAAGCAGAGAAUAAAGUCCUAGAUGCCUUCUGAAAUUAGAAAUACAUUUUAUAUGCUUUAAUUAUGAUUAUUUGGUAGACUAAAGACCUAAAAGAUAUGUCAAAAGUAUAAAACAGAGCGAUUAAAGAAAAAAGAAAAAAAAAACAGAGUAUUUGUGACGUAGAAUAACAAUUGGUAAAUAAAUCCUAAAUAUUUGAGUUGUUAAAAGCAAAUAUAACAGAGACGGUAAGAGAGAUGCUGAAACAGAAAACUAUUAGCUUAUCUUGAUUUUCCCACUAUAUUCAUUUUCGAUGCUUUUCAAACGAGAUUCUUUUAAUUCUUCUGGUGUCUCUUAUAGAUCUCCAUCCCACAUCUGCACUACGAACAAGUUGAUUAAAAUUAAAUACUGUUGGAGAUGUGGGGUGAGCGGUCAACUUGGUAAAAAAACUAUGUAUAAUAUUGUUAAUAAUAUAAAAUAUAAAAUAAUAAUUACAAAGAAUCAUAAAUUAGAAAAAUUAUUUAUUUUACAAUCUAUUUCUUAAGUAAGAUAAAUCUCGUAAUAAGUUAAGUUAUAAUGUAAAAAAUAUUUUCAAUUUAUAAUCAUUUAAGGAGUCAUUUAACAAUAAAAUCUUUCUUUUUUUGAUCAAUUGGUCAUGCUACAGAGCAUCAUCUAUUCGUGGUGAUAUUAUUAUUACUCCGUAUUCUCAAAAAACACGAUUUAACAUUUAGAGAAAGUUCCUACCUUUUAAAAAGAACAUGUAUGCAACAACUACCCAUACUUUAUCUUACCACGACAAAACUAAUAGUGACUAAAUCAAUUUUCUCGAAUAAAGAAAAAUUUCUUAAAAUUAAUUUAAUAUACAAAUAUGAUGACUUUUUGCAAAAAUUAGUUUUGGAAAAUUAGUGACAGAAAAUAGUAACGAUUAUUGUUUAGAUGUGUAAAUAGCCUAAACAUGAUCCCUAAUACCAAUAUCCACGUGCAUCUUAACACCUUUCGUCAUAUUCUUUCAUUCAUGGUCACUGGUUCAAGAUUUGAAUUUGAUCAUUAAAUCAUGUUCAAUAAUAUUAGAGAUCCCAACAAUUGAGUACCAACUUAAAUCCCAAUGCUAUGUGUCAUUAACAAAUGUUGUGUCAUUUAUAAUUAUUGAAUGAAUAAUUCGUUAAUUUAUUGAUAAAUGAAAAUUUAUUAAUUUAAAGAGAGAUAUUUUUUUUUUGGGUUUUAAGAAGAGUUUUGUUGGUACAUGUACAUACUUAUAAAGAAAUAAACUUGUAAUUAUACUAUAUCUUUCUUUCUUUAUUCAGUUUGGUGGGAUAUUGUGAUAAAUCAUUGGAUUAAAAUGCAUUUCUAAAUUAAAACUUGUUAAAAUCUAAUUUAUUUGGGAAGCGCAUAUUAUUUGUCAGUCGUACUUCUCAAGUCUCAACUUAGCAAGUUAUUUCUAACUUGUCAGUCUCUAUUUGUUCUCUAAAAGCUAAUAGUCUCGAAUCUCCCGCAUUUGAUAUCUUGCCAUUAUUGUUGGCAUUAACAUGUUACCUGAGAUUGGGAUUCAUUAAAAUCCUCAAUGUAAUCGGUGGAACGAAUGGAUUUCUUCUGUUCACCAAUCCACCAAAAUUUCUGUAAUUAAAUUCAAGAGUCAAGAUCUAUGCUUAUAAUCUAUUCUAACAGCUAAUAUUCUAUUUUAUAUUUACUUAAAUAUGAAGAGCUAUGCUUGUCAUUAACUUCAAAUGUGAUCGAAGCAGCCAUACAUCUGUAUAUUACUUAUUCCCAACCUUUUUUUUUGACUUCAUAUACUUUCUUUUCAUGUUAUUUACUCUUUUUUUCCCCUCUCUGACAAUUGAGGUAGGGGGUCAAACUUGAAAGUAUCUUAAAAUCAGACAAUUUUUUUUUUUUUUAAGAUAGCUGCUAAUAUGCUCUAUUAGACAAUGAUAAGUAAUAACCUAGUUGUUUGCAUUAGAAAUGAUAUUUUUUGUGGUGCUGAUAAAGAGGUUGAUUAUGAUUCAACAAUUUAAAAUAUGAAAACAUGUGGAAGACGGCCGCAAUUAAAUUGAUUGUAUGAAAAUAUUUCAAUGAAAUUUUAAAAAUUUAGUACUUGUUAUCUUAUCGAGAGUUUUUUUAAAUUAUAUUACUACUUGAACUUGGGUACUUGUUAUCUUAUCGAGAGUUUUUUUAAAUUAUAUUACUACUUGAACUUGGCUGCUUUUGUAUUGAAUUCCUAGCGUUGCCAUUGCUUCUACUCAAAAGCCAUUUAAGUUUGUGUAAGCUACCUAUAGUUUGAACAACAAUUUACUCAUGAAUUGUUGUUCAUAAUAGCAAUUUGAUUGAAAGUGCGGCUGCACUAAUUUUCUAGAUGAAUUUUUUCCUACAUGCUUGUUCUCGUAUGACCCAAAAUCCUGCUACAUCAGUUGUAUUAGAAAUUAAUACUGGGUUACAAUUAUGCAUCCCCACCAAUAUUUAAGCAAUUUAAUUACAGGAACAUUUCUUGAGGAAAGAAACUCAUAUCGCCCCUAGGCUUUUAAUGAGGCUCAUUUUUAUGAAUCUGGAUGGCAUUAGAUAUCUCUCCGAAUAUUGGUGGGAGUAUAUCGCAGAUCUCUGGGCUAUACUACAAAGUGUAUGUACGUUGACUCUCAAUAAAUACAAACGAUUCUCUGAUAUGAUUCAAAACAUCAGUGCACGCAUCAUUUUAACGAGAGAGAAUAUUCUAAGAACGAAAUUGAAGGUGCAAUCAACAACUAAAAUGAAGCCAGAAAUGUACACGCAUGAGGAAGUUUUCCUAGAAGAUUGAUAUUUCUUUAACUAGCAAACAAUACAAGUCCAAAGCUAACCAAACCAUACCUGCAAGUCCGGGGCUUAAAUGGAGUACUUGUAAGCAUAAAACAUUAAUCAAAACACAGUAUAGACACACACACACACCCCUACAUACAUACCAGCAAAUUCGAAAUAGAAAAAGGAGUGCAACUAUUCAAGUUUGUUGACAAUAUUGCAACCAUGGCAUAUUAAAGCAAAUCCUUAAAAUCAGCUAAACGAAACAAUUCCCUGUCUCAUGAAUCGAUGCUCAAUUAAAAUUGAAAUUGAAAGUCCGGCUGGUGUUGUUUCCCUCUCCAGGUUUGCCUACAUAAGUAAAGGGAAAUGAGAAUCAUAAAUGAAAAUCUGCUUCGAUCACUGUUCACAAAUCACUGUUCACAAAUCCCUAAUUCAAAAAUUACUGUUGAUUAUCGUUUUACAGCAGCGCCUCAGCUCCAGCCUUCACCCCGCAACGCAAGCAGCAGCCAGCGCGAACCAGUCGCGCCCAACGCAAGCCCCAGCAACCCAGAUUGUUAGCUCCAGCCGCGCGCAACGUAGCUGAGCAGCAGCAGACCAGCAGCGCGAACCAGCUCUCGCGCGCAACACAACGCGAACGCAGCAGUGCGUAGAUGCAGCCCAGCAACGCAGCGCGAACCAGCAAUGCAGCCUCACCAGCGCGCAACGCAAGCCCCCGCACGCGCAGCACCAGCAUCCCGUUUCUCGCAGCGCAGCAGCGCGCAACGCAGCGCAGCACCCGCAAAGCAAGCCUCACCAGCGCGCAACGCAAGCCCGCAACGCAGCAACGAGCACGCCCUGCAACGCAACCAGCUUACGCCUUGUAUUCCAGCCGGGUAAAUCGAAAUCCGUGAGUACAAUUAUUGUAACAAUGCCGAAGAGGAAAGCAUCCACUUCCAAGUCAUCGAAAAAGACACCCAUCGCAAAGAAAUCUAAGAUUGCCGCUCCCACUACGGUUCCAUGGAACACAAUUUCAGAUUCACGCCAAGCCGUGAGACAAAGAUCGAAGCAUGGAAAAGGCAUGAGUAUUUUGCCACUUGCGGAAUCCAAUCUCGAAGGGUGCCUUGCAUUCGCGACUCAACAAGAGAAAGAGAGGUACAAAGAUAUUUCCACGGGCAAAAUACUUCCAGCUAAGAAUUUUUGGAUAUGUCUAUGUUUGAAAGAACAUGUGUGGUUGAAUUCAAGGAGGGGAGAUUUCAGUUUACUGAACCAGGACCCACUCAACUUCCGAAGAAGCUUUAUGCUAGGAGUGGUGCUACCUCUGAUGACGAGUUUGACGACGACACUGCUGCCCCGCCAACUAUUCCUUCUACAUCCGCACCACCUUUGAGCAUUCAAUUAGAGAAAAUGGAGCACAAGCUGAACAAGAUGGAGCAGAAUUUGGCCGCAUACUUCGAGAGUGUGGGAUUUACCCCACCAUUUCCGCCAAGCCCAUAGACGUUAUGUGGAUCAAAGCUCACAAUUCAGGGAAGUUUCUUUUUGCCCUUAAUCCUUUAUCCUUACGCUUUAAUUUUUAUGUGAGCUUUGAUUAUCUUACAUUGGGGACAAUGUAAGUUCUUGGUGUGGGGGAGGGAUUUUUGCAUUAUUGAUGUCUGGAAUUAUUGUUUUCACUCUACUUAUUUUUUUUUUUCACUCUACUCAUCCUUAAAUGAUUUUGGAGUUAGUAUGCUUUAUAUAUUAUUAUUUUUUCUUUUCUUUUAUUUCUCACAACUUUUUUUUUCCCAUCUAUCUCAAAUUAUUUACAUCUAUUUUUAUUCUAUCAUACUGUUUCAUCGCUCACAUUUUAUCUUUCACUUUUCAUCUUUCUCACUUCUUAUCAUUUUUACCUUUCCUUUUAUAUAUCACCCAUACCUUCUUCUCAUUCUACACCACUAUUGAUGGUUGAUUCAUUUGAAGAGUGUACAUGAUUUGAUGGCAAAUUUACCAACUUUGUGAGGAUUUGAGCCUAUGAGCAACCACUUUGCUCUAAUAUUUUUGUUAUGUGAAUAUCAAUCUUAGUUUGUUUAUUCUAGAACUUGCUUUGUUAUGCAUGUUGAAGCCGCAUUACGGGAUUUUAUGCACUAAAAUGAUAAGGGCAAACCCUUUUCCAUUUUUCUAUUCUCGCAUUUUUUUUCUCUACCCGAAGAUCUUUAUUUGCUAUCUUUGUUUGAGCCUUAACAAUUACCCAUCUAAUUCUCUCCGUCUACUUAACCAUUUUUCUUCUUUUUUUUGAGCCUCAAUUUAAGGAGAUUUUUGGACUCAUUGUGUGGAUAUAUUUUGUUGCUUUUUCUACCUUGUAAUAAAGUUUCUCAAUUAGAUCAACAAGCAUUAUGCUUGAAUUAAAUUGUGCAAGGUUCGUUUCUUUUGUUUGAUUCAAAAACAAAAACAAAAAAAAAAAAACAAAAAACAAAAAAAAAAAAGAAAAAAAAAGAAAAAAAAAAAGAAAAAGAAAAAUCACAAAAAAAAAACAAAAAAAAAUGUUUACAUUCUUGGUGACUUAAGUAGAAAUAAGCAUUUUGAUAUCAUAAGUUCAUUCAAUGAGUUCAUUUUUCUCGUUUUAAUCUCUUUUUCUUUCGUAAACCUUUCUUUUUCAUUUAACCCAUUUAACCCCAUUACAACCCUCUUAAGACCCUUAGAUUUUUGCAUUUUAUUCAUGUUUUGUGGAUUGAGAUGUGAUAUAUGAGCAAGCUUAUGGUAAUAGCAUUCUUUGAUUUGAUUUGAGUGGAUAAAUGACACCCUAAAAACUUUGAGUGCAUGGAGUGAAGUUAUUGAGAGGGCUAUUAAAUCUUGUUGCACUUGAAUUUUGAAUGGAUCUCCUUGGUGGUUGAAUGUUCUUAUUCUAUCUUAUGAAAUUCUAUGCUUUAAAAUCCUUGUCUCUCGAAUGUUAAUCGACUUAAUUUCUUGAGGUAUGCUUUCUUAAAAUUGUUUUUGGAUGAGUUGAGAUGAGAAUUGAGUGGAGAUUUGAGAUUAAUCUUGAGUUAUAUGCUUGAGGACAAGCAUCAUCUUGGUGUGGGGGAAUUUGUUAGAGUGCAAUUUAUGCACUAGUUUUGCAUUGUUUACUUCCCUUAAUAUCGAUGUUUUACACUUAAUAAUAAUGUUUUACUUGUGUUUUACUUUUGUAGGUGCAAUUCUAUUGAUUGGUGAUAAAAUUGAGCUAAAAGAUGAUGUUUAAGGAGGAUUGUUCUCUUGGAGAAAUUAUGAGCGUCGAAAGAACUUUGUUGAUAAGGCGUGGGCGCGUGCUGUCAACUGCGGACCUGCAGUUUUUAGUUUAACGUGUUUUGUAUUUUUGGUUAUUUUUGUAAUUACGAAUUUAAUAUUUCAGAUAUUAGUAUUUUAUUUUAAAUAGAAUUCUAAAAGAGAAGAGAGAGAGAGUAUUUAAGGGAGGAAUCUAUUGUGAAAAGGGGGAUUUGGAUUGGAGAAAAAGAAAGAAACCCUAGAUCUAAUUUUUCUCUUCUCUCUAUGAAGAACUAAACCUAUUUUUCUGGUUGAAGGAUAAUGACGCUUUGAUUCAUCACUACUGUGAGAUUUUUCUUAUGCUUUAAUUGUUUUAUUACUUUUUGGGUAUUUGUUUAUUCUCUGAAUUAGUUUCAUGAUUAUGUUUGUUAAUUAGGUAAUUGUCCACUAUUUAAUUAUCAACUUAAUCUAUUGUCAAUUAAAGGAUUCAUCGUAUGAAGAAUUUAAUGUUUGUGACAAAUAACAUAGCAGAGAGUUGUGUUGUGAGAAUAAACAAUCUAAUUUAAAUGAAUCAUCAUAUGUGUUGAUUAGGAUUUGGGUCUCUCUGGUUUUUCAGGCUGUCAAUUGAUUAAAUCCUAUGAUCGUAUCAAGGGUUGUCUAUUGAUUAGGGAAAUAUCCAACGGUCGUACCUUGGUUAUCGACUAGUUAAGGAGAGAUUGGCUAUUAGAGGGUCUCAAUAGCUAUAACCGGUCUAUUCAUAAGUAAUAAUAAUAUAUAUUUGAAUCAAUGAUCAGUAGUCGAAUCAAGCUGAGUUAAUUCCUUCAACCAGAGCUUUCUCCAAUUUGAAUUACAACUUUAAUUUGCAUUUUGUAUUUAAUUUGAUUUUUAUUAUUGUCUACAAUUCCCCCAUUUUAUGUUUUACGUUUCAAAAGGAUUUAAAUAAUUACCGAUCUCUGUGGACACGACCCUGCUCAAUCACUAUACACAAUUUAUUUAGAGUAGGAAUUUAUUUUUGUUGGCUUCGACACCCAUCAGUUGAUUUGUGUUGUUUAUUGCUAGAUUUCGCAUAAUUGUUUGCUGAUUACUAGAACUGGCUCUGUUUGGAUCUGAUACCAUGUUUAAAAACAUAAAAAAUCACUGAUCAGUUUGUUUGGUUGCUAAGAAAAUUUGCUCUGUUUGCUGAGAAAGUUUCAAAGAAGAUUCUCGAUUUUUUUUAUUUCAUCUUUCUUACUUCACGAAUGAUUACAAACACACCUUUUAUACACAACUCAACUAGCUAACAGAAAGAAAGCUACAAAACAGAAUCUCAGUAAGCUUAACUAAUUUUGCUGAGCUGGCAUUACACACUUAACUAACUUCGGCUAACUAAAUUCUCACAUGUGCUAAGCAUGAGCAGACUGUUUGUACACAUUAUGUGCUUCUUUAACACAAUGGAGUUUUAAAAAUUUGGUACUUGUUAUCUUAUCGAAAGUUUUCAAAAUUAUAUGAAUGUUCAAACUUAGCCCCUCCCGGCACUGCCACUGCUUCUACGUGAAAGUCAUUUAAGUUUGUGUUAGCUGCCUAUAGAUUGAAUAACAAUUUUACUCCGGAUUUUUUGUCCAUUAUGAAAAUUUGAUUGAAAGUGCGGCUGCACUAAUUUUCUAGAUGAACUUCCCUACAUGUUUUUUCUCAUAUGACCCAGAAUACUGCUAUAACAAUUGUAUUGGAAACUAUUCAACUGGGUUACUAUUCUACAUCCCCACCAAAAUUUAAACAGUCGACAUUGUGGAAAGAAACUCAUUUCGCCACUAGGCUUUUAGUGAGGCUAAUUUCUCUGAAUUUGGACAGAGUAGAUUUCUAAGCUAAUGCUUGGAAGAUCUCUGGCGAUAUUACAAAGUGCAUGUACAUUGAGUCUUAAUAAAUAUAAACGAUUCUCUAAUAUGAUUCAAAACAUCACUACAUGCAUAAGUUAAUAAGAGAAAAAAUUAUAAGAUUAUUUAUGCAUCACCAUUUAUAGUUGCACCCUCUCUAAUGAAAUUGAAGGUGCAGCCAGCAAUUAAAAUGAAGCAGAAAUGUACAUUGACCCUUAAUAAAUAGAAACUAAGGCGUUAUCGAUUCAACUUCAGUUGAUCAAUUGCGGGUGAAAGAUAAAUAAAGGAUAAGAGAAUAGAGCUGGAGUGCUAAAUUGGCUAUUGAAGAAGGGUGUCACAUGAUCACAAUCACAUUGACGCACAACUCUUUGGAGGCAAAUUUUGUCUAUGUGUACUCUAAAUUCAGCCAAACCAUACAUGUAUGAACAGAAUUUAAACCGUAGUUCUCAUCACAAUAGUAAUUGAAGCUACAAAAGCCAGAAAAUCUGAACAAAAACUUAAAAGGAAGAUUUUAUUCAAGUUUGCCCCCAAAAGACAGUUGAAAUGAAAAAUAUUGACUAUUGAAUGGGUCAAUGCUGAAUUACAUUUCAAAUGGAAAGCUUGGCAACAGUUACAAUGUUUCCCCUCUGAUUUUCCUCCAAAACAAAUUCAGUUAUAAACAAUAACUGAAGUAGGAAUAAUUUAUUCAUCAAAGAAAAUACCCUAGUUUUCAACUAACAAAUCCUGCUAUCCAAAUUAAAAAAACUCGCAUCUCUAAAAUUUAUUUGUAAACUGUUGGAAAUGAGGAGUGAUCUGUCAACUCCGUAAAUAAACUCAGGCAUAAUAUUAAUAAUAAUUAUAAAUUACAUAAUAAUUAUUAUAAAGAAUCAUAAAUUGGAAACGCUAAUCAUUCUACAAUCUAUUAUAUAAGUAAGAUAAGUCUCAUAAUAAGUUAAGUUAUAAUGUAAUAAAUACUUUCAAUAUAUAAUUAUUUAAGAAGGCAUUUAACAAUAAAAUAUUUUUUUUUCUAUUCGGUUGAUCAUAUAGUGUUAUCUAAACUCUUGACGAUAUUAUUAUUACUCACUUUUCUAAAAAAAAAACAUGAUUAACGUUUAGAGAAAAGUCAUGCCCCUUAAAAAUAAUAUGUAUACAAGCUAUCCAUACUUUAUCUUACCAUGACAAAAUUGAUGGUGAUUAAAUCUACUUUUAAAAUAGAUUUAAUGCACAGAUAUUAUGACUUCUGGCAAAAAUUAGUUUUGGAAGACAUAAUGGUAGAAAAUAGUGAUGAUCAUUAUUUAAAUGUGUAAAUAGCCUAGGCAUAGCCUGUAAUACCAAUAUCCAUUUGCCUUUAUUUGGAUUAUCACAUUUCAUGAUAUUCUUAUAUUUAUGACCAUUGUUCGAGAUUUGAACUUGAUCAUAAAUUAAGCUGCAAGAGAUUUUACUUCAGUUUCUAAGCUUUUCAAUCGUGAUUCAUCCAUGCCUUUCUUGGAUACCAUUAUGUUACGUGCCAAUGUAACUGACCUUGUAAUUGGUGUGUAUAAGGAAACAUGCCCUUUCAAGAUUGUUUUCUUUUGUUUCCUUAUUGUAGUAGUCAAAUAAAUAAAGAACGAACAAUUGAACUUGGUCUACUUCGAGGAAAACCAAGGCCUGCAAUAUUAGAUGAACUUUGAACAAAAUUAAUCUACUGCUUUUAUUCAUCUUUGGACUAUGAAUUUAUACAAAGACUUUAACAAAAAAUAACAAAGACACAACUGAAUGAUAGCAACAAGUGCUGACUUAGCGGACUACUGCAACAACUAAAUAAAAACUAAAUAUUUAUUUUGACUGUAACAACAAUUGCCCUGAUGAAUAGGACUCCACAGCAGCCACGUGACAACUAAUUUCUCCUUAAUAUUAUUAUUAGUAGAAGUAGAUUUUCAAACUAGUCUUGAUAUAUUUCGAAGUUGUAUUAUUAUCAAUGUAUAUGUAUCUAGAUUGUAACUAUAUUUUAAAAAAUAUAAUUUUUUUAAUUAUUGCACAGUAAAUGUAGAAAAAUAUCUAUAAAAUAAUAUUAUUAGGACUAAGAAAAAAAUAUUAUUUUAUAUAAGUUAUUUAUUUAUUAUUGAAUGAAUAAUUUAUUAAUUUAUUGAUAAACGAAUAUUUAUUAAUUUAAAGAGAGAUUAUUUUGGUUUUAAGAAGAGUUUGUUUGGUACAUGUACACACUUAUAAAGAAACACAAAAGGUGCUUCCUCAAGUUAAUAGUAUUUGCUUUAAUCGCUAUAGUUCACAAUAAUAUAGCAUAGUUUGGAAAAUUGUAAUUAUACUAUGUCUACGUUUGGUACAAUUUUUCAAGAAGAACUUAUUUAAAUAGAGUUUUUGUUAGUAGAACAUUUAUAAAUAAAAUUUUUACUGAAAAAAUUUAAGUUAUUUGGUUGUCAUUGUCAAAAUUGAUGAACUUUUGAUCUUUUGUUAACAUGUGUUUUUUUUACUAAAUAAUAAAUGUUAGGUUACAAUUAUUUUCAAUAGUUUUUGAAGGAAUCAAGUUAUGAAAUUUUUAUCAAUGAACUUUCAAUAUGUCAGCAUAUGGUCUGUAAAAUUUGAGAGUUUUCCAAUGAGGGAAUAAUUUAUUAAAAAUAAGAGAAUAUGGAUUGUUCUGUUUUAAGGGCCGAUUAUUGAGGACAUUUGAGGUUGAGCUUAGGAGAUGUUUAAAUUGAGAUAUUUGAGGACAUUAUGUUAGCCUAAAGGGCUACACAUAAUGUAAUUUUGAUGAUAACAAACAUGUGUCUUAAGUAAAAAUAAUAAAUAUUGUAUUUCACAUUUUCACUAGUUUUUGAAGGAUAAUAUUUAUGCAAGUGAAUCAAGUGAAAUCAAGAUUGAAGAUACUCAACGGACAACGGCGACAUCAAGAAUAUAGUUUAGAGCUCAAUGAACAAAUUAGUGCGAUAAAUUCUUGUAAAGCCGGUAUGAUUUAAUUGAUGCAUGAUUUAGCAUUUGAGAAGCUCAAGAGAUUAAUUUAAUUAAAUACUUUUCAUAAACUAAAAGGUUUUAUUUUUAUAAAGUAAAGUAUUUUGUGGAUUUGAGUAAUUUGGACUUAAAUGCUAAGAUUUGAAAUCUUUGAUUUUAAUAAGUAUUAAAUUUCGGAGUUGGACGUUUUGAUAAACAUUUGAAAUGUUUUGGGUCAUACUAUAAUUUAUAAAUAUUUUGGACUAAAGUGAAAGGUUUUGAGAACUUUGAAAAAUAUGGGUAUUAUGUUGAAAAGGACCUUUGUGCGAACUAAAAAUUUCUUUGGGGCCAUAUCAUAAUUUCAGAAAGUUUGGGAAGACAACUACUCUUAGGAAGUUCUGAAAUUGGACCUAUUUGCAAAGUUUUAUGACAUUUUGAGCCAUAGUAUAAUUAUAGAAAGUUUUGAGCCAAAGUAUAAUUUUAGUGAACAGUGUUACUAUAGCAAUUCAAAAAUAACGGUAAUAUCACUGUUCCUGAGCGGCUAGCCGGAUAAAUCAAGCGGCUAACUGCUUGGGCGAGGGAAUUUGCCUAUAACGGCUAGUUUUCAGGCUUUAACUAUAAAAACUCAGCUCAAACUUCAUUCUAAGUACUAAUGCAUGCAAAUAUAAGAUCAUACAACAUAUAUUGAGCUUCCAAAAUGCAAAUCAUCAUUGAUUGAAUCAUUGUUGAGCUAUUAGUUGCAUAUCCACUCUUAAAGAGAGUUUUUGUUGUAAUUUUCAUUUCUUAUCAAAUUGUGAGUGUGUGAGUGUGUAAGUGUGGGAAACACUUGGGGUGAAGAGAUUGGGGAGAUAAUCUCUUGGUUGUAAAGGUUCAUUGACACCUUGGAAGUCAAUUGUAAAAACUUGAACCCUUGAGAGGCUUGGAUAGUGAAAUCCUCGAGCAUGGUUGGCUUGGAGGCGUGGACGUAAGCAGGGAUUGCCGAACCACGUAAAAAUCCGCGUGUUUGUUUCUCUCUUCCCUUGCUCUUUUAUUUUUACGCUUGUUUGAAUUUAUUGUUCUCUAUUUCAUUAAGGCGUUAGAUUGAUUUAUUGUGCGAAUUGUAUUGCAUUAUUUUUAAAAACUCAAUUCACCCUCCCUCUUGGGUUGCAUUACUUGCAUUUACAUUAGAGUUUAUGAUUGAGACUCGAUUAUAUCUUAUGAGAAAUUUAUUGAUGAUUUUAGGUUGAUGAUAACAGUACGCAUUUGUUACAUGAGGAUGCCAAGAGGUAAGUAAACUAGACUUAAAAACGAAUCACAAUAAACAAUAUAUAUGUUUGACUUGUAUGAAAAGUCUAUUUUGAUAUGUACGAAUAUAGAUUUAUAUGUCUCUACUCAUGUGUUUAUGUGAUGUGUUGUUAUGUAUUGGGCGUGAUUAUGUACAUAGGCAUAUGUAUGUGUGAUGGUUCAUUGUCAUGAGCACGAAAAUGCAUUGAGUUUUCUAUGAAUGAAAAGUGGAUUUUAGCAAAUGAGAUUUCUCUUUUAUGAGAUUUUGCAUUGGGGGCCACCUCUUGAGGGCCAGAGUGCCGCAAAGUACCACGCACAACACAAAGUGCCACAUUGCAGGAUACGUAUUUUAUUGAAAGGAAAUAUGAAAGUUUGAAAGCGACAGAAAGAGAUUUUUAUGAAUUUGUUUUACAGUAUUUCCAAAAGAUCAUGGCAUAGCAUCCAUCUACAUUAUGUAUAAGUAUGCAUGUUUGCUUAUUGAGUUUUGUACUCAUUAUAGUUUAUUAUGAUUCAGUUUCCAGAAGUCAGGAUUGAUUCGUGAUGAGUGAGAAGAUGAAUUUAAAUUGAGGAUGGUAGAUGGUUUGGCUAAAUUUUUAAGUUAUUCCGCUGGCUUUUGUAUUCGAGGCUCGAAUUUUAUCGGUUGUAAAGAGUUAUUUAAAUUCAUAUGUGAGUUGUAGUCAGAUUUGCCCUCGGAGUUCGGGUUGGGGCGUUACAGAUGCAGAAACAGAAAACUAUUAGCUUAUCUUGAUUUUCCCACUAUAUUCAUUUUCGAUGCUUUUCAAACGAGAUUCUUUUAAUCCUUCUGGCGUAUGCAGCCCUUGCUCUUCUUAUAAAUCUCCAUCCGACAUCUGCACUAGGAACAAGUUGAUUGAAAUUAAAUAACAUUAGAGAUGACGGACGGUUGAGCCGUUAACUCGGUAAAAAAACUCAUAUAUAAUAUUACUAAUAAAAAAAAAUAUAAUAAUCAUUACUAAGAAUCAUAAAUUAGAAAAAUUAAUUAUUUUACAAUCUAUUUCGCAAGUAAGAUAAAUCUCAUAAUAAGUUAAGUUAUAACGUAAAAAACAUUUUCAAUUUAUAAUCGUUUAAGAAGUCAUUUAACAAUAAAAUCUUUCUUUUGGUCAGUUGGCCAUGCCACAGAGUAUCAUCUAUAUUCGUGGUGAUAUUAUUAUUACUCCGUAUUCUCAAAAAACUUGAUUUAACAUUUAGAGAAAAUUCCUACCAUUUAAAAAGAACAUGUAUGCAGCAGCUACCCAUACUUUAUCUUACCCCGACAAAAUUAAUGGUGACUAAAUCAAUUUUCUCGAUUAAAGCAAAAUUUUCUUAAAAACGAUUUAAUGCACAAAUAUGAUGACUUUUUGCAAAAAUUAGUUUUGGAAAAUAUAGUGAGAGAAAAUAGUGACGAUUAUUGUUUAGAUGUGUAAAUAGCCUAAACAUAAUUGCUAAUACCAACAUCCACGUGCAUCUUAACACCUUUCGUGAUAAUCUUUCAUUCAUGGUCACUGGUUCAAGAUUUGAAUUUGAUCAUUAAAUCAUGUUCAAGAAUAUUAGAGAUCCCAACAAUUGAGUUCCAACUUAAAUCCUAAUGCUAUGUGUCAUUGACCAAUAUUGUGUCAUUUUUUGUUAACUGGGUGAUGAAUUUCUAGUUGAUAAAAUUACUUAAAAAUAUCUUAAAAAUCAGAUAAUAGUUAGCUUAAUUUUUUGAAGCUAACUGCUCAAGAUGCUCUAUUAGAAAUGAUAACCUAAUUAUAUAAAAAAAAAAAUGAUGUAUUUUUUUCGGUGUUGAUAGUGAGAUUAUCAUUCAACAUGUUAAAAUAUGAAAACAUAUGGAAGAAGGUUGUAAAUUGAUUGAAUGAAAAUAUUUCAGUGAAGUCUAAAAAAUUUGGUACUUGUUAUCUUAUCGAAAGUUUUCUAAAUUACAUUCGUGGCACUGCCACUGCUUCCAUGUGAAGGUCAUUAAAAUUUGUGUUAGUUACCUAUAUGUUGAAUAAUAAUUUUAUUCAUGAAUUGUUGCUCAAUAUAGCAGUUUCUAGAUGAAUUUUCCUACAUGUUUGUCCUCAUAUGACCUAGAAUGCUGCCAUAUCAAUUGUAUUGGAAAUUAUUCAAGUGGGUUUGUGCUCUAUACCCCCACCAAAAUUUAAGCAAUCUACAGAACAUUCCUUGUGGAAAGAAACUUAUUUCGCUACUAGGUGGGAGUAGAUUUCUAAGCUAAUGCUCGGCAGAUCUCUAGGCUAUACUAAAAAGUGUAUGCACUUUGACUCUCAAUAUAUACGAGUGAUUCUAUGAUAUGACUGAAAACAUCAGUACAUGCAUGAUUUUAUAAGAAAGAAUAUUCUAAAAUUAUUUAUGUAUCACCAUUUGAAGUUGUACCCUCUCGAAUGAAGGUGCAAUCAGCAACUAAAAUGAAGCCCGAAAUGUACACGCGUGAAGCAGUUUUUCUAGAAGAUUGAUAUUUCUCAAACUAGCAAACCGUACAAGUCCAAAGCUAGAAAAAGGAGUGCUUCUAAGCAGAAAACAUUGAUUAAAACAGAAUGCACACAAACAUACCAGCAAAUUCAAAAUAGAAAAAGGAGUGCAACUGUUCAAGUUUGUGGACAAUAUUGCAACCGUGGCAUAUUUAUAGCAAAUCCUUGAAAUCUGCUAAAUAAACAAUGCCCUGUCUCAUGAAUCAAAGCCGAAUUAAAAUUGAAAUUGAAAGUCCGGCUGGUGUUGUUUCCCUCUCCAGUUUUGCCCACAUAAGUGAAGGGAAAUGAGAAUCAUAAACUAAAAUCUGCUUUUACAGUUCUUAUUAGAUAGAUAUAAAGGGAUCUUUCUUUGUUUCUCUGCUGCAAUUUGUGGCUAUCCCACUCUGUUUUGCCACUCAAGCUUAGUCUACGUUGAGACACAAUUUUGACAUCAGAAGCAACCUCAAUUAGUUUGGCAUUUUUAUGACCUCCUUGUACGUUUUACGAUAAACAUAAAUCUACUGAGAAAGUGGGAAAAAAAGAAAAUGCAUAUAAAAGUAUGAGUUAUCAGACAUGAUUAAAACUCACCCAAUUCAAUCCAUUAGAUUCCGUAAGGAUAUAACUGGAUGUCAUACCGCCAUUCCAUAUCCUCGAAAGUCCGUAGCCUCUGUCUCAACUCUGUCUGAGGCCAAUGUAAAUCCAAUAUGCGCAAGCUCUUUAUGCACCACAGCUCUUCUGGAAGCUUUCUCAAGUAAGCACAAGGGUUGACAAUUAAGCUUUCAAGUUUUGGCAUUGCUCCAGCCCCCAUCGUCCACUCAUCUAGCCAAAACAUUGAUUUCAGGUGCAAAACCUUACGUUCCGGAAAGCAACCAGGGCCAACGCAGGCCAGCUUUCUUCCUAAAUACGAGUUUUGCUUCAGUUUCAGCACUUGAAGGCGUGGAAGCUUUUCCAGCAUUGGCAUGGGAUCCUCCAUUAGCUCAGUAUUCGAUAAGCUCAGAUGGCUCAGACUUGGAGGAAAUUGGUAUUCAGACAGGAUAAUCCGUGAGGGCUUGCUCUCAUUCACCAGCUUCAAGCAUUCAAGUUUGUGCAGUUCGCAUAGGCUUUUGGAAACCCCGGAUUGAUAGUAACUCAAAUCUCCAGAUAUUCUUAGACUUUGGACAAGAUAUUCUUAGACUUUGGACAUUUGGUAGUCUGCCCAAUAUAGCUGGACUGCAACUACUAGGAUGUAAGGCUGAUAAGAAAAUGAGAUUUUUCAGAGAGCUUCAAUAAUUUUUUGGAGGUGCGGGCAGAGUGAUGCAACCGAAGUUUAGAUGCAUGAGUUUUUGCAUCAUCCAAAUAUCCUCUGGUGAAUGAUCUAUGUAGCUAGAUGGCAUUUCUAGCGUUUGAAGGUUUAAAAGGGAGCAUAGCAGUGAAGGAAUGCAUUUGAGCGAAGGGAUAUUCAAUUUCAAAUACUUCAAAAGGAAUAAAUUUUCUAAUCCGGCUGGAUAUUGGUCGAGAACUGCAGAACCCAAGUUCAAUACCCGAAGGUAUUUGAACUUGUCGCAAUCUAUCAGAGCGAGAUGAUCGCUUGCCGAACUGUUAUUCAGAAAAGAUUGGAGAUACAUGUCAGAAUGUCCUAAAGAUAAAAACCCAGUCAGAUCUU